GGAGGUGAGGGGGUACGUGCCCCGGGUCGUCAGCAAGCUCGUCCGCGGCCUGGAGACGAUCGUCAGGAGCGGCGCCGUCGACGUGGUGGUGCCGGGGGUCCUGCCCAUCGGCUGCUUCCCCAUCUACCUCACCCUCUACGGCACCUCCAACGCCGCCGACUAUGACCGCGACGGCUGCCUCCGGAGCUACAACGGCCUCUCCUACUACCACAACGCGCUGCUGAAGCGCAGCCUUGCCAGCCUGCAGCGGACGUACCCGCACGCCCGGAUCAUGUACGCCGACUUCUACACCCAGGUCACCCACAUGAUCCGGGCACCUCACAACUUCGGUGAGUAACCUUUCGCUUUUGUGUCCUUGCUAGAAUAUAUCCCAGUGUUGGCGUGCGGGAGUUGAAGUCUCAGUUAUCACGGAAUGUGUAGUGUAGUGUAGUGUAGUGUAGUAGGCAGCACUGGGAUGGAAAGGGAUAGAUCCAAAGCAUGGAUUUUGAUAGAUGUAGAUGUAAAGAGAGCUAUCUACGUGCAUGCAUAGUGAGCAUGUUUAAUUUUUUUUUCUCUUGGAUUCUUAGCCCACCAAUGACUCAUCCGGGUCAAUUAUGCCCUGGGGACCAUGCAUGAAUGACCGUUGUCCAAACAAUUUGGGAAUCAAUACCCUCCUAAUUGAUCCAGUUGGCAUGCGUAUUAUUUAUGCAUCAUACAACCAAUAAUUAUGAUGAAACAUGGAUGAAAGCCUGUCAUCGACACCGUGGUGGCAUGCAUGCAUACAUAUCAUCUUAUAAAGCACUGUGUAGUAUAUAUACUAGUCACAAAAGCCGCCACCUGCUGUAAUUGACAAAGAUACUCCCACAUGUAACAUAACAAUUCUUUCCAUGCAUGGACUGUUUUAUCUUAAAAAUGUUUUCAAGGCUCAUUACUGACUUAGUUCACGUGACUGGGAGCACGCUAGCUAGUGCGCAUUCCAAGGCGGUUUUCUUUAUGAACUGUAAUGUAAUCCAUCAGCCUAGCUAAUGAGGGCAGCCACAACGCAGCUACUACAAUCGUAUGCCUCGAGAAAAAAAUCACAUGCCAUGUAUUCCAAGAGGUAAUGAAGCUAACAAUCUCUCAACGCAGGUCUCUUCUCUUAUCAUAAACGUCACUUUCACCUUUUUCUCUUUAUCCUGACAGACAGAAAUAAAGUUGUAUAGAGUUUGGUUUCAUCCACCUUCAACGCGUGUUAUUUGGGAGCUUCUGCAAAUUGUCAGCUGAAGCCUACGGUACCUCUGCAGGCAGCACUGACACACUGCGGGGCUGCUGUUUUGCGUGAUCUGUACAUAGCCUGUAUACGUGGACGUCGGGGCUACAAGACAGCGUGUAGCGAUGGGGAGGCCUGAUAGCGAGUGUGAUCAUCGACACUCUUUUGCAGGGCUCAAGUACGGGCUGAAGGUCUGCUGCGGCGCCGGUGGGCAGGGCAAGUACAACUACAACAACAAGGCGCGGUGUGGCAUGUCCGGGGCCAGUGCCUGCGCCGACCCGGGCAACUACCUCAUCUGGGACGGCAUCCACCUCACGGAGGCGGCCUACCGCUCCAUCGCCGAUGGCUGGCUCAAGGGCACCUACUGCAACCCUCCCAUUCAGCACUGAUGGAGCUAGCUAGCUAGCAGCAUUCAUGCGUGAGUUGAUCGUGUGUUGUUUGUUUAGGGCUAAUUGCCAUGUGCAUCAUCAUCCUCUAGGUUCGUAUACACAGUGAUGAGUAGUGAUGGGUUUGUUAUUUGGUUGUCAAUUAUUCAUGGGAGGUAGGUGGUUUCGGUGUGCUGGGGACAAUGAAUAAAUGUGUAAUGGACAGCUGUUUGCAAUUUUCUUAACGCAAAAAUACUGUAGGGGAGAUCCCCACAGUGAUUUAUAUUGAUUAGAUUUAAGAAUUACAUAAAGUUACGAACUUGUCUUAACUGAAAGCAUCAAGCCAAAAACAAAAUGAGGACCUAAGGUCCGUCUUGAAACAAAAGGACUGAGCAAUACAUUGAUUCGUAAAAAAUGUGCUAGCGCGCCAAAGCGAGUUUACGGAUCCCUUUGUUAGAAAAUCUUGUCAUUCUGCAGCUUCCAAAGUUCCCAAGCUGCAAUAAGCACGACUUUAGUAAAGAAAGGCAGCCCCUGCAUAUCCUUUUCUUUUACAAACCUUUCUUGAAGCAGGAUCGACGCAUCCUAGUUGAAGUUGAUGGUAGACCAGCAUUGUUGUGAAAGGGGCAGAAGAAGAAUAGAUGUUCAAUAAUCUCAUCCAUCUCAGUGUUGCACAUAAAAAAGAACGUGUCAUCUUGGAUGCUCAGAUGUCUUCUCCUUAUCAUGACCUUUGUAUUCAGGCGAUCUACUAGGACUAGCAAAGAAAAAAAAAUGAUACACGGGGCACAACGAGAUAUCUAGAUCAUUUUAUAUAUCAGAUGCACUUCCACUGCGCUAAAGACAUAUGCAUAGAACUUUCUUGACGUAUAUUGAGGCCCCAGGUUGGCUCCCAUGAAUCUACUGCAUCAUCAUCAUAUGAAAUUCCUUGGAGGUGGUCUUGCAAGAGCUGCAGUAGGCCUGUACCGCCAGCGGUAGGAAGAAAGUAUCAUCUAGAUUUUUUUGUUUCCAUGACUUCUUGGACUGACAUUCCUUCAUUCGUAGUAAAGGAAUACAACCUGAGAAUUUCUAUGGACAACACUUUGUUCGACCAACAAUCUUCCUAGAAACAAAAACCGUUGAGCUGUUACCGACUGUGCAUUUGGCUAUACCGUGGUAAAUGUUGUUGAGUCGCAAUAUGUCAUGCCACCAGAAUGACCCAACCUCUAGAGAUGCAUGGGGCACCUAGUCUGUAUAAUAUCUGUCCUAGAUUAGGCGAACCCAAGGCACAUCUGCUAUGUUAUAGAAUUUUUGUAGAUGCUUCAUGAGUACUGCAUCAUUUUGGAGCCAUAGGUUUAUGACUCCCAGGCCCCUUUUGUCAUUCGGUUUCAUCACAUUUGGCCAAGCAACCAAAUUUCCCUGUUUUGUUGUUGGAUCAUUGCAUCUCGGUAGACAUUGUUUCCUGGCCUGAUCAAUGUUGUCUAGGGCUCCUUUAGGGAUCUUGAUGGUACUUAGGGUGUACGUGGUUAUAGGUGUGAUAGUUGAGUUGAUCAUUUCUAGCCUUUCGGAGAUGGAUAACUAGGUAGAGCAAGUCGAGAGCCUCCUCUCACUUCUAUCCAUCAUCAGUGAUAGAUCAUUAAUUCAAGGCUUUGUGGUGCCCAUUGGAAGCCUAGAUAGGUGAAUGGCAUAGAGCCAAUUUGGCAACCUAAAGUGCUUGCUAAGAUCUAAACUUUGUCUUGAUCAACAUUGAUUGGUAUCAUUUGGAACAUCUGAUAAUUGAUCUUGAGUCCUUAGGACUAUUCAAAACUACAUAGAAUAGCCUUUAGAAAGAAAAGCUGGGUAGCAUCAGCAUGCAUGAUGAGCAACGUGUGAUUGGUGUACUAGACUAUGGGGAAAUCGCCGGUAGCUUGUGGAAUUGGCGCCUUGAGAAGAUUUCUUUUUGAUGCUUUGUUGACGAGAAGUUGCAAAAGCUCAGUGGCGAGCACAAAUAGAAGAGGGGAUAGUGGGUCGCUCUGUUGGACACCAAGCUUGCACUUAAAACUUUUUUCGGUACACCAUUGAGGAGUACCACUGACGAGCCGAGGAUACACUAGGUCCACAACAUCCAUCCGCUCAAAAAACCCAUGUACUGCAUCAUCAGGAUGAUGGCUACGUGCUUGGGAGUGUCAAACGCCUUUUCAAAUCUAGCUUUAGGAUGAUGGUUUCACAAUGACAGUGGCAUUGGUGUAUGUAUUUGAACGACCAUACCAAACAAUCCUAGAUAGAGCGAGAACGAAUGAAGUCAUAUUGGUUCUUAUGUAUAAGACUGAGAAUCACCUCUUGUAAUCUAUCAGCAAGGAUCUUAGCCAGGACUUUGAGACUUCUAUUCAAUAAGAAAAUCAGCCUGAAGUCUGGACUUCGGCACAAGGUCUUGAUGCAUUCCAGAUUAGCCAUGCCACUAUAAAACUCAUCACAAAGAUUGUAGAAGCUGCCUUUGAUAAUGUGCCAACAUUUUUUAGGAAAAAAGACCAUUGAAAUCAUCUAGGCCUAGUGAACUACCGAGCAUCUUUAGUCGAUAGUUGGCAUGUCAAGUAGUGAUGUGUGCUUGAUCCUCAAGCGAGCUUGAUGGCGAUCUUUAAUACCUACUCGACCAGGUGAGUCAUUCUUAGCUGUGUUGUCGAUUAGUGCUCUUUGAAUAUCUAAUACAGAAUAUUUUUCUAGCAUGCAGCGACUUGUCUCCCUUGUUCGUAAUCUACUUCACCUUUGUUGUGGUUAUGAGGAUCAAACUCAUUGUGCUCAGCAUCGAACACGGCCACUACGUGAAAAGGAUUUAUAAGUGCUAGGGGCUUGGGAUAGUAGGGGCGGUUGGUGAUUGAGCCGCCCCUACUGUGGGCUUCCCAGGUACCAGUAAACUAGCGCCCCUACAAAUGCUUCAAUAAGGGUGACUGGUGUUACCAGCCGCCCCUACAAAUCAACCCAUUUGUAGGGGCGGCUAGAUCACCAGCCGCCCUUACUAAGCAUUUGUUGGGGUGGCUGGAUCACCAGCCACCCCAACAAAUGACGGUUGUAUAAGUGGCAGCCACCACUUUCUUUCUCCUCGGGUCACUCACUCCAACCCGAGGAAAAAAGGUUGGGAGGUCUUGGGCUCCUCCCAAAAAUUGUUCUAGUAAGGGGGGAGGUUUUGGUCUCAAAUCCUUUGGUAGAAAGCUUGUAUAAGGUAAGAAAAUGCUAUUUCAAGCCUUUAAUUGAAGUUAUAAUGGUUGGCUAGUGUGUAAUUUGAGUUUUGCUUUUCUCUCACUUCCAUGGUGGUUGAGCUUUGUAUGGAGCAAAUUAAACCCUAGUUUUGAAGCUAUUAGUUUAAAUUAGAUAGAGAAAUGAGCUUGCACCCAUUAUUAGUCGAUUUUGCUUGAUUUUAGUGGAGAUUACACCUUAGUUUCAUGUAUGCUUCAUCUAGUUCUAUAUAUAGGGCUUGUUUUUUAAUUUUUUAAUUUGUGUUUCAUGAAAUUGGAAUGGGGUUGGUAUGAAAGGUAGUGGGUAAAAUAAUAAUUGUUGCUAAUUUGUGUCAAUGAAAUUUUAUAUUUUAGCCAUUUAAUAUAUAAUGUUGAAUAUUUAUAUGCAUUAAUAGGCAAUUAGUUAAUUAGUUAAUUAAUCAUUGAUUCGAUUCAUUUGAUGUAUCUUCUUUUGUUGUUUUGUUUUUAAAAGAUGGAGUACAUGAACUCUUGGAUGUAUGGUUGGUCAAGGAUCGAUGAAGGUUUUCGCGAAGAGGUGGACAAAUUUAUUGUAGCCGCUGAUAAGCAUGCAUCAACAUUGACAUAUAACAAAAAUACAACUAUUUGUCCCUGCAAAGAUUGCAAAAAUAUGGCAUUUGCAGAUGUGGAUACCAUCAAAUCACACUUGGUUAUGCGAGGAUUUGUUCCGGAGUACACAAUGUGGAUUCAACAUGGUGAGACAAUAGUUGUUGAUGACAACAACAAUGAUCAAGAACUUGAUGCCGAAACCCUGAAGUAUCUGCACCAAUACGACAACAAUGAAGACAUGGGCUAUAACUUUGGCAAUGAACAAGGUGGUGACUUUGGCAAUAAACAUGGUGCUAAUGAUGUUGGUGGUGCCGGCACAAAUGGUGGAGCACAUGAGGGGGAUAAAGAUGACAGUGACAAUUUGGAGGACAUGCUUCGGGCCAUUGGACCAGAAAUAUUACUACAAAAGAAAGGUCUAGAAAAUUUAGAGUAGGUGAAAACAGCGUCGAAGGAGACUGUUUAUGGUGUUGAGAAGGGUUGUCGGACACACUAGACAUUGCUCCAUUUUGUGCUUGAGCUACUCAUCCUUAAGGCUAAGUACGGUUGGUCCGACUGCAGUUUUGAUGAUCUGUUGCAUCUCCUAUCAUGGGUGCUGCCACAACCAAACUUAGUUCCUGUCAACACAUACCAUGCGAAGAAGGUUAUAAGUCCACUCGCAAUGGAUGUUGAAAAAAUUCAUGCAUGCCCCAACCAUUGUAUCCUUUUUUGUGGUGAUAUGUUCAAAGGUUUGGACAAAUGUCCUCGGUGUGGGACCAGUCGGUACAAGGAAAAUGACUUUUAUAGUGGGGAAGAAGCCUCCACGGGGAACAAGAGGAAUAAGAAGGGUGUGGAAAAAGACGGUACAAGAAUCUCAACCACUAGAGGACACUCCAUUAGGCAACGAUGAAAAUAAGAGAGAAGUUCCAGCCUUGGUAAUGUGGUACUUGCCAGUGACUGACAGCUUGAGACAUAUUUUCUUGAACCCUAUGGAAGCCAUGCUCAUGACAUGGUGGGGUGAUGAGCGCAAGGUCGAUGACGAUGUGAUUGCACACCCAGCUGAUGGUAGUCAGUGGAAAGACUUCAAUAAGAACAACAAACUAUUUAGUUCAGACCCAAGGAAUGUAUGGUUUGCCUUGAGCACCAAUGGAAUGAAUCCCUUCAAUGAGAGGAUGACUGACCACAACACUUCUCCAAUGAUCCUAACCAUGUACAACAUCCCAACGUACUUGUGUUAGAAGAUAAAGCACCUUUUCCUCACCGUUCUUGUUUCUGGCCCUAAACAACCAGGAAUUGAUAUAGACGUGUUCCUUGAGCCUAUCAUGCAAGAAUUUGAGAGAAUAUGGAGGUUUGGGGAGCCAAUGUAUGAUGCAUUCCGACAUGAGGACAUCGCACUAAGAGCAAUAAUAUUUGUGACUAUCAAUGAUCACCCCAUGUUGUUUGCUAUGUCUGGACAAAUCAAAGGCAAGAUGGGAUGCUAAGUCUAUUUGGAUGAUACUAAAUGGGUAUACCUAGAUGGAUCCAAGAAGAUUGUUUACCUAAGGAAUCAUAGCUUCUUAAAGGUAGGUCACAAGUACCAAAACAAUUUAUACUUAAGAUACUAUGCAACAUCUAGGAGGAUGAACCCCCUCCGGAGAGAUGUCAUAAUGGACAACAUGUGUACAAAAUGGUGAAAACCAUAUGCAUCAUAUAUGGAAAGAAGAAUCUAGAUGGAACAAUCAAAGAUAGAAGCAGACCUCCUAUCAAAGGCGUACCUUUUAAGAAACAAUCGAUCUUCUUUUGGUAUCUGCCUUAUUGGCUAGAAUUGGCGGUCCCCAUGCCAUUGAUGCUAUACAUGUGGAGAAGAAUGUCUUCGAGAGUCUCAUCGAUACCUUGAUGGACACAACCAAGUCAAAGGAUGGUCUGAAAGCAUGAAGGGACAUGGAGCAACUAAAGGUGAUGCCAGAGCUUCACCUGGUACUUGAAGAUAAUGGAAAAUACACUCUGCCAACGGCUACCUACAACCUAGACAUAGAAGAGAAGAGAUCUGUACUCACAUCCAUGAGGGGGAUCAAAGUCCCAACUAGGUUUUUGGCUAACCCGAAGAAGCUAGUGUCAAUGAAGGACCUCUCAUUUCACUACUGCAAGGCUCACGAUUGUCACAUGAUGCUGACAGUGUACCUACCAAUUGUCAUCGGGACUGUAAAGUCAGAGUUCUUGAAGAUGUCCAUCACCCACAUGUGCUACUUCUCUUCAAAUAUCUCUAGAGGAUGUUUCGUAGGACAGAGCUGAGAGACCUACAUGAUUUCAUGGUGGAGACCCAGAACCAACUUGAGAUGUGUUUACCUCCUACUUUUUUUUGAUAUAAUGGUACAUCUCAUUAUUCACAUGGUUCAUUAGAUAGAGGCGUUGAGCCCUUGCUACUUGCAUAAAAUGUGGUCCUCCAAGUGGUCCAUGUUGGUCCUAAGCCGAUACGUGCAUAAUCGAGCAUACCUAGAGGGUUCCAUGAUAGAGGAUUAUAGUACUGAAGAAUUCAUCGAAUGCUAUCAAGAGUACUUGAAAGUACAAAGAGGGAUUGGCAAUCCCGAUUCUCGUCACAUGGGUAGGCUAGCUAGAAAGCGCACAGUGGUAGAAAAACAUUCAUCAACUAUGAAUAUGAAGAAGUAAGUCAGGCGCAUUGUUGUGUUUUGUAGAGCACAAAACUGAUGCAAUGGUAUAUUGAUGAACACGUGGCUCUCAUUAUGGAGGAGAGGAAUGGUCAUUCAGAUGAUUGGGUCAUAAGACAGCAUAGGCGACGCCUGACUCAAUGGUUGAGGGACCAGAACAUACCGCUUAGAGAAAGUGAAGAUUCUACUACCAUCAGUAGAUUGGCAAAGGGCCCAUCGAGACAAGUAACAUCUUGGAAUUCUUAUGACAGUAAUGGGUACUCAUACUAUACCCACACAAAGGAUAGUAAAAGUGUAAACCAAAACAACAACGUUCGAGUAGAGGCUCUCGAUGGACUGGGGCGAAAGGUCCCAUUUUUUGGCAUAAUUGAAGAUAUAUGGGAGCUUGACUAUGGAAGGAAUCUAAAGGUGGCCCUAUUUUGAUGCUGCUAGAUCAAGCAACAUGAAGUCAAUGAGAUUGGGUUGAGAGUCGUGGACCUCCAGAAUGUAGGCUACCAUGAUGACCCUUGGGUGCUCGCUUCAUGUGUUGCACAAGUUUUCUAUAUGUCUGACCCACUAAGUAACCUCCCCCCAAAGAAGAGGACUGAGCACAUGGUUGCCUCCAGGAAACAACACAUUAUCAGAGUUGAUGGCGUGGAUGAUGUUGGAGCUUACAAUGACUAUGAUGAGAUGCCACUAUUCACAUACUUUAGUAGCAAGAUCAGUGCAGUGGAAAGGAACCUAUCCAAAGACAUACUGCCAUGGGAAUGAAAAGGUGGCAAGGGGAAACUUGUUACGGUGGGGCCUAGCUAGUUUGUGUAAGUGUGUGUCUGAGACUAUAUUUAUGUAUGUGUGUGAGACUAUGUUUAUGUAUGUGUGCGAGACUACAUUUAUGUAUGUGUGUGAGACUAUAUUUCAUGUAUGUGUCUAAUGUUUAUGUAUUUAUGACUUUUUUAUGUGUCAUGUGUAAGUGUUUAUGAGAGACUUAUCAAUUUACAACCAAACUUUUCUAACACUAUCUCAAAUGCCAAAAUGACCAAAACAACAGAUGUAUAUCUUGAUGAGUUUAAUAAACUUGGUAUUCAUGACUUUUCUAGGUGAAACCAUUUAGGGUUUGAAAAAAUGGUUUGAAGUCGUUAUUUUUUGAAAUUCAAAAUUUGAAUCAUUCAAACUUUGUCAAAUGAAAAGUGGACCAAAAUAACAAAUACAUCUUGAUGAGUUUAACAAACUUAGUACUCAUGUCUUUUCUAGUUGAAACCAUUUAGGGUUUGAAAAAGUAGUUUGAAGGUGUCAUUUUUUGAAAUUCACAAUUUAAAUUCUUUUAAGUUUACUCACAUGGAUAGAUGAACUGACUAAAAUAAUAGGUCUUGAUUUUAGAAACAUUUAGGAAAAAGAAUCAUCAGAUUUGAAGUUAGUAUGAGGGACAAAAACCUGUUACAAGUUCCAGCCAGAGAUUAAAAAACAAAUCACACUUGUUCAUAACCAAUUUAAAAUUUGAAUUUAUACAUCUUCGAACAAGAUUUCAAGGCACAAAGUUACUCUAGAUGAAAGACUUUUGAAUAGAAAAGUUUUAGAACUCAUCAAGAUCUACAAUUGUUAUAUAUAUCAUUUUUCAUUUGAGAAAUCUUAGUAAACACUAGUCAUAAAAUUAUGAAUCUCACAUAUAAUUUAUAAAACUAUAUGAGAGACUUGUCAAUUUACAACUAAACUUUUCUAACAAUAUCUCAAAUGCAAAAAUAACCAAAAUAACAAAUGUAUAUCUUCAUGAGUUUAACAAACUUGGUAUUUAUGACUUUUCUAGUUGAAACCACUUAGGGUUUGAAAAAUUGGUUUGAAGUUAUCAUUUUUUGAAAUUCAAUAUUUGAAUCAUUCAAACUUUGUCAAAUGAAAAGUGGACAAAAAUAACAAAGUACAUCUUGAUGAGUUUAACAAACCUGGUAUUCAUGACUUUUCUAGUUGAAACCAUUUAGAGCUUCAAAACCUGGUUUUAAGUUAUCAUUUUUGAAAAUUCAAAAUUUGAAUUAUUUAAACUUAGUCAAAUGACAAUUUGACCAAAAUAACAAAUGUAGAUCUUUAUGAGUGUAACAAAAUUGGUAUUCAUAACUUUUCUAGUUGAAACCAUUUAGGGUUUCAAAAACUAGUUUUAAGUUGAAGUUUUUUUGAAAUUCAAAUUUCCCUUAUCCAAACUUUCUCAAAUGCAAAACGGACCAAUAUAAUAAUUGUAGAUCUUGAUUAUCUUAACAAACAUUGUAUUCAUAUCAUUUUCAUUUGACCUCUUUUAUAGUGCCUCAAAAAUAUUAUCAAGCUUGUUGAUUGAUUUUCUAAAUUAAAAAAUCAAAUAAAAAAACAUUUGUAGGGGCGGCUUAAUCAUGAACCGCCCCUGCAAAUGGAACUAUAGGGGUGGCUCCCUUCUUCACCCGCCCUUACAAAUGCUCUAGGUAUAUAACAAGUCGAUCGUGGCUCCCUUCUCACGAGCGUGCGCCUCACUCCCUUCGAUGCUGGUAGGCUGCCGGAUUUUACCACCGUACCGUACAUCACCGCCAACUCCCCCUCCGGCACCCCUCCGCCGCUGCAACCUCCCUCUGCCCUCACCCAUCGCUCGCUGCCUCCUCCCACUCCUGACCCUGCCUACCCUGCCCCAUCUCUAGCGCAGGCCGCGUCACAGUUAGGGUUUGCGGUCGCCUAUGAAGGAAGUCAGACGCGUCACGGUGGAGGAAGUCGACGACCUGUGAAGGACACCACGCAGGGGCGCCGCGGUGAGGGUUGCUGCCCAUCUUCGUCUCACCUCCAUCUCUGGCACCGACCACGGUGGCUAGGGUUUCCCUGCCCUUCUCUCCUUCCUCAACAUUCGUGCUCCACCAUCGUUGGUCCUUCUCUUCAUCCUCGGCGGUUGUCCUGCAGCCGGAUCCCUACGCACCAUCGCCGGAUCCCUGCACACCACCGCCUGAGCCCUCUCUACUAGUUCCUCUACAAGUAUGCCCACCCCCUUCUCCCCCAGUUUUCUCCCCCAGUUGGAGCUUUGGACAUAUGGUUUGCUCUUGCGCUUGCACAUGAUGAUGCUUUGAUUUAUUACAAACUGAGCAAAGUGCCUAGGUUGAUGAUGUGAAUCUGUCUAAUCGUAGACACUCAAGGAGCACCCCUUUGAGUCUAGCAGCCGUGCCUUGUUUAUCUUGUGAUGGCUAAACUAUUGCUUGCAUUCUCUAAUCUGUACUGAUAAGUAGCAUUGCUGAAUUUGUGCAAUAAGCACUGAGACCAAUGGCACUUUGCAAUGAUAUGACAAUUAAUGUUGGUCCGUUUGCUUCAUUAUUCAUUUGUACUCUAUAUACCAAAAUUGAUGUUUUAGUCAGAUAUAUAUUUUUUAGAUAAUGGAUGAAACAUCCGGCUUCAUCUAUCCAAAGAUAGAAUCAGACCAAUUAUUACAAAACUUCCACAAAGGACAAAAGUAAAAGCUACGACUGAAUUGCAGCCCACCAGAAGGAAAAGGAAACAUUCGAAGUAAAGUUUGAAACUAAGCAUGACCAAUGUAACUUGACGAUAACCACCCAUUGGAACUAAAAAAUGCAAGGCCGACGUUUCUAGGACCUGCCCCACGAGAUUUAACUGCUCCCGUUGAUCGUCAUGCCGCUGCAAGUGUGCCCACUGUCGAAGCCGGUGUGUUCCCCUGAAGAGUACCUGCAAGAAAGAUUUUGGUCUGCAUCUGUCAAAAACCACCUCGUUUCGGGUUAUCCAAAUUGCCCAAUAGAGCGAUGCACCUGCCGUUAAUAACAAUGAAUUAUACUUUUUAGUGCCUAAUUUUGUCCAUCUUAAAAACAGAUCAUUUAUAUUUGUUGGCGGUGGCAAUGCAAAAAUUAUAUGAACAGCGCGCCAUAAGAAUUUGGCAUAAACACAAUAAAAAAGAGAUGAUUAAUUGUUUCCGGAAAGUGACAAAAACAACAACCUCUGUCACCAUUCGAGUUACAUCUAACUAAGUUAUCCUUAGUUAAAACCACUUUUUUUUUAAAUACAAAAGAAAAAUUUUAAUUUUCAUUGGUAACUUAGUUUGCCAGAUAUCUUGUGACACCCGAACCCCAUUGUUAAUCAACGCAGCAUACAUAGACUUGACUGUAAAGAUCCCACACGCAUUCAACCCCUAGACAAAUACAUCCUUCUGGUUUACCAAGUGAAGAUCCUGUACAGUCACUACAGUGCCAAGCCAAUAGAUUUGCACCCACUAGAUUUCGUCUAAAAGAAAUAUUAAAUGGAGUUGAACCGAGCACUUGUGCAACAGAAUCAUCCUUUCUCCGUACAAUAUUAAACAAUGAAGGAAAUUUAUCCUUAAGGGGUUUAUUUCCCAACCAAGUAUCACUCCAGAACCUGGUUUGAGAUCCAUCUUUAAUCUUAAAUGAGCCGAGUUCCAAAAAAGAAUCUUUGACAUUCAUUAGGCUUUUUCAAAAAUGCAAAUCCAAUGGUUUUUUAACAUAACUUCCUAAAGUCUUGUUUUUAAUAUACUUUUUUUAAUAAUUCCUACCACAUGCCGUCCUCGUUCAAGAAUUUGAAUAACCACUUACUUAAUAAACACUUAUUUUGCGUAUCCAGAUUUUGAAUGCCAACCCCACCUUGACUCUUUGGCUGACAUAACACCUCCCACUUUGCCAACCUAUAUUUUCUUUUAUGCUGAUCAUUUUGCCAAUAGAAUCGAGAUCUGAAGCAAUCUAUUUUUUCUAACACACCACAUGAAACUUCGAAAAACGACAUCAUAAACAUCGGUAAACUAGAAAGCACCGAGUUUAUAAGAACCAGUCGCCCUCCUACAGAUAACAUUUUCUCUUUCCAGCCACUCAGUCUCUUCUCAAUUCUAUCUUCGAUAAUCUUCCAAUCUUUAUUAUUUAACUUUCUAGUGUUCAUAGGAAGUCCCAGAUAAUGGAAUGGGUAAUUACCGACCACACAACCAAACAACUGCGAAUCGAACUCCUCGUAGUCUUUUGCUUCACCAAAGCAAAAGAUUUCACUUUUAUGAAAGUUUAUCUUUAGGCCCGAUAAUUGCUCAAAGGUUCUCAAUAACAGUUUCAUAUUGACUGCCUUCUCAAUAUCAUGGCUCAUAAAGAUGACUGUGUCAUCCGCAUACUGAAGGAUUGACAAACCAUCCUCGAGUAAAUCAAGAAUAACCCCCUCGACCAAACCUUCCUCUUUCGCUCUGGCAAUUAGAAUGGCUAACAUGUUGACUACUAUAUUAAAUAGUAUAGGCGACAUAGGAUCAUCUUGUCUAAGGCCUUUUUUGGUCUGGAAGUAAGAACCUAAUUGAUCAUUCACCUUAAUGUUAACAUUGCCCCCUUCAGUAAACCUCUGUACCCACUUACACCAUUUUUGUGAAAAACCUUUCAUUCUCAAAGUUUAUUGUAAAAAACUCCAUAAUCUUAUCAUAGGCUUUUUCAAAGUCUAUUUUGAAAAUCACGCCAUUCUUCUUUUUUGAGUGUAGCUCGUGUAUUGUUUCAUGCAAAAUUACCGCUCCCUCCAUAAUAUUCCUUCCUGGCAGAAAGGCUGUCUGAGUAGGUCUAAUUAUUUUCUGAGCUAUGGAAGUCAAUCUGUUGGUUGCGACUUUAGUGAAGAUUUUGAAAGAUACAUUCAGUAAACAAAUAGGUCUGUAUUGCUGAAUGACUCUUGCAUCCUUCUUUUUUGGCAACAAAAUUAUAGUUCCAAAAUUAAGGCGAUUCAAAUGCAAAUUACCUUGAUGGAAUUUCGAGAACAAAGCCAUCAGAUCAUCCUUUAUAACAGACCAGAAAACCUGAUAAAACUCUGGAGGAAAGCCAUCUGGGCCAGGCGCCUUAUUAUGUUCCAUCUGGAAAAUCGCAACCCGCACUUCUUCUUCCAAAAAAGGUUGGGUUAAAAACUCAUUUUCCAGUUCGGAGACUUGUGGAAUAUCACCGGUUUGAGUCUCAUCCAGCUCGAUCGGAGUGAUCUCUGGUGGACCAAACAAAUUCUUAUAAUAACUAGUAAUAUGCGCUUUUAGUUGUGCAUCACCAGUUAUUAAAUUAACCCCAUCCUCCAACCGAAAAAUUUGAGUUUUUCGAUGCCUGCCAUUAGCCAGUAAAUGAUAAUAUUUUGUGUUUGCAUCUCCUUCUAGAAGGUGUUUUAAUUUUGCUCUUUGGUACCACUUUAUCUCCUCUUCCCUCAACAGCUCAGACAAUCGUUCGUUGAGUACAUGUUUUAAAUCCACCUCCUGCUGAGUAAGGAGCAUUAUUUCCGCUUUUUUAUCGAGGGCAUCUAGUUUAUUCAGAAUUGUUUUUUUUUCCUUUUUAUACACGCCACUGACAUUUCUUUCCCAUCCUCUUAGAUAUUGACGAAGCCUGCUUAUUUUGGCUUGCCACCGUUCUAUAGGCGAGCCACUGACUAUUGUACUUUGCCACACAUCCUUAACCAUCUCACAAAAUCCUUCCCUCAGCAACCAACCCAAUUCUAAUUUGAAUUGAGGCUGAUAAUUUGAGGACGGAUUAUUUGUAGAAAAUAGCAGGGGUGUGUGAUCCGAAAUUUCCCUAGUCAGUGCUUGAACAGUGGUAUGCGGAAACUUAGAUUCAAAAUCUGUACAAACUAGAACUCUAUCUAUUCAAAAGUCUGAAUUGGUAAAUUAUUUGCCCAAGUGAAAUUACGCCCGGACAUCUCAAUCUCUCUCAAGUUUAAAGAGUCAAUCACCGCAUUGAAUAAAAAAGGCCACCUAUUAUUAAAAUUAGCAUUAUUUUUCUCUUGUGGUCGCCGUAUGAUAUUAGAGUCGCCUCCUAUAAUUAUAGGUAAAGCUUCUUUAGAACAUACAUUGACUAUUUCAGAUAAGAACAAAGAUUUAUGUUCUGCUUGCGCCGGGCCAUAAACUUAAAUCCAAUUAAACUUAAAGUCAUCCUCUCUCCGCCUGAUCUUAAAGCGAACAAAAAAAAUCUCCUUCCUCAAUCUCCCCUAUAUCAAAGUUAAGAAGAUUAAUACCUAGUAACAUACCCCCAGACCGUCCCCGCGGAGCCAUACAAUGCCAUAAAUAAUCUCUGCCAGCACAAAUAUUAUUUAAAGUGGAUUGUGGAAAAUUUGCUCUACCAGUUUCCGACAAGGCAAUGAAAUCUAGGUUCUUCUCUUUUGUUAACUCAUUAAAAAAUCUAUACUUUUUACAGCGCAAAUCCAUUACAAUUCCAAAAAAUACCCUUCAUUGCGACCGACUUUGUGAUUUGUGAUUCUUCUUCCUAGAGCCUUUUACAGAUGAUAAGGGGGUUUGAAGACCCUUAGGGUCACAACCUCCAUCACCUAAACCCUCUGCUAUCUCAGAGCAAAUUAAAUUAAGUGCAUCCAAAUCCAGAGAAUCUUCGAAAGAACAAGCUGAAGCAUCAUCCAAAAUUUCUUUAUUCGAAGUAUCAAUUGUUUUAAAUUCAGCUAUACGUUGUAAUUCUAAAUUUCUUAAAUUUUCUAAUGAAUUAUGAAUCUGAGCAGUAUCAUCCCCUAACCGAACCCCUAUAGAAUUGACUGAAUGUAAAAGACUAGUGUCAUCCCGGGAAAUAAAAGAAAGUGUAAGGAGAUUUUUACCUUUAUCAUUAGAGAUCUCUAGGUUGUGGCGCGCUUUCAACUUUGUUGCCUUCUCUACCGAGUCUUGAUCUGAUGUUGCGGCCGUCCUCUUACUUGAUCUCACAGGAGACACUGUCCCACCUUUCUGGCCUUUCAGCUUGUUAGUGAUCAUUUACUAUGAGUUUUAGAUUAUUGUAAUGAUAGUGAAUCAUAUUAUAUCUCUGGUCAAUGAAGUUGCUAGUAGAUGGGAAGUUCUUUGUGUUUUUGCUCACAAAUUAUAUGAGCAGCAGCUGCUUUUUAUUGCCAACCUCUCCUCUCAUCUUCGUUUGAGUGGAAUUGGUCAUUCUGCAGCAAUUUUGGCAAAUUUGAGAUUAUUUGGUAGGGUUGCUACCUAUUUCUCUACUUCAUCCACUCUAUGUCACUCCAAGCUCAAUAUCUAUUUUACUUACUGCUCAUAUUCUUAAAACUACUGCUGCUCAUAUAUUGCUGCUCAUAUAUCCUAAAACUAAAUCUGGGUCCUAAAACCGAGCUAUGAACUACUCUUGUACUACAUGGUCUCCACUCUGCUGCUCAUAUAUUGCUGCUCAUAUGUUGGUCUCUGCUACCUUCUAGUUAUAAGCAGCUGUUGCUUUUUUUUUCACCUUUCUAUCCUCUAUGUUUGGGAAGCAGCCGCUGCUUUUUUCGACCCCUCUCUAUAUAUGUUUUUAAGCAUCUACUGCUUUUUAUUGCCAACUCUCCCCUCUCCUCUUCGUUUGAGUGGAAUUGGUCACUCUGCAGCAAUUUUGGCAAAUUUGAGAUUAUUUGGUAGGGCUACUGCCUGUUUCUCUACUUCAUCCACUCUAUGUCACUCCAAGCUCAAUAUCUAUUUUACUUACUGCUCAUAUUCUUAAAACAGUUGCUGCUCAUAUAUCCUAAAACUAAAUCUAGGUCCUGAAACCAAGCUACUUUGAACUACUCCUAUACUACCUUCUAAGUUGGUCUCCACUCUGCUGCUCAUAUAUUGAUGUUCAUAUGUUGGUCUCUACUACCGUCUAGUUAUAAGCAACUGUUGCUUUUUUCACCACCUUUCUAUCCUCUAUGUUUGGGAAGCAGCCACUGCUUUUUUCGACCCCUCUCUAUAUAUGAUUGUUAAGCAGCUGGUGCUUUUUUGGCCAACUCUCCCUCUCCUCUCCUCUCUAUUUUUGCCGAUGAUCAUUUAUUAUAUGGAAAUAUGAGCUGAUGAUCAAAACUUGUGAGGAACCUGGCAUUGUUGUUUGCCAACUGUUGACGGCCAUUAAUGUCAACUUUUAUAAGAACUCUAGACAUGAAAAGAAACAUAAAUACCUGCUAGUCUAGGGUUUAUCUAACAAUUUCCAUGAGUUUUGGAGUUUAUGUAUUUUCUAGGGAGUGAUCCAGAAAAGGAGCAAAUGGAGGAUUAGAAUGCAAGAAAACCACGAAACUUAUCCACGACGAAAGCGACAACUAUCAGAUCGGGGGAAGCAUCUAGAAGCCACCAGAGAAGGCGGGCCUGAGGGCUGCUAGGUGGGGCAGCCUAGCCCCACCAUGGCGCCAGCCGGUGCCCCCCUAGGGAAAACGUCCUCCGCCUUCUAGAGUCUUCUACUACCAUCUAGAGGAUGCAUCUAAGCCGUGUGUUUAUGUCGGUUUGAUCCUCUGGCACACGUUCACCCCAUCGGACUAUAAAUAGAGAGGCAGACCCCCCUCCCUGGAGGCAUAACCAGUUCAUUCAGUCAUUCAUAAAGUCAUCAUCAAGAAGCCUUCAAGUUCAUCAAGAGCCUUCUAGUUCUUAGUUCUAGUCUAGUUAGAUUAGAAGUAGAGGAGAUCUAGUUCUUCAUCGGGAUCCAGAGCUUCUAGCGUCUGUCUGGAGCUUAGUCUAGGAAUAGAUGUAGUUCUUUCUUCUACAUUAUUGUAUUCAUCAUUAUGAUUAGGUAGACUUUAUUCUUAAUAGAUCAUAUGUUCUUAAUUGCAAUCUUUGUCUACUUUAAUUAUAUGUCUAGUUUAGUUGGUUUGAUCUUAUUGAAUUCGUGUAAUUGCUCAUAUAGAGUCUGCCCAAUCGAGAUUAUGGUCUUGAGCAGCUGUUGGGUAGAUGGUAGGCAAUAUGUAGACGUAGUCCACACUGAUAGCUGCAUUGGUUCCUUUGUAGUCCAUCCCCCGUACAUAGGCCAGCUGACACGGUCACGAAUGGGGCGGCCCUCGUGUCUUAAUAUCCCUGCUAGAUGAUGUCCUUUGCAUGUGAUGAUGAUGUAGGAACCAAGCUAACGAUGAUUGCUAGAUGUAAUUGCACUAAGAGUUAUUCAUUGAUGUAGUUAUAGAAUACCUUAGACAUUUAUUUUCUUAUCUUAAUAUUGGCUAGCUAGUAACAUGACUAGAAUGAUGCUUUGAUGUUUAUCUUUAAUGAUGAUUGGCUAUAGUUAUCACAUACAUUUAUCUAUCUUUAUCUAUUGUGACACCUGUCUGUUAAGAGUAGAAUAGAUUGCUUGUUUUAGUAUAUAGUUUCUAUCAAUAUAAUAUAAUAGACUGAAGUUUAGCUAGACCUUCCCAGUGGUAUAAAUAUAAAUCGACAACUUGGUAAUACUCUAGGUAAAAUGCUACAGUGGUAUAAUUAUCUUUCCACUUGCAGAAUUGAUCUUAUUUCAUAUUCAUCUUUAUUUAUUUCUGCCUACUGACAUGAAUUGAAUUAUAUAUAAUGUAUUGAUUCCAUAGCAUAUAGGGAUGACAACCUUGUUCAUGCUUAAGGAUAUUGGUAGAUGAGUGGCUAGUUGCUAAUGACAAGUAUUUUACAUACCUUACAUUUCUUUAGCCUCAUUAAUUAUAAUGUCGUUAAGAAGUGUCAACAACCAUUUUUGGCGCCGUUACUAGGGAAGGCACAUUAGACUUAUAAAAUAUUGAUAACCUAUAUAUUAUGAAUAAGAUUAUAUUUCAAAUUUGAUUUCUAUUCAAAUAGGCACACCCUUGUUUUUAUCAUUGUUUAUUUUAUGCAGUGUGAUGAAUGAAUUGUUUUUCUCUUCCGAAUAAUUUCACUGACGAUCUAGAGAAGAUCCUAAGAAGGAGGAAGUUUGUUGAGGUAAGGGAUAAUUUCGAGUCACCAUCAAGAACACCCAUUGCCGCUAGACCUUCCCAGUGGUAUAAAUAUAAAUCGACAGCCUAGUAAUACUCUAGAUAUAUAAAAUGCUACAAUGGUAUAAUUAUCUGUCUGCUUGAUCUAUUUCAUAUUCAUCUUUACUUAUUUCUGCCUAGUCACAUUAAUUGAAUUAUAUAUAAGCCUGUAUUGAUUCCAUAGCAUAUAGGGAUGGAUGACAAACUUGUUCAUGCUUAGGGAUAUUGGUAGAUGAGUGGCUAGUUGCUAAUGACAAGUAAUUUACAUACCUUACAUUUCUUUAGCCUCAUUAAUUAUAAUGUCGUUAAGAAGUGUCAACACCAACUCUCCUCUCUCCUCUCCUCUGUUAUAUAUUUUGAUGCCUUGAUGCUCCAAGUUCAUGAUCAAAUGAUGCUAGACAUGUUUUUGAGGCCACCACUACUUCUACUACUUGGUUUUUAGAGUAUAUUCUUAUGCUCCAAGUUCAUGAUCAAAUGAUGCCUAAACUUAACUUAGCAUUUUCCACUCUCACAUGUACUGAGUUUUGAAAAGAGAAAUGCCUCUAUAUAAGAAUUGGAGUAGAACUCUGAACUUAUGCUGAACUCUGAACUAUGAACUUUCUGCUCAUGCUUAUUGCUACUACUCCUGCUAGCUGCUUAUAUGUUGUACUCAUGCAUUGGGAUCCGUUUGAGAGGAAUUGGUCACUCUACAACAAUUUUGACAAAUUUGAGAUAAUUUGGUGGUGCUGCUGCCUAUUUCUCUACUUAAUGCACACUAUGUCACUCCAAGCUCAAUAUCUAUUUUACUUACUAAUGCUCUACUCCAUGGUCAAAUUCUUGUAUUUGUAUGGUUGUAUAUGCUUUUUGAUUCUGUCCAACACAUAUGCUCAUAUUCUAAACUACUCCUGUACUACUGCUACUGCUCAUAUAUUGCUGCUCAUAUUCUUCUACUACCUUCUUUUUAUGCUCAUAAUCAGUUUGAGAUUAAUUAACACUUAAAAUGCAUAUGACCUUGAUUCUGUCCCAUUCUGUUUAUACUACUAGUACCAUCUUUAUAUGCAACUACAUGUUUGCAGUUGUUGGUCUCUACUACCUUCUAGUUAUAAGAAGCUCUUGCUUUUGUGCCACCUUUCUAUCCUUUAUGUUUGGGAAGCAGCCGCUGCUUUUAUUGCACCUCUCUAUAUAUGAUUGUUAAGUAUCUGUUACUUUUUUUUGACAACUCUCCCCUCUCCUCUCCACUCUGUUUUUUUGCCGAUGAUGAAAUUGUCAAAGUCCCUUCACUAUACGGAAAUAUGACUUGAUGAUCAAAAACUUGUGAGGAACCUGGUGUUGACGGAAAUUAUAGCAUAAAAUGCACAUCCAAAACACCGUCAACAACCUCGGUUUCAAGGAAGAAUCACAUGACAUAGACAUAUUUUAUAAAUAAUUGGUUCCAGAUGUACCUUGAGCUUGUGAAUGCAGGACUUAGCAAAAUGGCACAAAAUAGAGCUGAAGUGGGCCCACAUGGGGGAUCGGCCGAUCCCCCUAUGCCACCUCCUCAAGGUGCCACGUAGGCAUGAUCCAGGGCAACCUCCUAGAAGCAAUUUUUUGCCUUCGUAUCAGAGUGUGCUUUCUCUCAACGGCUGAAAUCAAGAGCACAGGGAUUCAUGGGUCCACAUGUUAGAAGAACCGGUGACAACGUGCAACAAGUGGGUGAACUAGUGCCUAUGACCAGUGGGGACACCAACCAACUGACUCUGGCUGGCCCCACCAGUCAUAAGGGGAUCGGCCGAUCCCCCCUAGCGCCAGCCAGGUCGGUUGGCCCACCAUCGACUUCCCCACAUUGAGCACAUGUUAAUUUGAUACAAGACGUUGGAUUAAAGGCGGUUUCAAGGUUGGUUUGAUCCAAUGGCCAUAAAGCAACGUCACGUGGAUCGAUGACAUGGCGAUGGAGUAGCCCCUACUCCACCUCUCCUUAUAAAUACCUGCUGUAUUCACCCUCUCAAGGCAUGAUGUGAUAGUUUUCAAGACUACAAGUCUAGUUUCUUUAGUAGUUGUAGUCUUGUGUGGGAGUUAGAGUCGAGUCGAGCGAAGCUCCGGGUCUCUAGAGUCGUCUUGUGGAGAGUCUGAUAUUCCUCUUGUACUUUCCUUUUGCAAUACAUUAAUUUAUAUUUCUCUUCUACUUUCCUGAGUAUUUACUUAGUGCAAUAUUAUUCCUACAACAGUGUUGUUGUGUCUUAGCCUAGUUUGCUAGUAGUACAAGGUAGAUUGUGAUCCUAUUACCACUCCUUAGUUGUUACCAACAUCUUUACAAGUUGCUCUAGCUAGGACGUAUUCUUAGUCAGAGUAGUGAGAGUUAGUGUAGGCGCGGUGCCUAGACUAAGUCUCAUCGUUGGAGGCCACUAGUCUUCACAGAAGGUCUAUGGGCUCACUGGCUUGAAGUGAUAGUUUGGGCUUGGCAUUAGAUCCCACCACGUAGAGGGUAGUAAUUAAGACUGCAGGGCGUACAUAAGUUUGGUCUCGCUUGAGCAGGGGUUCUGUCUCCUUCUCUCUCAUUUCCUCCUAGCAACUAAGUUAGUGAGGUAGCAAUCCUAGCUUGUAUCUUCUAUCUAAUUACACUAGAACACAAAAGUAGAGGUAGAAUCCAUAGGAGUCCUUAACUCACUCGUUGUCCUCCCACCUAGCAGCUCUACGUUAGUUAUCUUUAGUUGUCUUAGGAUCAGCAUCAUCAACCUUCCAUCCAAAUCAUCAUCACCUUUCCUUGCUCUUGUUGCCAUUAGAUUAUGAUAGGGAUAUCUUUCCUCUUGAACCAUUUCUAUCUACUGCUUUCCUUUGGGAUAAAUAUAAAUUACGAUACCUUGGACUACUCCCGGGUGAAGUGCUACAAUGGUACAUUCUAUGCGCUUGCGAAAUCAUCCAACAGACAUUUGAAUUACCACAUACUUGGCAUCUCUAGUGACAUCGCUAUUUUUGCGGUGCUGCUAAGAAACACCAACAAGCAUUUCUGGCGCCGUUGCCGGCAAAAGCAUAGCCUAGAAAUUUUAAUUGGAAUGAAUUUAGAAAACUAUCUUAAUCUUUGUGUCAAAUAGUUUUAAGGAGGUUUACCCAUUGCCUUUGCUUCUCUAUAUUAGUGAAGCCAGGCAUUGAAUGAGUGAGAUCCAAUCCGAACCUACCACAUCUUACUCAGGAUCACUCAAGGAAGGAGGCUCAGCACCAACAGUCGAAAAGUUGAUGGCCACCUCAAUCUCUGACUACUAUACUCCCUCGGUCACUCGUAUAAUGAGAGGACCAAGAGUGGAUGUAGGGGAAGCCAUGUUUGAGAUUAAGCCAUCACUUAUCUCAAUGGUGCAAGCCAAUACAUUUGAAGGAAAGCCACACGAGGAUGUGAAUGCACAUCUCCAGCGGUUUCUGGAGGUGUGUGGCACCAUUGUCAUCAAAGGGAUCUGUUGGUGCAAAAACUGGUUUGCAAACACAAAGGGCUAAUACUCGAUUCAAACGUUAAGGUGUACAAGCCGAUUUGACCUUACAAUCGACAAUGGUGGUAACUCGAACACUUUGGUCCCGACAACAGCGAUGCGCCCGGAUGUCACGGCCAAGAGGUGCUCACGCAGAACUUGAGAACACGCCGAGCUCAAGUCGACGAAUUCCUAAGAACUCGUAGUAAAAAGGAAAAUAUGACGAAAUCGUCAAAAAGUAGAUGCUGGAAUAUGAGUAAAAACUUGUGUUUGAUUGAUUGAUAGAUGCCUCAUUACAUUGCCCUAGGGUCUACAUUUAUACCCUGUCCAAAGAGCUACAACCAGACACGACUAGGACUCAAAUUCCAAAUUAAACGGAAAUCGUAUACAAAACGAAUUCUAAUAACUAAGGAAAACAUUAAACUACCCCCCGUAACCGAACGGGACACCGCCACGAAUCAAUCGGCAACUUUCAUGCUUUCCUCAAGAGUCAUCGACAGACUACCUAUUACGGCCAUCGGCAAAUACUGGCACUGGUCAUCGGCACGAAUAUACCAUCACUUCUGGACAUGGUCAUAUUCGGUUGUCUCCCCAUCGGCAACCACCUUCAUCGGCAACCUCCCUGCAGACUGGUCACCACUGCUCCAUCUGCCGAUCUACAUCUCAUUAACUCCAGAUGCGUAUCAAACGAUACGUGUCCAAAAACGGUGUCAACACAUGCCCCCCAAUUUCGAAGUAUAAAUCAUUAAUGCUCCAAAAUUCUCUGCAGUAAUGAUGCCUUUCCGCAAUUAUUUCUCCCAACCUGGUAAUCAAUCGCUAAAUCUAAACAACCUCGGCCCGAUUCUCCUGCAGAUUCCUCGAAUCUCUCAACUUCUCAAUCAAAUCUCCCCACUUUAUGCGCCCAUCGGCAACAUUACCGUUAGAGAAAACUGCCGAUGGACCGACCAUGCGAUCUUGUACAGUGAAAUAUCUUCAAAAUCAUGACCGCUUGCUGUCAAAUCACCUGCACAAUCCCUUGAUUACCGUGCGAACAGUUACCAUAUCCACCUGAACACCCUCGGAUUUCACAGAUGCAGCAAAGAGAUAAGUCAGAUUUGCCCCUGCCCGUUUUGUCCUAUAAAUACUUCCUUCUCCGGUACUCCUCCAUCUUAUCAUUCUACAGCCCAAAAUCUACUUUCCUGGCAGCGGCAUUGCCCGAGAGCCCCAAGAACUUCAGCAAGAGUCUCCUUCAUCUAUCCUUCAAGUCCGCGUUCCUCUUCCUUGCGAAGAAAUGGCCAUCAACUUCGUCGUUCCUGAGGUCAGUCUAUCAUCCUUUUUCUUUUUGCACUUUUGCUAUACUCCUGUUCAUCUGCGAUUCCUUUUACUGAGUACCCUCUUUCUUCUUUUUUUUGUUCUUUCAUCCUCAAAACUUUUAGGAUUUGGCCGAUAAGAUUGUAAUCUCUACCGAUCAACCCCGCUUGCAAUGUCUCGGCCCGCUAGGAAAUCCAGAUCCCACCGAUCUAAUAAACGCAGAGACAAAUAGAAUCCCCUUCAGAGCCAAAAACUUUUCCUUAGAUCUGUGGAAAGAUGCCUUUCGUUCCUAGCCCAGUCCCACCAAGAGAUGGAAAGAUUGGUUCCUGAGAGUCAGCCAUUCAAAUGAGGUCCAGUGGGGUGAGUGGAAAUUAGACCAGUGCAUCAGAUUAUCUCUUGCCAAUAUGGAGAGAAAUGAGUCAUUGCUGAUAGCUGCCUCGUAUUUUUGGUCAGACACGCACAAUGCUUUUGUAUUGGGUCAUGACCCUACUUCACCCACUCUUGCCGAUGUACUCAUGCUCACCGGCUUAGACAUAUCCACUGCCGAUAGUAGUCACCUGUUUGAUACCAAGCCCAGUGCUAAAGUAGAAACUCGCGCUAUCGGCGGUUGGUCUGGAUAUAUUCAGAAGUACCGAAAGACAGGACCUGUCAGGGAGAGGGAGCAGACAAUUUUCCUAAACAUGUGGUUGGAUAAGUUUGUGUUCUGUGGCCGAUCGGCGGGACCAACCUCUGUCUAUUUAUCGGCAGCAGAGAAACUAGCCAAAGGUGGCUGAUUUCCUCUUGGCCGAUAUUUGCUCUGUGCUGUUUAUCACCUCCUUCAUCAGGUAGCUAAGAAACUCCUGCUGGGCCAGUCCAUCGGCAAUCUAGUGGGACCCUGGUGGUUUAUCAACAUGUGGCUCAGUGUCCAUAUGCACAAGCGCCUUGAAUUCAACCUCUUUGUACAGCGCUUCCCUAGAGACAUAGCCGAAGAUCACGAGUUGGAUGAAGAAGAAUCGGCAACUCGUCCCCCUCUGAACUACGGUGAAGCUGCGAUAGUUCUGCCUGGUACCGGUGGCAAUCAAGACCAGGUUAGUCGAUUCUUUCAGACUCUUUAUGAGGGUCUGACCAAAGAACAACAGGCAUGGAUGCCUUAUGAAGAUCCAGAUACCAGAUUUCCCCUGACUUUUCAUCCUUUUGAUAAUGCUCUCAACAAAGACCUUGAUCUGAUGAUGGCAAUCAUCACUUCGAGAGCUAUACUGGUGAAUUUUUUUGGCAGUGGGAAAACUUCCAACCUUACCUAUGAGUUCUACAAUCCAUUGGCAUUGGCCCGUCAAUUGGCUUUUGGACAGCUGCCGAUUGCACUCUGUUAUGCUGAUGUGGUGAAACCAAGGGAGAUCAUCACCAGUGGUCUUGAGUGGAUCAGAAUUGCCCAACUCCCACCAAAUGCCGACACGUCAGAUAUCGAUCUAUCGGCCUGGAUUCUAGCCCUCUUCAUCACCCAGGCGUACAAACAAUGGUGGGUAGAAUGGAAGGAGCAUUUGUUCUGCAGAUCGGCUCUCACAUACCGCGGUAUGAUCGACUCCGCGUACAAGGUCCCUGAUAACACUGUAAGUCUUCAACCGAUGCUUCAAUCUUAUUAUUUUUGCUUUCAUCGGCAACUUACUUCCUCUAUUUUACACAGGUCGAUGAUACACCACCGUCAGUCAGUAGAAGUGGUAGGUCGAUCGAACUUCUUCCAUCGGGCCUGAUUUCUUUGAUCGGCAAUAACGUUCCAAGUCUGAUGGCCCUAAUGCACCGGGGCGCGCGUUUUAAGAAAAUCACCACCAAGCGGACCAAGACAUCUCCAUCGGUCGCUGCUGCUGCUCUGGCGCAAGUUUUCAAGGAAGAAAGUUUUUAUCUCUUCAAUUUAUAUCGAUCCCACUCCAUACUUAUACGGCUUUUUCAGGAUACAUCGGCAGCCAUGGGCACCUCAUUGGUAACUUUCUCAACCAUCAUUCCAUUAAUACUCUGUUACACUUGUACUCAUGAAACCUUUAUUGUUGUAUCAGCAAACUGGCAAAUCGGCAAAGACCAGAAGUGCCAAGGCAAGCGCCGAUGCCCCCCAAGCUAGCCAAGCCAAGAGAAAGGGUCCCAAGAGUACCAAGUCACAAGCCAAGCGUCAAAGGACAGCAUCACCUCCUCCUCCUCCUCUAGGGUCACCGAUUCAUGUGGAAUCAUUCCCUUCUUCGCCAGAAGCUCAGACACAACAAGUACCAUCUCCACCUCAGCCACAAGAAGAACCUCAGCCAGAGGAGAUAUCAACCGAUGUACCUGAGCAGACCGUCGACCCAGUGGGUCCAAUUAUAGCAUCGGUAGUCUCCUCAAUCCAGACAAGCAUUGCAUCCCCUCAAGGUAAAGUUCUGUCCAUAAAAUCAUUACCGAUGGACUUAUCUUUCUACCCAAUAAUUAUUCCUGUUAAUUUCUUUUAGCUGACAUCGUCCCAUCGGCAACUCCGGCCGAUCAUCCUGUUGCACCAUCGGCCUCAACUAGCUAGAGGCGAGAGAUAGCUUUGAAACAAGUAAGCUAUUUGAUUAUCAUCCUUUAUUUCACCAAUCAUUUUAUUAUCAAAUAACCUAUCUUCUUUUCUUUUUUCAGGAACAAGAUUCUCCCGACAGCCUGUUCUCCUUUGCCAUCGAAAUCUCUGAUGAUGAAGGCGAAGAAGCAAGCUCUUCUCAAGCAAUCGGGAUCUCAUCAGCAGAAAUCAGAGCGAAGCUGGAAGAUUUGUUGGCCCUGCUUCACCAGGAUACAGCCCAACUGGUUGAUGACUCCGAACCAGCCAAGGCUCCGUUCAAAGUUUUCAGAGGCCAAAUCCCCGCCGAUGCUGAGGAGAUUCUUUUCAAGGCCGCACACUUGGAGAGUCGACAGCUCCAGUAAAAAAAAGCCACUCAGCGUCUUGCCGAUAGAGCCACUCAUGCUCAACUUUCACAGGAGGUAAUGAAAGUAAAGCAUCUUGCUGAUGAGAAACACAAGAGCAUCGGCAUUCUGAAAGCCUCUGGAGACUCACUGAAAUAAAAGAUUUAUGACCUAUCGACGAAAAGAGAAGUUCUGUUGGCAGAACUUAAACAAGUAGAAGAAGCUUUGUCCCAAGUUCAACAGGAAGAAAGCCAGCUGCCCGAAACGAUCAAGACUCUCGAACAAGAGCGAAAUGUCUAAGCUCGCAAGGCGCUGCAGUUGAAGAAGAAGCUGAAACCAGUGGAAGGUUCUACCGAUGAAGACAUCAGGGAGAUAGAAGAAGCUGAUCAAAUUCGACUGCGUGCUAUAUCGGCAAUUCAAGCCCCUCUGAGUGCAUAAGCUUUUCAUCGGCAGCAUGCUUUGUUCUUUCUCUAAAACCCUUGAACAUUUUGGUCUAGCUGUCGGGCCCUCAAUUUGAGAGUCCAAGUGUACACAUAUUUGUGCUAGGAUCGAGCACAAAUACGCAUGAGAUAACAGAAUUGGCACUCAGAUUUAAUAUAAAAUACCGAGCUUUAUUGAUAUAUUAAAAAAAAUAUAUGGUCUUACAAUAGUCAUGGUUCAGAUGGUAUAGCCAUAGGCAUUACAUAGCUAGCGAGAUUUUGCUGUCGUAAAGCAACAAUUUAUUACAACAGGAUGGUAGAUACUACAGCGGAUUCUAUAGCAUAGCGAUAAUCUAAACCACAGGCAAGCUUGAGCGCGGCCGAAACCCUAUGCCCUAGAGACUCCUAGCAUAUCCGUAGACCUUCGUGUGGCUCCUAGUCCUCGUGGUCCGCCUCCUCGUCGACGUUGUAGUCCUCCUCGGGGUUGAUAUCUGUGAGUCAUCAACAGGUGAGUACAUACAGUACUCAGCAAGCCCUAACCUUGGGGUACGGUGGAGUGGAUGGUGGAGAUGGUAAAGGAAUGGUGGUAUAGUACAAUUAAAUAAUGAUUGGGCCUUGGGAGAGAAUUACUCUUCUCGCCAGUUUCCAAGUUAGUUUCACAAAUAUUGAAAUAAUUAUGUUAGCACAGUCCCAUUUCACAUAAAAGAUAACUAAUCAUAAGAGACCUCAUCCUAGUGGUUGCCCAUUCCAAGGACGUGGCUAUUCGAAUAGGUUUAUUACUCUUUGCAGAGGGUGUACACUUUCCCCACAUGAUAGGCACAAUCCCAACCAUGAUCAGUCGUAGAAUUAACCUAACGAGAUCCCGUUCCCGGUUGACGCGACCUUGGGUUUCCAUAUAAUUCUACUGCGGCCUAUUCAGGGGUCGGUAACCACAAAGCGUUUGGAUGGUCACAUGACAUCCUAUCAGCGUUUGGAUGAUCACACAACAUCCAAUUAAAAAAGGGGCUCGCACCCGGCCCAACAAUAAUUUCACAUGGAAGAUCACAUUGCAACCAUGCCGACCAGACCAUGGAGAUCACACAUCAACCAUGUCCUUUCCUGAUAGUCCGUUGCCACCCCGGCCUCCUAGUAACAAUUAUAUUUCUACCCAACGGGGUGUGAGAUCAAGUCUACCCAUAUAGACAUGUGGUUGUACGCAUAUCACACUAGGUGAGAUUGCCUAUGAACCGGUCCUUACAUGACCGAAACGAGCAUCUCCAACAGGAACCCUCUCUAGGCGAUCCUGCCAAGGUAAAUCAUACCACAUGAUUUACCCCCGCUCGUUCCCGUCUAACAUGUUCGAGUUCACCAAAUUUAUGUUGCAUAUUUAUAUAGUUCAGUUCACAACUUGUCCAUAUUAGAAGUUCAUAGAAUAUCAUAUAGUUCCCAUCAUAACAUGCAGGUCAUUCCAUUUUACGAAUAUUCAACGGUUCGUAACUGUAACAUCCCUGAUGUUACGGUUACUAAAAUUCGGAUCAUGGCAUCAUCAGCAUUGCACAGCAUAGUUGUUAAGCACACCUUGAUGCAUCAACUUAAAAUGAGUUUAAUUUGGUUGAAUGUUCUUAGGGAAUUAAAGUGUGUUUAUCUUGUUUAUUGAUGCUUGAGUUGGUUGCUAAAACCCUAGGGUGAAAGGUUUCCGAAAGGCUUAGGGAGGAAAACCCUAAUUUUUGAACCCUAGAAUUGCCCCCUUUUGCACAAUUCAAAAACUAAGCAAAAUUUGAGGUUGCGUUCAAAAGCAAAGUUGUAGAUCUUGUCAAGAUGUACAACUUUGGUGUUUUGAGUUUUUGAAGUUUCAAUAUAAAAUUCAAAGUAAUUUUGAAAAUAAAGAUUUCCAGAAAGUGUCCCCUUUUCUAAUUUGAAUCUCCAAUUCAAAAUCUGUUUGGAAUUUUGAAAAGUGACUAACAUAAAAGUUGUAGAGCUCAAAAAGUUGAACAACAUUCAUGUUGGGAGUUUUUCAUGUUGUUUAGGAAAAACAAAAGUAAUUUUGGAAACUCUGAUCUGCCCCAAUUAAAAAAUUUGGAUUUCCCCAAAUUGGAUUUUGAAUUUCAAACUGUUUGGUCAAAAAUCACCAUGUUCCACUCAAAAUUGGCUUUGGUCACCAAAACAUGUUUUGUAGCUCACAAAAUUUUGCACAACUUUUGUUUUGGUGGCACUUUGACUUUAGUUCAAAUUUUGGCCAAAUUUUACAAAAGGCAGAGAAGGGGGGGAUAAGGGUCGGCUACAGUGAUCCGAUAUGGAUCACGGCGCCCCUGUCCAGCGCGGCCGCCGCGCGCGCAGCACCGCGUAUGCGCGUGCAGGCACGCAGCUGCUUGCUUGCCUGCGUCGCCAGGCGACGUGGACGCCCCGGGCUCGCUUCCUCCUCCCUUUGAGCACCAGCGUGGACGACGCCGCUCGAUUUCGCUGUCCACGGCCGAAGAAACCCGACGCCUCCCUCUCUCAAAUUCACCGUACUAGGUCCCCCUCGAGCCAAAUUAAGCAGUCCACUAUGUUCGCCACCUCCUUGCGAAUCCAGUGCACCCCCGAGCUCACUCCCUAACCCCCUCAAACGCCAGAGAUUCUCCCUCUUCUCCAUCUCCGGCGGCAUCGCCGCCGUGGAACCCUUCACGUGGACACGCUGCUCCAGUCGGUACCACGCCUUGCCAGCGGUCGUUUCAAGCUCUUCUCGUUUCCACGAUGCUCAUGCGCUCGCUCUUUCUCCCUGGACGUGAACAGGACCACCGGAACGACCUCGCCGGAGCCGGAGCACCCGCCCGACCGGACGACCACCGUCGCCAAGCCCUUCUACUGCUUCUCCCGCCGUGGUGAUGUGAGCACCAUGAUCCCCACUUCUUCCCAACCUCCCGGACCUGCUGGUUCACGCUCUACCGAGCCCUCGUGCCCGGUCUUCGGGCGACCGAUGCGGCCGUCCGCCAUUUGUGCGGCUGAGGUAGAAAGAGAGCGGUAGAGCGUCCGCGAGUAGUAGCUAUGGAGUCACAAGGUUGACGCGAAGCUGAUCCGCACCCUGGCGCGGGCUCAACCCUCGCCAGUGGUGGCCGGGGCCAUGGCAGUGCCGCCGUGCGUGAGGAAGGAGGCGCAGACGGGUGGGGCAUCCCCGUCAGUGACCCGCAGAAGGAGGAAGGGGGGGUCUGACGAGCGGGACCCGCCCGUCAGUGACCCACAGAGAGAGGAGGGGGUGAGCGCGCAGCGCCCGCAUGGGCCGGUCUGCGGGCCUUUUGGCUGGGCCUCGCCCAGUUCCAGUUUGUUUUUCUUUUUUUCCUUUUGUUUAAAAAUGCGUAAUGUUUGAAUUUGAAUAGAAAAUCUUGUGUAUAAAAAUUGCCUCUUUUAUUUAAUGAAUAAAAUUUCUCUGAAUUUUAAUAAUUUAUUUGCAUAUCCAGAAAUCACCAAAAUUUGUGGGGAGUCUCUGAAUAUUAUUCCCUGGCUCCACACAAAAUUUGAUGGCAUUUGGAUAAUGUUUGAAUAAAAUAUUAAUAAACCCUUACUUAGUAAUUAAAUAAUAUUUCUAGAAUAAUUAGAUAAUAAUUAGUUAAAUCCUCAUGAUUAGAGUUGUGUGAUUUUGGGAUUAUGUGAUGACAUGAGGUCAUUAACCCUAAUGACCUUUGGCAUUUAAUAUUGUUUUGCCUUAAUGCUUAAUUUUUGUCAUUAAUUUUUAAUUAAGAAUUAAUUAAGGUAAAAAGGAUUAAUAAUUAGUUAAUUAAGGAUAAUUAGAAAUUAAGAGGAAUCUUAAUUUACAGAUGCAACCUCUUGGGUAAAAACACUAAAAUGUUAAACAACUUUAUUUAUUGUUUAGUCUAUGUUGCACCGAGAAGGCAAGUUGUACUCGACUUGGUCCUUCUUGCAUAUUUGUCAUACACAUAUCAUGAGCAUUUAUCAUUUUGCGUAUAGUGCACGUGACCGAAGGAGCGACCGUUGAGCCGAACCCCGAGGUCGGUGCUCCGUUCGAGGAAGUAGGAUCCGAGACUUGGGAAGUCUCCGAGGGUCCCUCUCUACCCUGCAACCAAGGCAAGCCCCGGAUGCAUUAACCCCUCCUUGAAUAUUUUAAAUCUUUUAUCACUUAUGAAUUGAAAAUGCUGCAUUAGGUAGUUGAGAAUUGGGUUAACCUACUUGCUGCAUUUACUGCCUUGAUAUCUGUUAUGCUGUCCUUGACACCUGUUUUAUUUUAAAAUUGCGUAGUGAUGCUUAGCCCUGCUACUAGAUAGGUUUUCAAACAAGAAAGUUUGAAGGGUUGUUGUGGAAUACUAUUAUGGUCAAUGAUGUUUCAAGUUGAGACCGGUCGGUGGACUUGCUUUAAGAAUGGAGUCUUAAAGUAGUGUCUCCAACUGUGUCGGUUAAGGACCGGUCCGUUGAUGGCCCGCUGGGUUGAGAAUUUAUAGUACUAGCCACUUGCCCUCGGUAAGCCCAGUCUUGUGAUCCCUCGAUGCGAACAGCUACUCGCGCACUGGGCGUGGAAAGUUUGAUGAUGAUCUGGGUUAGUUAUAAAUGAUAAUCUUGAGUUAAAACUUGAAAGUAGGUUUUACUCUUAGUAAGCUUUUAUGCAAAAGAAAUGCUUUGAUCUUGCUAAAGCUUUGCCUUGAAUCCCUAUAGCCUGCAUGCCUGAGUCUUCACCUCUUUAUAGUCGGUUAAGUCUUGUUGAGUACUUUUGUACUCAGGGUUUAUUAACCCAUGUUGCAGGUGAGCCUUUCGAUAAUCCCUUUGAUGGUCAUGGUUACUUUACUCUUGUGGAGGAGAGUGAUGAUGAUGAACCUGAUGUGUGACCUUGGGCAAGUAAAAACUUGUUGUGUGAUCUAUGGUUUAUGUAAUAUAAAGUUCCGAAGCUUUUAUGUAUCAAAUACUUAUGGUUUGUAAACUAUGAACUUAAGUUUCAAUCUAUGUUAUGUAACCUUUCCGCUUUUACUCUGAUUUCUCUUAUCUAUGAAAUGUUGUAAUACUGUGAUGCUUGAUGAGGGAAUUCCUGAAAAGAAUGUAAUGUGGAUGAUUCGGGUUUCCGAGGACACCCGACAGACUUCUUGAGUCAUUUGGAACUCGUGCACGUCGAUCAGAAGUCUUUAGGACAAUGAUGUGUGCAUGUGGGCCACUUAAUUCAGAUGGCGAGAGUAGUGUGUACCCACCUUACGGAUCUGAGAUGACCGGGAAACAUCUAGGUCGGCUGUAGGAUGGUGGAGUACUAUGCUCUUCGGUGCCGCGAACCUGGUCAAAUUUGGGGAGAGCCGGAUUUGGGUUGACAUAUGCAAGAUUUGGUUCUACAUAUGUCGGGUGGUUAGGAACUCCAGCUGGAUUGCUAAGCGGUUCGAAUCGUCGUUGCUCCCCGAUUGGGAGACUCAAUCCACUGACCCUCAUCGUAGCUAAAUAUGCAACUAAGUGAUAAAAUGAGAAAAGGGAAAAUGUCUCAUGAGGUUCGGAUCCCAAUUCCCGGACUCAGAGUGACAUGAAGCUAUGGCCGUUGGAUAGAUAAUACUUUGGAUAAGGACUAGGAGCUCACAGACUUGUCUGUGAGAGGCAACUAGGUAGACUGUCCUCGAACUCCUCGACCUCUUAAGGAGAGGAAUUCGCGGGUAAAACUUGAAAGUAAGGAUGCACUAUUAGUAAGCUUUUUAGCAAAACACUUUGGCUCCUUGCUCAGCCACUCCUUGUUUACCCUAAGCCUGCAUUCCUACUUUCUCCUCUUUUUCCACCGGGUAAGUCUUGUUGAGUACUCCCGUACUCAGGGUUUUACAACCCCUAUUGCAGGUGAAGCUCAAGAGCCGACCUGUUUUGGUCCCUGUUGUGUGACCGCCGUCGAGGUUGACGACGAGGAAGAGUGAGCGUGACCCAUGGGCAGGGUCUGUAAAUUUGUACUCUAUGUUCUAAAGUUUAAGUUGCUUCGCUGGUCCAGGCUUGUAAUAACACUCUACUAUUUGGACGAACUCCUUUUGUAAAUUAAGUUAGGUAAUACUUCCGCUGUUUUACUCUGAAACAUUACUUUGGUUUUAUGUCGUCUGUGAUACUGCAAUGUCUUCGCAACGAGUGGUCCUGGUGUUAAGGUGGCCAGUUGCUAUCCUGUAAGGGCGAGAAGAAGAAAUUCUCGUUAAUUGACCAUCACCAGUGGUCAGGACGAGCUUGCUUGAUACGCCACAGGUAGCGGUGGAAUGAGCGUCUAGCGAUGCUCAUCGGACUUCUAAAGUGGGAGGAUCCCCGACAUCAUUGUCAGAGGUCCUUGGGACAAUGACGGGUGUCGGUGGGCCCAAACACUUAGGAGGUUCCGCCACAGCUGGUAUCAGAGCAUUCGUUGCUAAGAUGGUUGCUGUAUCCUUUGAAAAACUUCAAAACUCAUUUGGAUCCAAUACUAUAAACUUGCCUACUUUGAGUCCAAGUGCUGUAGUCCUAACUUACCCCUAUCUGUAGGCUUCCUUAGAAUUUUUGAAGUGGUAUGGAGGAGCAACAUAAAGUCUUGCCCUAUGUUGUAAAGGUUUUUAAGUAAUAUUGUUACGAUUUGCUAGUAGGAAUCGUAAGUUCAUGCAUGCAUCAUGAUAUAUUACUUGGUUAAAAUUUCCUUCCUCCUUGUUUGGGUUGGGUUGUAUAGAAUCAAUCCCAUUCUUGCUAACCUUUAAGGUCUCCUUUACUAAUCUAAACUUACCCUCUACAGGAUGCCUCGUUGGAAGCAGACCCCGCGCAAGAAGACAGGUCCAAAAGGGGUCCCUAGACAUCAGUUGGCCCCGCGAAGCGAACAAGCAAGCAGUAGCCGUUCACCGCCUCAGCAGGAGGAGGGCAAGUUGUCCGCCGAGCUGACCGAAGUGAUGAGAGAAAGGAUGUACAACGUCAUGGAGAUCGGCGAACUUAAAGCUCAACUAACCAAAGAAAAACAAGCCACAGAGAACUGUGAGGCCAUGCUGUCCCGUAUGGUGGAGGAGAGGAAUGCUGCUAUUGCCCAAGAAGAGGAAUCCAGGAGUGCACACAGGCACGAGCUGACUAGGAUGAAGGCAAAGCUGGACAAGACCAAGUACCUUAAAGAUCUGUAUGUGAAGAUGGCGGCCACUGUCACCGCGCAGAGGGAUGUCGCGUGGCAGCGGGAGGACCAGCUCCAGUUGGAGAGGCUGGAGCUGGCACACCAUUUAGACACCGUCAACGAUCUGGUAAUGCAAUACCGUGAUAUUGCAUUUGAUCUAUAUCAUCAGCUCCACCCACCUCCAGGCGAAGGAGAGAUGGACACGGAUGGAGAGUUGGCGGACGAUGGGGAACCUGACCAAGACCUCAGUGGCGGGGAGGAAUCUGACUCCGGUAAUGACAACCCGGGGGGUGAUCAUGAUGAUGGCAAUGACGACCCAGGUUACAGCUCUGGCCACACCGACUAGUUCGGUGAAGCCGCGAACAGCAUCGUUGUAGGAUUCCUAGUUGACCGUAGUGGGGUCGGGUUUGUAAUCUAGAGCUUCCUUUCAGUUUAAGAAGUAGUACUCGUUUGUUUCCAGUAUGUUGAACUGAUGUGUAAUAAAUAAAUGGAAGUAUGUAAGAUAUGUUCUAAGUUAUGAAUUUCGUGUGGUAACAAGUAAAUAUAACUCUUGUAGCAGAUGCCGAUGCGUACGCGAGGAUAUGAUGGAGCCGGGACAUCUCAGGGAGGGGAUGAUAUCCCCAACCCUCCACCUACCCCACCUUCUUUGGCUGAUGCCAUUGCUGUUCUCUUGAGUGCCACUACCGACAACGCUCGCUUGUUGCGCGAGCUUGCACAACGUCAACCACACCCCACCCCAAACUUCAGGGCACUGCACAAUGGGGACGGAGAAGCUCGGUACGUGGACUUUACCGAGACAAGACCCCCGGUAUUCACCAAGGCUGAUGAGCCUCUAGAAGCUGAUGAUUGGCUCCGAACCAUGGAGCACAAGUUCAGUUUGAUUCAGUGUUCAGAAACUCAGAAGCCCCUGUUCGCAGCUCAGCAGCUUCGAGGAGCUGCGGGUGCCUGGUGGGAGAAUUUUCUAGCCAUCCAAGCUCCAGGGCACCAGGUCACCUGGACAGAGUUUAAGGACGCGUUCCGCGCCCAUUACAUCCCUGAAGGGCUCAUGGCCAUGAAGGCCAAAGAGUUUCUCGCCUUGCAGCAAGGCGAUAAAAAUGUCAUGGAAUACGUGGCAAAAUUUAAUCACCUCUCUCAGUACGCCACGGACCAUGUGAACACGGACAGAAAGAAGAAAGCUUGUUUCAUGCGUGGUCUAAAUACUAAACUUCAGACCAUGAUGACCACCUGUCAAAAUGUUACCUUCUAUGAGGCGGUAAAUAUUGCCAUCGCCUCAGAAGAAAAGAAUAGAAAGCACAAAGAAGCCAAGAAGAAGGCUGCUUCUUCCUCCUUCUCUGGUCGCGGUCAAAAGCGCCAGAGAAUCAUUUAUCAUCCGCAGGGCUACGGAUGCUUUCCAGCGCCGUUACCUUAUCGUGGUCCUUUUUCCCCACCACAAUAUAGACCAGGGCAGCAGGUAUAGCCUCGACCUACUGCCAUCGCUACUACACCACGCCAGCCGAACGCCCCAGGUGUUCGCCCCACUGCUCCGCCCAACCACAAUUACCCAUGUUUCAAUUGUGGUAAGCCUGGGCAUUUUUCCAAGGAGUGCCCCUACCCCCGCCAAACCAACCCCACCUUCCAAAGGCCACCUAUGGGCCAACCCCAGCAGAGCCAAUUCAGGACUGGGGUUCAGAAAGGACAAAAUAUGCAAAAGGGAAAACCAGCGAAGAAAGUGGGACAAGUUUUCCAUAGGAGGUGGAGACAAUCCCGGAGGGUGAAACAGUAAUGAUGGGUACGUUUCCUGUCGCGAAACAUCCUGCUUUAAUGCUUUUCGAUUCUGGUGCAUCUCAUACAUUCAUCAAUCGCACCUUUGUGUUAAAGCAUGGCAUACCCAUUGGGGAAACACAAGAUCACUUUUAUAUUCAGUCGCCAGGAGGACGGCUGAGUUCUAAAGAGAUGGUUCACCAGAUACCUAUUGAAUUUGGUGGGCAUAGUUUUCCCACUAGCAUGAUUGUUCUUAAAGACCAGGAGAUUGAUGUUAUACUAGGCAUGAACUGGAUGGCACAACGAGGGGUUGUGCUAGACACUUUGCAUCGAACCAUUAAAAUACCAUUGCCCAAUGAGAAUUCUUAUCUGCUAAUUCAAUUAGUUACUCCUAAGCGGGCAAUUGGGCAAGUUCAUGCCACUAAUGUGUCUGCAGUUCAAGAUAUCCCGGUAGUUCGGGAUUUUCCAGAUGUAUUCCCUGAAGACCUACCAGGUCUACCACCGGACUGGGAUGUCCAGUUCAGUAUAGAAUUGAAACCGGGGACAGCCCCAAUAUCUCGAAGGGCCUACAGAAUGGCACCGAAAGAGCUGGCCGAAUUAAAAACCCAACUACAAGAGCUGUUGCAGAAAGGUUUUAUUCAGCCCAGUUCUUCUCCAUCGGGUUGCCCAGCCUUGUUUGUGAAAAAGAAAGAUCAAACAUUAAGGCUGUGUGUCGAUUAUCGUCUCCUGAAUGAGGUGACGAUUAAGAACAAGUACCCAUUGCCCCGUAUUGACUUACUGUUUGACCAGUUAGCCGGGGCCAAAGUGUUCUCAAAAAUUGAUUUGAGAUCAGGGUACCACCAAAUUAAAAUUAGGCCGGAAGAUAUACCUAAAACAGCUUUUACAACCCGUUACGGGCUGUAUGAAUACUUGGUAAUGUCUUUUGGGUUGACCAAUGCACCGGCCCAUUUCAUGUACUUGAUGAACUCUGUCUUCAUGCCAGAACUAGACAAAUUUGUGGUCGUCUUUAUUGAUGACAUCUUGAUCUAUUCCAAGACUAAGAAAGAACAUGCUGAACAUCUGAGAAUUGUACUGACCCGCCUCAGGGAGCAUCAGUUAUAUGCCAAGUUCAGCAAAUGUGAAUUCUGGCUGGACAAAGUUCAUUUCCUGGGUCAUGUGUUAUCAGCGGAGGGAGUCGCUAUAGACCCAGGUAAAGUAGAAGAUGUGUUGAAUUGGAAGCCUCCAACUACGGUACAUGAGGUCCGUAGUUUUCUGGGUAUGGCGGGAUAUUACCGUCGUUUUAUCCCGGACUUUUCAAGAGUCGCCAAACCAAUCACAACCUUGCUCAAGAAUCAAACAAAAUUUGUUUGGUCACCCCAAUGUGAGCAAGCCUUCCAGACUCUAAAAAGAUUAUUGAAAACUGCACCUGUCUUAGCCCAGCCAGAUAUUGAAAAGCCCUUUGAUGUGUAUUGUGACGCAUCAGAGAUAGGGAUAGGCUGUGUGCUAAUGCAGGAGGGUCGCGUAAUUGCAUAUGCUUCCAGACAGCUUAAACCACAUGAAGAGAAUUACCCGACCCAUGAUCUUGAACUAGCCGCCGUAGUACAUGCAUUAAAGAUCUGGCGCCAUUAUCUGUUGGGAAAUACUUGCCAUCUAUACACGGAUCACAAAAGCUUGAAGUACAUCUUUACUCAAGCUGAACUUAACAUGCGCCAGCGAAGGUGGCUAGAAUUAAUCAAAGAUUACGACCUUGAGGUGCAUUAUCAUCCUGGCAAGGCGAAUGUAGUAGCUGAUGCCCUCAGUCGUAAGGCUCACUGUAAUUGCUUAACAGUGACGCCUAGAGAUAUAACUUUGUGCCAAGAGCUAGAGAACUUGGGGAUAGAAAUGAUUUCCCAAGGAAGCCUUGCCAAUCUAACGGUUGAUUUCAAUCUCGAAGCUCAAAUUAUAGAGGCACAAAGGGAAGACAAGGGUAUGAAAUAUCUUAAAGAGAAAAUUUCUAAUAGAGCACCCACAGACUUUAAGGUGGAUGAUGCAGGAGUAAUCUGGUUCAAGAACCGAUUAGUGGUUCCAAAGGUACCUGAGCUACGUCAGCAAAUCCUAGAUGAAGCUCAUACCACGAGGUAUUCUAUUCAUCCGGGAAGCAAUAAGAUGUAUCAGGACCUAAAGCAAAGGUUUUGGUGGACAAAAAUGAAGAUAGAAAUAGCCCGCUAUGUGGCCCAAUGCGACACCUGUCGAAAGGUCAAAGCUAUUCAUCUCAAAACCGCUAGAGAGUUGCAACCUUUGCCUAUUCCAGCAUGGAAAUGGGAUGACAUAAGUAUGGAUUUCAUAGUAGGAUUGCCAAAGACAGCUAAAGGCUUUGAUUCCAUUUGGGUCAUAGUGGAUCGUCUCACCAAAACAGCACACUUCUUACCUGUAAAGACAUCGUAUCAUACUUCCACCUAUGCUCAGAUCUAUUUUGAUCGUAUACUAAGUCUGCAUGGGGUGCCAAAGACAAUAGUGUCAGAUAGAGGCACACAAUUUGUCUCCCAGUUCUAGAAAUGCUUACAUAAAUCCUUGGGCACCAAACUUUUAUACAGCACAGCCUACCACCCUCAAACAGGUGGGCAAACUGAAAGGGUGAAUCAAACCCUAGAAGAUCUAUUAAGAUCUUGUGCCCUGAAUUUUCCAGAUAAGUGGGAUGACUGCUUGCCUCUAGCAGAAUUUUCUUACAACAAUAGCUACCAAGAGAGUAUCAAGAUGGCUCCCUUUGAGGCACUAUAUGGCCGUCGAUGUCGAACUCCAUUACACUGGUCGGAGCUCGGAGAAAGAUGGUUCUUCGGGGUUGACUUAGUGAAAGAGACUGAGAACAGAGUUAGACAAAUCCAAAAUAACAUAAGAGUUGCUCAGUCCCGACAGAAAAGCUAUGCCGAUAAAAGACGUCGACCAUUAAGGUUCGCCAAAGGUGAUCAUGUAUAUUUGAAAGUGUCCCCAAUGAAAGGAGUAAAUCGUUUUGGUGUUAAAGGCAAGUUAGUGCCCCGUUACAUUGGUCCAUUUCCAAUCAUUGACCGAUGUGGACAGGUAGCUCACCGCCUUAAACUGCCCGAACGAUUAUCCGGGAUACACAAUGUAUUUCAUGUGUCUCAAUUGAAAAAGUGUCUUCGAGUACCGGACCAAAUCCAAGAUAUUGAAGAUGUGGAACUUGAACCGGAUUUAACUUAUUCGGAGUAUCCUAUCCGAGUAUUGGACCAAAGAGAUAGAGUUACUCGAAGAACAACUACCAAGUGGUAUAAGAUACAGUGGAGCCAACACUCUGAAGAGGAAGCCACCUGGGAAUCUGAAGAUUAUCUGCUGGAGAAUUUUCCUGAGUUUCACGCUUCUCUUCAAGACAACAUCUGAUAAAUAGGGAGUGUACUCUAGUGAAGGAAAAGAGUAACCAAAGCCAUGUACUUUGUGUACAUAUAUGUUUAUAUUUGAGUAAUCUUCCCCAACCUCUUGCUUUAUGAGAAAGUUGAAGAUGAAAGAAUUUUGACAAAUUUCCUUUUCCAUUACUUACCCUAAGGCUUUAAAUCUCGGGGACGAGAUUUCUUUAAGGGGGAAGGGCUGUAACAUCCCUGAUGUUACGGUUACUAAAAUUCGGAUCAUGGCAUCAUCAGCAUUGCACAACAUAGUUGUUAAGCACACCUUGAUGCAUCAACUUAAAAUGAGUUUAAUUUGGUUGAAUGUGCUUAGGGAAUUAAAGUGUGUUUAUCUUGUUUAUUGAUGCUUGAGUUGGUUGCUAAAACCCUAGGGUGAAAGGUUUCCGAAAGGCUUAGGGGGGAAAACCCUAAUUUUUGAACCCUAGAAUUGCCCCCUUUUGCACAAUUCAAAAACUAAGCAAAAAUUUGAGGUUGAGUUCAAAAGCAAAGUUGUAGAUCUUGUCAAGAUGUACAACUUUGGUGUUUUGAGUGUUUGAAGUUUCAAUAUAAAAUUCAAAGUAUUUUUAAAAAUACAGAUUUCCAGAAAGUGUCCCCUUUUCUAAUUUGAAUCUCCAAUUCAAAAUCUGUUUGGAAUUUUGAAAAGUGACUAACAUAAAAGUUGUAGAGCUCAAAAAGUUGAACAACUUUAAUGUUGGGAGUUUUUCAAGUUGUUUAGGAAAAACAAAAGUAAUUUUGGAAACUCUGAUCUGCCCCAAUUAAAAAAUUUGGAUUUCCCCAAAUUGGAUUUUGAAUUUCAAACUGUUUGGUCAAAAAUCACCAUGUUCCACUCAAAAUUGGCUUUGGUCACCAAAACAUGUUUUGUAGCUCACAAAAUUUUGCACAACUUUUGUUUUGGUGGCACUUUGACUUUAGUUCAAAUUUUGGCCAAAUUUUACAAAAGGCAGAGAAGGGGGGGAUAAGGGUCGGCUACAGUGAUCCGAUAUGGAUAACGGCGCCCCUGUCCAGCGCGGCCGCCGCGCGCGCAGCACCGCGUAUGCACGUGCAGGCACGCAGCUGCUUGCUUGCCUGCAUCGCCAGGCAACGUGGACGCCCCGGGCUCGCUUCCUCCUCCCUUUGAGCACCAGCGUGGACGACGCCGCUCGAUUUCGUUGUCCACGGCCGAAGAAACCCGACGCCUCCCUCUCUCAAAUUCACCGUACUCGGUCCCCCUCGAGCCAAAUUAAGCAGUCCACUACAUUCGCCACCUCCUUGCGAAUCCAGUGCACCCUCGAGCUCACUCCCUAACCCCCUCAAACGCCAGAGCUUCUCCCUCUUCUCCAUCUCCGGCCGGCAUCGCCGCCGUGGAACCCUUCACGUGGACACGCUGCUCCAGUCGGUACCACGCCUUGCCAGCGGUCGUUUCAAGCUCUUCUCGUUUCCACGAUGCUCAUGCGCUCGCUCUUUCUCCCUGGACGUGAACAGGACCACCGGAACGACCUCGCCGGAGCCGGAGCACCCGCCCGACCGCACGGCCACCGUCGCCAAGCCCUUCUACUGCUUCUCCCGCCGUGGUGAUGUGAGCACCAUGAUCCCCACUUCUUCCUGAACGUCCCGGACCUGCUGGUUCACGCUCUACCGAGCCCUCGUGCCCGGUCUUCGGGCGACCGAUGCGGUCGUCCGCCAUUUGUGCGGGUGAGGUAGAAAGAGAGCGGUAGAGCGUCCGCGAGUAGUAGCUAUGGAGUCGCAAGGUUGACGCGGAGCUGAUGCGCACCCUGGCGCGGGCUCAACCCUCGCCAGCGGUGGCCGGGGCCAUGGCAGUGCCGCCGCGCGUGAGGAAGGAGGCGCUGACGGGUGGGGCAUCCCCGUCAGUGACCCGCAGAAGGAGGAAGGGGGGGUCUGACGAGCGGGACCCGCCCGUCAGUGACCCACAGAGAGAGGAGGGGGCGCGCGCGCAGCGCCCGCAUGGGCCGGCCUGCGGGCCUUUUGGCUGGGCCUCGCCCAGUUCCAGUUUGUUUUUCUUUUUUUUCCUUUUGUUUAAAAAUGCUUAAUGUUUGAAUUUGAAUAGAAAAUCUUGUGCUGAUUCAAAAAUCAUGAAAAUUUUUGUAUGGGUUCCAUAAAAUGAGUAGAACACAAGAAAAAUAAUAGGUUCUCUUUUCUGAUGGUUUACAUGUGUAUAAAAAUUGCCUCUUUUAUUUAAUGAAUAAAACUUCUCUGAAUUUUAAUAAUUUAUUUGCAUAUCCAAAAAUCACCAAAAUUUGUGGGGAGUCUCUGAAUAUUAUUCCCUGGCUCCACAAAAUUUGAUGGCAUUUGGAUAAUGUUUGAAUAAAAUAUUAAUAAACCCUUACUUAGUAAUUAAAUAAUAUUUCUAGAAUAAUUAGAUAAUAAUUAGUUAAAUCCUCAUGAUUAGAGUCGAGUGAUUUUUGGAUUAUGUGAUGACCUGAGGUCAUUAACCCUAAUGACCUUUGGCAUUUAAUAUUGUUUUGCCUUAAUGCUUAAUUUUUGUCAUUAAUAUUUAAUUAAGAAUUAAUUAAGGUAAAAAGGAUUAAUAAUUAGUUAAUUAAGGAUAAUUAGAAAUUAAGAGGAAUCUUAAUUUACAGAUGCAACCUCUUGGGUAAAAACACUAAAAUGUUAAACAACUUUAUUUAUUGUUUAGUCUAUGUUGCACCGAGAAGGCAAGUUGUACUCGACUUGGUCCUUCUUGCAUAUGUGUCAUACACAUAUCAUGAGCAUUCAUCAUUUUGCGUAUAGUGCACGUGACCGAAGGAGCGACCGUUGAGCCGAACCCCGAGGUCGGUGCUCCGUUCGAGGAAGUAGGAUCCGAGACUUGGGAAGUCUCCGAGGGUCCCUCUCUACCCUGCAACCAAGGCAAGCCCCGGAUGCAUUAACCCCUCCUUGAAUAUUUUAAAUCUUUUAUCACUUAUGAAUUGAAAAUGCUGCAUUAGGUAGUUGAGAAUUGGGUUAACCUACUUGCUGCAUUUACUGCCUUGAUAUCUGUUAUCCUAUCCUUGAUACCUAUUUUAUUUUAAAAUUGCGUAGCGAUGCUUAGCCCUGCUACUAGAUAGGUUUUCAAACAAGAAAGUUUGAAGGGUUGUUGUGGAAUACUAUUAUGGUCAAUGAUGUUUCAACUUGAGACCGGUCGGUGGACUUGCUUUAAGAAUGGAGUCUUAAAGUAGUGUCUCCAACUGUGUCGGUUAAGGACCGGUCCGUUGAUGGCCCGCUGGGUUGAGAUUUAAAGUAGUGUGUACCCACCUUACGGAUCUGAGAUGACCGGGAAACAUCUAGGUCGGCUGUAGGAUGGUGGAGUACUAUGCUCUCGGGUGCCGCGAACCUUGUCAAAUUUGGGGAGAGCCGGAUUUGGGUUGACAUAUGCAAGAUUUGGUUCUACAUAUGUCGGGUGGUUAGGAACUCCAGCUGGAUUGCUAAGCGGUUCGAAUCGUCGUUGCUCCCCGAUUGGGAGACUCAAUCCACUGACCCUCAUCGUAGCUAAAUAUGCAACUAAGUGAUAAAAUAAGAAAAGGGAAAAUGUCUCAUGAGGUUCGGAUCCCAAUUCCCGGACUUAGAGUGACAUGAAGCUAUGGCUGUUGGAUAGAUAAUACUUUGGAUAAGGACUAGGAGCUCACAGACUUGUCUGUGAGAGGCAACUAGGUAGACUGUCCUCGAACUCCUCGACCUCUUAAGCAGAGGAAUUCGCGGGUAAAAGUUGAAAGUAAGGAUGCACUAUUAGUAAGCUUUUUAGCAAAACACUUUGGCUCCUUGCUCAGCCACUCCUUGUUUACCCUAAGCCUGCAUUCCUACUUUCUCCUCUUUUUCCACCGGGUAAGUCUUGUUGAGUACUCCCGUACUCAGGGUUUUACAACCCCUGUUGCAGGUGAAGCUCAGGAGCCGACCUGUUUCGGUCCCUGUUGUGUGACCGUCGUCGAGGUUGACAACGAGGAAGAGUGAGCGUGACCCAUGGGCAGGGUCUGUAAAUUUGUACUCUGUGUUCUAAAGUUUAAGUUGCUCCGCUGGACCAGGCUUGUAAUAACACUCUACAAUUUGGACGAACUCCUUUUGUAAAUUAAGUUAGGUAAUACUUCCGCUGUUUUACUCUGAAACAUUACUUUGGUUUUAUGUCGUCUGUGAUACUGCAAUGUCUUCGCAACGAGUGGUCCUGGUGUUAAGGUGGCCACUUGCUAUCCUGUAAGGGCCAGAAGAAGAAAUUCUCGUUAAUUGAGCAUCACCAGUGGUCAGGACGAGCUUGCUUGAUACGCCAUAGGUAGCGGUGGAAUGAGCGUCUAGCGAUGCUCAUCGGACUUCUAAAGUGGGAGGAUCCCCGACAUCACUGUCACAGGUCCUUGGGACAAUGACGGGUGUCGUUGGGCCCAAACACUUAGGAGGUUCCGCCACAGCAACAUAACAUAGUAGCUCAUAAUAUUCAGUUUCAAAAGUAUACAUGUCUAUAUAUAUAGAAGGUGACACACAUUAUAUAAUUUAAGUUUAUUAGUCGUUUGAUGGAAAAAUGAGUGUUGACGGGUUUGUAGUGGAAAUGAUAAAAUAUGGUGGUGGCGGAAGGGGGAAGCUAGUACUUGCCUUUGUUGUACUCUCCUUCCGAUUCAACGUAGUCUGGGUCCUCGCCUUCCUGGUAUUCACUCUCCUCUGCUUCCCAAUCUGGCCGGAGUUGCGCUUCAGGGGAUGAACUGAGGCUCGGACUCCACAGCGGCGGCGGCGACACCCAGUUUUGGGCAAAAUGUGACGGUGCUGGAAAUGAGAUGGGAAUAGGGGAGGUGUGGGGAAGACGGCGUGUUCCAACUCAAUGCGAAGCUCGUAGUGAUGGUCGUGACGGCGGAGACUCACCGGUAGAGCCCUUUUAUAGGCCGGCGAGGUCGGUGGCGGCGGCAAGAUCUUUUCAGCUUGCCGGCCGAUAUUUUCUUCCUCGCGCACAUGGUCGAGCUCGAGGUUCUAGGUGCCGGGCUAGACUCUUCCCUGUCCUCUCGCCUCCGGCGAGGUCGGUGCUAGGUGAGGUCUCGUCAAUGGCGUCGGUGGGGUUUGCGUGCCAGCCUCUCUGAUGGUGUUGACGUGCUGUGAAGCACAGGGAAGAAGGAGAGGGGAUGAUGGAAUGGUUCGAGGCUGGUCAGCUGGUUCCUGUGUGCUGGUCCUCCUUGACAUUGGGACAGGGCCACGACAGGGCCGGUGAAUCGAGCGUGGAUGCGGAUUCACGCUGAAGAGGAUGAAGCUGACCACAGGGUCCCACUCGUCAGUGAGAAGUGAGGGAAAGGGGGAGAGCUGCCGCUGCGCCUUGCUGGGCCAGAAGGGAAUAGGAAAAAAAAGGCUUGAGUUCAUUUUUCUCAUUUAUAAGAAGGCCUUUUCCCUUUCCCUUUCUCCGAAAAACCACUAGAGAGAAAUUUUACUUUAAAUUCAAAAAAUAAUUUUCAAGGGAUAAUAUGUACCACCAUAGGUUCAUUGAGCAGAACACAACACAUGAUUUGUUCAACUUGGUGAAUUCUAUUCGUGUCAAAAAAAAUGCUACGCGGUUAAUUAUUUUUAUAGAGAAAAUUUAAAAGUUCAAAUUUUUAGUGACUUUUGAAACAUGGAAAAUUUUUAGGGUGUUACAGACCUACCCCCUUGAAAUGGAUCUCGUCCUCGAGAUUCGAACUAACCCUCAAAUAAGUAUGGAAAUUCUUUUUUAAGAUCGUCCUCUCUUUCCCAUGUAGCUUCUGCUUCAGUGUGGUUGCUCCACUGUACCCGACAAAAUCUUACUGUCGUCCUUCUUGUUUGUCGUGUGGCGAUAUCCAAAAUUUUGAUCGGCCUCUCUUGGUAUUGUAAGUCAGGCUGUAAAUCUAUUGCUUCUAUUGGUGCUUGCUCUUCUGGCACCCUUAAACAUCGUUUUAAUUGUGAUACGUGGAAUACAUUAUGUAUAUCUGACAUCUCUGGAGGCAAUUCUACGCGAUAAGCUACCGCUCCAAUCUUUUCUAUGAUCUUGUAUGGUCCAAUAUAUCGUGGUGCUAACUUUCCUCUCACUUGAAACCUUCGCGUUCCUCUAAUCGGGGAUACCUUUAAGUAGGCAAAAUUUUCUGGUUGAAAUUCCAACGGUCUUCUUCGUGUGUCUGCAUAGCUUUUCUGUCUGCUCUGUGCAGCCUUUAAAUUUUCUCGGACUUUGGCUACCUGUUCUUCAGCGCCUCUGAUCAUAUCGGGACCGAACAAGGUCCGCUCUCAAACCUCAGACCACAUCAGGGGGUUCGACACUUCCGUCCGUAUAACGCUUCAAAUGGAGCCAUUUUUAGACUUGCUUGGUAACUAUUAUUGUAAGAAAAAUCCGCGAAAGAUAGGCUCUUUUCCCAGUCUUUACCGUAGGUGAGUACGCAGGCUCGUAACAUGUCUUCUAAUAUUUGAUUUACUCGCUUAGUCUGCCCAUCGGUUUGCGGGUGACAUGCUGAGCUGUAGUCCAGAUGGGUACCCAAAGCAGUAUGCAAGCUUUUCCAAAAACGUGCUGUGAAUUGAGUACCCCGAUCUGACACAAUCUUGCUUGGUACUCCAUGUAGUCGAAGAAUAUUAUCGAUAUAUAAUUGUGCCAAUUUAUCCCCCCGGUAUUUGGCCUUUACCGGAAUAAAGUGAGCUACUUUAGUUAAUCUAUCCACUAUCACCCAUAUUGAAUCGUUUCCUUUUUGUGUUUUAGGCAGACCCACUAUAAAGUCCAUACUAAUCUCGUCCCAUUUCCACACCGGAAUAUUUAAUGGUUGCAGUAAUCCAGCUGGCCGUUGGUGUUCUGCUUUUACUCGUUGACAUAUAUCGCAGCGUGCCACAUAGUCUGCGAUAUCAACCUUCAUUCCAGUCCACCAAUAUUUUCGUUUGAGGUCCAUAUACAUUUUCGUUGAGCCUGGAUGAAUGGAGUACGCUGACUGAUGAGCUUCAUCCAAAAUUAGCUUCCUGAGCUUCUCAUCUUGAGGUACGCAUAUUCGAUUUUUAUACCAUAAUGUUCCCCGUUCAUCGACCUUAAAUCCUUCAAUUUCUUUUUCAGCACUUUUCUCAAAGGCGUUUUAUCUCGUCAUCCUGGGCUUGAAUUUCUUUUAUUUGGUUUUCUAAUGUUGGUUGUAGGUGUAUAGUAUUUACUGUGCCAUAUGGUACAAUUUGUAGGUUUAGUUGGCGAACUUCUUGUGCUAGUUCCAGUAUUUGAUUCAAGGUCGUGAGAUGAUGACAAUAAGAUUUCCGGCUCAAGGCGUCAGCAACUACGUUGGCCUUUCCCGGAUGAUAUUGUACGCUCAGGUCGUAAUCUUUAAUUAAUUCCAACCAUCUUCUCUGUCGUAAAUUUAAGUCUGGUUGGGUAAAAAUAUAUUUUAGACUUUUGUGAUCUGUAAAUAUUUCGCACUUAUUUCCAAUAAGAUAGUGUCUCCAUAUUUUUAGUGCAUGCACUACUGCUGCCAAUUCGAGAUCAUGUGUUGGAUAAUUUUCCUCAUGCUUCUUUAACUGUCUGGAGGCGUACGCGACAACUCGACCAUCCUGCAUUAGCACGCAUCCUAAACCUUGUCGGGAAGCGUCACAAUAUACUACAAAAUCUCUGUGAAUAUCUGGUAGCGUGAGUACAGGAGCUGUAGUUAACCUCUUCUUUAAUUCUUGAAAACUCCGCUCGCAAGCUUCCGUCCAUUUAAAUUCUUUUCCCUUUUGGGUUAAGGUUGUCAUAGGCCUAGCAAUUUUUGAGAAUCCCUCUAUAAACCUUCGGUAGUAACCGGCUAAUCCUAGAAAACUACGGAUUUCCGUCACAUUUGUGGGUUGCUUCCAUUCCGAUACUGCUUUUCUGGAUCUACUUUUACUCCAUCUACGGUAAUAAUAUGUCCCAAAAAUGCAACUUCCUGUAACCAAAACUCGCAUUUGCUAAAUUUGGCAUACAACUCAUGGGCUCUUAACUUGUUUAAUAUGACCCUCAGAUGUUGUUCAUGUUCGUCAGCACUCUUUGAGUAUAUAAGGAUGUCAUCAAUGAAUACUACUACAAACUUAUCUAGCUCUUCCAUGAAUACUUUAUUCAUUAAAUUCAUAAAGUAUGCAGGUGCAUUUGUUAAUCCAAACGGCAUCACAGUAAACUCAUAUUGUCCAUAGUGGGUUACAAAGGCCGUUUUUGGUAUGUCACUAAGUCGGAUUUUCAGCUGAUAAUAGCCUGACCUCAAAUCUAUUUUUGAAAAAUAUUUAGCACCUUUUACUUGAUCAAACAGAUCAUCGAUCCUAGGUAAUGGGUACUUAUUUUUAAUGGUGACCUCAUUUAGCGAUCGAUAAUCUAUGCACAUUCGAAGACUUCCAUCUUUCUUCUUUACAAACAGAACUGGUGAUCCCCAUGGCGAUGAGCUCGGUCGGAUAUAUCCUUUCUCCUGUAAUUCUCGUAAUUGUUUCUUUAAUUCCUCCAAUUCGUUGGCUACCAUUCGAUAUGGUCUCUUGGCUAUUGGAGCGGUUCCCGGCAUUAAAUCAAUAAUAAAUUCUAAAUCCCUAUCCGGUGGCAUUCCAGGCAGAUCUUCAGGGAAUACAUCGGGAUAUUCACAUACUACAGGCACUUCUUCCACAGUCUUAGCUUCUAUACUACAAACCAUCGGCUGAGAUUUUGGGGCUUGGGGGUAACAUUCUACUUUUAUCCCGUUGUGAUUUAUUAAAGUUACAGCCCUGUCUCUGCAAGCUAUAUUACCAUGGUGUUUUCUUAACCAAUCCAUUCCCAAUAUGACAUCUAGUCCCUCUGUUUUCAGUACUACUAAGUCCACUUGGAAUUCGAUUCCAUUAAUCAUUAUUUUUACUUGAGGACAUUUUAGAGAACAUUUGAGGAUAGCUCUAGGGGUGCGUAUCAAGAGAGGGGUGGGGAGUAACACCGUUCUUAAAUCAUUUUUAAGCACAAAACAAGUAGAGACAAACGAGUGCGAGGCUCGAGAAUCAAACAACACGCUUGCAGAAGCAGAGUUCAUGAGAAACUCACCGUACACUACAUCAGGUGCUGCCUGCACUUCUUCCGCACUUACGUGGUUGACUCGGCCUUGCCCGAACGUUUGGGUGUUCUUCCUCUGCUGUCCAGAGUUCUGAGGUCCAGUGCGUCCAACUCCUGAGGCUGCAGUUCGGUUACUUGCCGUGGAAGGUGCUGGAGCAGGGGCGGCUGCUUGAUUGGUGUAUGGGCAUUGUGCUACCCUAUGUCCGGGUUUUCGGCAUCUGAAGCAUACUUGGUCCGAGGAUGAGGUUGUAUUAUUGUUUCUGGGCUGAUUUCCGUUGUUGUAACUUCGGUAGGUGGAAGCUGUUUGCUGGGGGUUGGAUCCCGGGGAUCUGUACUGCAUGGUGGGUUGGUACCUUGUAGGUGGAACAUUGUUGGUCCUAAUCCUUUGCGUUCUUUCUUGCUGUCGAGCACGUUGCAGAUUGAAUUUGCGCUUCCUUUCCCCUUCACUUUUAGCACGUUCCUCUUCCAGCAGAAUGGCACGGUUCAUCAAGGUAUUGAAGUCAGGGUAGAUGUGAGUAAUUAGCUGUGUCCUCAGAGUGGAGUUAAGUCCUCUUCUGAAGCAUCUUUGUUUCUUUUUAUCAGUGUCGACGUCUUCCGGCGCAUAUCGAGAUAGCUUCAUGAACUUCCAGAUGUACUGAUUUGCGGUCAUUGCACCUUGCCUUAAGUAGCGAAAUUCUUCGGCUUUCAUUUCCAUCACACCUUCGGGAAUGUGGUAGUUGCGAAAUUCUUCUACAAACUCCUCCCAAGUGAUGGCUUCUGGGUCAUCAACGACAUCUUGGUAAUUUUCCCACCAUUCCCCUGCGGCUCCAACUAGCUGGUGCGUGGCUAAAGUGACUCUUUCCUCGUCGGUAGCUCGUACAGAGUUUAAUUUCUUGGUGAUAGUUCGCAGCUAGUCAUCUGGUACCAACGGAUCAUCUUCCGAACUAUCAAAAGUGGGUGGGUGAAGCCUCAUAAAUGCUGCCAUUUUUCCUUGCCCGUUUCCAUUUUCCUGUCUUCUUGCAAGGUUCUCUAAUAAUCGUGUUUGCCGAUCCAUUACUUCAGCUAAUGUCGGCGGAGGUGGUGGAGGUUCUUCUCCUUCGACUGGAUUAUUUGCAUCAUUCUGUUCAACUUCUUCAUCUUCUUCAUGUACUUCUUCUAUUAUUGGGAUAUUAUUCCCUUGUGAUUGCUCAUGCCCAUGCCUCUGGUUAUGCCGCCCAUGGUUUGGUUGUCUUCCACGAUUUUGUCGGCCCCUAGGUGGUGGUGCAACAUGUUCCUCUUCUUCCGGCUCCUGCCUUUCAGCUAGCCGUUCGCGGCGUUGCUGGAUCCGGGCGGACCUUCUUUCCAUCUGUUGCUUUUAAAUAGCAAGGAUGAGAAGAUGUCCCGUUGGCGUCCAAGCAGAGGGAAAUAUUUGGGCAAAAAAAAGAACAGGCACACAUGAUUUUUAUUUAUUUAUUUACUAAUUUAUUUAUUUAAUAAUAGCAUACAAGAGCACACCCUCACACAAUACAUACAUGCGUGAUACAUGGUCAAACCCACACACAGGUCUAUUAGUACGAUUGUUAUGCGAUCACACUUGUCAAGCAUGUACAAGCACCUAUUUUACAGCUACACGCUACGACUCUUAUUAUUUAUAUAUAAAUAUAUAUUUUACAUAUAUUUUUACUAUUACUAUUAUUAUUUUACAUGAACUGGAUCUCGUGAAGGUCUCGAUCCACAGCCUUGCCCUUAUCCUGAGCUAGCUGAUCGUCCCGCAGCGCAUAGAGAUAGCUUGCAUAUCCGUCAUUAACAUCCUGCCCGGACAGGACUUGUAAAGGUCCCAUAUUCGUGGCAUCCAUAGCCUUCAAGUUGUUAAAAUUGUCGGCAAUAGAUUCCUGAGUAUCAAUGCUUUUAGCAGGGUCAGAAGGUGACUCUCUUUGAAUGUACUCAUUUGGAUCAAGCUCGGGUUGUUCUGGAUCAUAUUCUGGAUUAACUGGUGCCUUUCCCUUAGUGUCUAUAGCUCUCAUUACCUCGUGAAACUCUCGGUAAUCCAGGAAUUUCUAUUCUACGAUUAGUGGGAAUGGCAAAAGUCCUCUUUUUUGUCAUCUUCCUUGAAGGGUUCUUGUAGCGUGUACGUUCCAGAGUUUCUUUCAGCUCUCGCCGGUAGAACUCCAUUUUGUCUGUUAUGAUUGCCAUUUGCUUAUGUGCUUCUUCUAGUUCCAGUUGUAGAGCUCGUACCUCGGCUUCGGUAUCCCUGGUCUUGGUGACCCAUCUCAUUAAUUCCCGAUGCUGAUCUUCGUAGAGUGCGUCGAGAGCAUGCAAGUACUUGACGGUGAAUGGCAUAAUAGCGUCUGGCAUCUGUCGUCCAAUAUUUUCCAAAGCCUGAAGCUUUUCACACCAUGUCGGGGUAGUCUGAUUUGGCACAGGGAAAAAUCUUGCAUGGGGUGUGUUCGAUGUCUUCCUCAAAUAUUUGGCAAUAGUCCAUGAGAGCUUGUCUUGCUGCCAUCUGACAAGUGUCUUCCAAUUCUUUUCCAACAGCUGGGAUGCAUCGAGACUUAAUUUUUGGGCAUAAUGGAUGUUGCGGAACAUGUAGGUGUACCUCACAUUUAGGCAUACCAUCCUCCUGGUACUCACGACCAUGGUACAUGGGAGGCUCAGUAUAGCCAAGGCGCUGGAGUGUCUCCCAAAGGAGCUGUGGGAAACCUUCAACGGUCACACAGUUCGAACGAACCCAAUCGUCCUCCAUUUGCUGCAAAAUUUCCUACACUAGUUAGAAAACUUUUUGCAAUACAAAUGAGCAACAAUAAUCCCCUUUUACUAUGAUUACGACGACUACUACUACUACCACUGUCCUUAUUACUUAGCGUGAUCCGGUCCUAGGGUUUCAUCCUACGGUCAACCUGGCUCUGAUACCACUCUGUCGGGCCCUCAAUUUGAGAGUCCAAGUGUACACGUAUUUGUGCUAGGAUCGAGCACAAAUACGCAUGAGAUAACAGAAUUGGCACUCAGAUUUAAUAUAAAAUACCGAGCUUUAUUGAUAUAUUAAAAAAAUAUAUGGUCUUACAAUAGUCAUGGUUCAGAUGGUAUAGCCAUAGGCAUUACAUAGCUAGCGAGAUUUUGCUGUCGUAAAGCAACAAUUUAUUACAACAGGAUGGUAGAUACUACAGCGGAUUCUAUAGCAUAGCGAUAAUCUAAACCACAGGCAAGCUUGAGCGCGGCCGAAACCCUAUGCCCUAGAGACUCCUAGCAUAUCCGUAGACCUUCAUGUGGCUCCUAGUCCUCGUGGUCCGCCUCCUCGUCGACGUUGUAGUCCUCCUCGGGGUUGAUAUCUGUGAGUCAUCAACAGGUGAGUACAUACAGUACUCAGCAAGCCCUAACCUUGGGGUACGGUGGAGUGGAUGGUGGAGAUGGUAAAGGAAUGGUGGUAUAGUACAAUUAAAUAAUGAUUGGGCCUUGGGAGAGAAUUACUCUUCUCGCCAGUUUCCAAGUUAGUUUCACAAAUAUUGAAAUAAUUAUGUUAGCACAGUCCCAUUUCACAUAAAAGAUAACUAAUCAUAAGAGACCACAUCCUAGUGGUUGCCCAUUCCAAGGACGUGGCUAUUCGAAUAGGUUUAUUACUCUCUGCAAAGGGUGUACACUUUCCCCACAUGAUAGGCACAAUCCCAACCAUGAUCAGUGGUAGAAUUAACCUAACGAGAUCCCGUUCCCGGUUAACGCGACCUUGGGUUUCCAUAUAAUUCUACUGCGGCCUAUUUAGGGGUCGGUAACCACAAAGCGUUUGGAUGGUCACAUGACAUCCUAUCAGCGUUUGGAUGAUCACACAGCAUCCAAUUAAAAAAGGGGCUCGCACCCGGACCAACAAUAAUUUCACAUGGAAGAUCACAUAGCAACCAUGCCGACCAGACCACGGAGAUCACACAGCAACCAUGUCCUUUCCUGAUAGUCCGUUGCCACCCCGGCCUCCUAGUAACAAUUAUAUUUCUACCCAACGGGGUGUGAGAUCAAGUCUACCCAUAUAGACAUGUGGUUGUACGCAUAUCAAACUAGGUGAGAUGGCCUAUGAACCGGUCCUUAUUACAUGACCGAAAUGAGCAUCUCCAACAGGAACCCUCUCUAGGCGAUCCUGCCAAGGUAAAUCAUACCACAUGAUUUACCCCCGCUCAUUCCCGUCUAACAUGUUCGAGUUCACCAAAUUUAUGUUGCAUAUUUAUAUAGUUCAGUUCAUAACUUGUCCAUAUUAGAAGUUCAUAGAAUAUCAUAUAGUUCCCAUCAUAACAUGCAGGUCGUUCCAUUUUACGAAUAUUCAACGGUUCGUAACAUAACAUAGUAGCUCAUAAUAUUCAGUUUCAAAAGUAUACAUGUCUAUAUAUAUAGAAGGUGACACACAUUAUAUAAUUUAAGUUUAUUAGUCGUUUGAUGGAAAAAUGAGUGUUGACGGGUUUGUAGUGGAAAUGAUAAAAUAUGGUGGUGGCGGAAGGGGGAAGCUAGUACUUGCCUUCGUUGUACUCUCCUUCCGAUUCAACGUAGUCUGGGUCCUCGCCUUCCUGGUAUUCACUCUCCUCUGCUUCCCAAUCUGGCCGGAGUUGCGCUUCAGGGGAUGAACUGAGGCUUGGACUCCACAGCGGCGGCGGCGACACCCAGUUUUGGGCAAAAUGUGACGGUGCUGGAAAUGAGAUGGGAAUAGGGGAGGUGUGGGGAAGACGGCGUGUUCCAACUCAAUGCGAAGCUCGUAGUGAUGGUCGUGACGGCGGAGACUCACCGGUAGAGCCCUUUUAUAGGCCGGCGAUGUCGGUGGCGGCGGCAAGAUCUUUUCAGCUUGCCGGCCGAUAUUUUCUUCCUCGCGCACAUGGUCGAGCUCGAGGUUCUAGGUGCCGGGCUAGACUCUUCCCUGUCCUCCCGCCUCCGGCGAGGUCGGUUCUAGGUGAGGUCUCGUCAAUGGCGUCGGUGGGGUUUGCGUGCCAGCCUCUCUGAUGGUGUUGACGUGCUGUGAAGCACAGGGAAGAAGGAGAGGGGAUGAUGUAAUGGUUCGAGGCUGGUCAGCUGGUUCCUGUGUGCUGGUCCUCCUUGACAUUGGGACAGGGCCACGACAGGGCCGGUGAAUCGAGCGUGGAUGCGGAUUCACGCUGAAGAGGAUGAAGCUGACCACAGGGUCCCACUCGUCAGUGAGAAGUGAGGGAAAGGGGGAGAGCUGCCACUGCGCCUUGCUGGGCCAGAAGGGAAUAAGAAAAAAAGGCUUGAGUUCGUUUUUCUCAUUUAUAAGAAGGCCUUUUCCCUUUCCCUUUCUCCGAAAAACCACUAGAGAGAAAUUUUACUUUAAAUUCAAAAAAUAAUUUUCAAGAGAUAAUAUGUACCACCAUAGGUUCAUUGAGCAGAACACAACACAUGAUUUGUUCAACUUGGUGAAUUCUAUUUGUGUCAAAAAAAAUGCUACGCGGUUAAUUAUUUUUAUAGAGAAAAUUUAAAAGUUCAAAUUUUUAGUGACUUUUGAAACAUGGAAAAUUUUUAGGGUGUUACACUAGCCGAUAGGACUGUUAUCGGCAUUUCUUAAAACAUCGUAUUCAGUUCCAGAUACAUUUUAAUCCAGCCGAUAGGAGUGUUAUCGGCACCUAAACUUUCUAUGCAUCGACCCAUAUGCUUGGGUAAUACUUCUUUAAAUAUUUUCCAUUCAAUGCUCUGGGAAAUUCAAAUCCUUCGAGAGUUUCCAAAAUAUAGGCAUUACCUGGGGCAGAUCGAUUUAUCCGAUAAGGACCUUCCCAAUUGGGAGACCACUUGCCAAACUUUGAACUUUUAGUCCCAAUCGGUAAUAUUAAUUUCCAUACCAAAUCUCCAUUGACGAAUUCCUUAUCCUUUACCUUUUUAUCAUACCAUCUGACAACUUUCUUUUUAUUUUCUUCUAUACUUAUCAAAGCCUUCAGCCGAUGUCCUGCUAAAUCAUCUAACUCGUCUUUCAUCAAACUAGCAUAGUCAUCGGCAGCCAACUGAUCUUGAAAAGAUAGUCGCCUGGAUCCUGUCUUAAUUUCCCAUGGUAGCACGGCAUCGUGUCCAUAUACCAGCUGAUAAGGUGAAACUUUGGUCGACCCAUGACAAGCCAUCCGAUAUGACCAUAAAGCCUCAUUCAACAAUGUAUGCCACCUCUUAAAAUUUUAUUCAAUCUUUCGUUUGAUAAGUUUAAUAAUCCCUUUGUUAGACGCUUCGGCCUGUCCAUUAGCUUGAGCAUAAUAUGGAGAGGAAUUUAACACUUUAAUUCCCAUACCGAUUGCAAAUUCAUCAAACUCUCCCGAUGUGAACAUAGUACCCUGAUCGGUAGUAAUUGUCUGAGGAAUACCAAAUCGGUAAAUAAUAUGCUCUUUCACGAAAUCAAUCAUAUUGGCCGAUGUAACUUUCUUCAAAGGAAUAGCUUCAACCCACUUAGUGAAAUAAUCAGUGGCAACUAAGAUGAAUUUAUGCCCUUUACUCGACGGUGGGUAAAUCUGGCCGAUCAGAUCAAUAGCCCAUCCCCAGAACGACCAAGGUUUAAUAAUGGGAUUCAUGGCCGAUGCGGGUGCCCUUUGAAUAUUUCCAAAUCUCUGCCAAAUCUCUGGCAUCCUUGACAUCCUUUGAAAUAUUUAAAACAAUCCUCAAGUAUGGUCGGCCAAUAAUACCCAUUUCUUCUGAUCAUCCAUUUCAUCUUAAAAGCCGAUUGAUGUGCUCCACACACCCCUUCAUGGAUUUCUCCCAUUAAACUUCUAGCUUCAUCAUCACCUAAGCACUUGAGAAGAACCCCAUCGAUUGUUCGAUAAUAUAGCUCAUCCUCAAGGAGUACAUACUUGGUAGCUUGAAACCGGACACGCCUCUCGACCUUCUUAGAUGGAUCCCUUAAAUAACCAAUAAUCUCCUUUCUCCAAUCAUCGGCACUGAUUGCCGAUAACGUAUUCAACAUGGGUUGAUACCGCGAGGCAUGCUGAGCCAACCGAUUAGCUUCCUCAUUAUGUAACCGAGGAACAUGCUCUAAUCGGAAAUCUUUGAAUUCCCUUAAUAGUUGCAUACUCUUUUCGUAAUAAGUUAUUAGGACUUCGCUUCGGCAUUCAUAACUUCCAGCUAAUUGAUUUAUAACCAGCAUAGAAUCUCCAAAGAUCUCAACAGCAUCAGCACGAACCUCUUUCAACAAUUCCAACCCCUUGAUCAAAGCUUGAUACUCGGCUUGGUUAUUCGUUGACGUAGCAACAAUCGGCAAAAAAAACUCAUACUUCCUUCCCUGAGGGGAAAUUAACACUAUGCCAAUUCCUGCCCCCCGGUCACACGUGGAUCCAUCAAAGAAGAGUGUCCAAGGCACAAUUUCCAAAGUUUCCACUAUACCGCGAUGUUGAGUCACAAAAUCGGCCAUAAUCUGCCCUUUAACCGCUUUAGCCGAUUCGUAACGUAGAUCGAAUUCCGAUAGCGCCAAAAUCCACUUACCGAUUCUUCCACUCAUAAUCGGCAUAGAUAGCAUAUAUCGGACCACAUCAUCUUUGCAUAUAACAGUGCAUUCGGCCGAUAGCAAAUAGUGCCUUAACUUAAUGCAAGAAAAAUAUAGGCAUAAACAUAAUUUUUCAAUGGCCAAAUACCUGGUCUCAGCAUCAAUCAAUCUUCUACUUAAAUAAUAAAUCACACGCUCCUUCCCUUCAAAUUCUUGAAUCAAAGCCGAAACGAUGACCAUCCCAUCGGUAGACAAAUAUAAUCUGAAGGGCUUUCCUUGCUGAGGUGGAAUCAAGACUGGAGGAUUUGUCAAAUAAUUCUUGAUUUCAUCUAAGGCCAACUGUUGCUCUUUCCCCCAUAUAAAUUCCCGAUCGGCCUUUAAUUUAAGUAAAGGACUAAAAGCAUGAAUUUUACCAGACAAAUUAGAAAUAAAUCGCCUGAUAAAAUUUAUUUUGCCGAUCAGAGAUUGAAGCUCGGUUUUGUUGGUAGGAGCAACUAUUUUGUUAAUAGCAUCGAUAGAUCUUCUGCUAAUUUCAAUUCCCCUCUGAUGCACUAUGAAACCAAGAAAUUGCCCUGCCGAUACACCAAAUGCACAUUUGUUAGGGUUCAUCUUUAAACCAUGUUUUCUUGUGCAUUCCAACACUUUUCGCAGAUCGACAAGAUGGUUUGUGAAAUCUUUAGACUUAACCACCACAUCAUCAAUAUAAAUUUCCACCAGCUUGCCGAUGAACUCAUGAAAGAUAAAAUUCAUAGCUCUUUGAUAGGUAGCACCAGCAUUUUUCAAGCCAAAAGUCAUGACUACCCACUCAAACAAUCCAACAUGACCAGGACAUCUAAAUGCAGUCUUUGUAAUAUCUUCCUCAGCCAUGAAUAUCUGGUUAUAUCCUGCAUUGCCAUCCAUGAAGCUAAUAACUCGAUGUCCAGCCGCAACAUCAACUAGCAAAUCGGCAACUGGCAUUGGGUAACCAUCCAUCGGUGUAGCCAUGUUAAGAUUUCUAAAAUCAAUGAAAACUCGAAGCUUCCCAUUUUUCUUGUACACUGGAACAACAUUGGAAAUCCACUCGGCAUACCGACACUACCGAAUAAAUUUAGCUUCGAUAAGUUUGGUUAUUUCGUCCUUAAUAUCAGGAAGAAUAUUAGGAUUACAUCGGCGAGCCGACUGCUGAUGUGGCCGAAAUCCAGACUUGAUAGGCAACCGAUGUUCAACAAUAGAUCGGUCUAAGCCAGGCAUCUCAGUAUAAUCCCAAGCAAAGCAAUCUUUAUAUUCCUUUAACAAAUCGGUCAAUUGUUGCUUACACUCAGAAUUUAACUUAACACUAAUAAAAGUAGGUCUAGGCUAAUCACCAUUACCUAUGUCUACUUCUACUAAAGCAUCAGCCGAUGUAAACCCCUUGCCUAAUUUUCCAUCAUCGGCGAACCUAUCCAUUAAAACUCCUCAUCAGAACCGACUGCUUGGAUCGGUGGAAUUUCAUAAUCGGCAACUUUGAGGAAAUCCUUCUCCCAAACCUCUCCUGAGAUGCACCUGGUCCUUUCAUAGGUAUCUGCUUCUACCGAUGCGAUGACAUAAGAAGAAUCUCCUGGGACAAUCUCAAUCUUGUCACCUACCCAUUGAACCAAGCACUGAUGCAUUGUAGACGGGAUACAAUAGUUAGCAUGAAUCCUAUCUCUUCCCAACAGCAGAUUGUAAGCACCUUUUCCACUGAUGACGAAGAAAGUUAUCGGCAAGGUUUUGCUGCCGAUAGUCAACUCGACACAUAUUGCUCCCUUGACCGGAGACACAUUUCCUUCAAAGUCCUUUAACAUCAUAUCGAUCUUGGUCAAAUCUUGAUCCCCUCUCCCAAGCUUCCAAUAGACUGCAUACGGCAUAAUGUUGAUAGCAGCCCCACCGUCAAUAAGUAUCUUAGUCAUCGGCUGCCCAUCAACUCUUCCUUUGACGAAUAGAGCCUUAAGAUGCUGCCUUUCAUUGUCGGCAGGCUUUUCAAAGAUAGCCAUCAUCGGAUCCAGAGCCAACUGAGCUAUCUGGUCGGAAAAAUCUAGCUCCUCAUCAUCACUGGAUGGCGCAAGAAACUCCAUCGGCAACAUAAAUACCAUGUUAACAUCUGCCGAUGGCCCUUUUCCCUUGGGAUCCGGUUGCUGCUGAUCUCCAGAUUUGCCAGAAUUCUCUCCUUUGCUCAAGUCUUCUCGCCUCUCGUGCUGCAGCCUUCUUUUCUGUGUCCUAGUCAAUCUCUCUGGACACCACGGAGAAAGUUAUGGCUGCCUCACCGAUGGGCGACGACUUUCCCUUGACUCCACUCGAUAGGUGUUAGCAUCCCUGUAAAAUAUGAACUCAUCGGGAACUCGAGCAUUUGCCAUUUCCUCAAGCUCCUCUUGGUUCCUGGGAAAGUAUCCAACACGGUCACCAAGUCUAUCAUGCACACUGAGCCUGCCCCCCAGCCGAUCAUGAACUGAGGCUCUUCCCCUAAUCGGCUCAUUAAAUCGCCGAUCAUCGUUCUUAUACUGCCGAUUAGGUCUAUCAUACCGAUCAUAACCAUUGCAUUUAGGGCAGUCCCUAACAGUGGGCAACUUGAUGUUCUGUUCCCAACAGUGGAUAAAGAACGGGCAAUUCCAGUGAUCCUUAUGCCGAUUCCACUCCUGUCGGCGUCUUUCUUCUUCCCGACGGUGAUCCUCCUGUUGGCGCCGAUACUGCUCUUCACGUUGCUGCCAAGUCUCCAAAUGCCUUCUAUGAGUUAUCACAAUGCCAGAUCGAAGAGGCCUUCCUGAGCUAGUUCCUUCCUAGAUUAAACCCUUUCCUUUAGCAUCGGCAGCAGUAAUCUGAUGCUGAGGAUCCACCGAUGCACUUCUUUCAGCUGCUUCUAACGUCAACACCUUGGUCUUUCCCUUAGCAUCCAACAUAUUUGUUGGGAAAGGAUGCUGAUUGAUCUUCAUCGGCUUUUGAGCUUUAGAAUUAUCAAACUUGAUCCUCCCAGACUCUAUAGCCGAUUGCAGCUGCUGCGUGAAAACCUUGCAUUCAUUUGUACUAUGGGAUGUUGCAUUAUGCCACUUGCAGUACUUCAUCUUCUUUAAUUCUUCAGUCGAUGGAAUCACAUGAUUGGGCGAUAAUUUGAUUUGCCCUUCCUAAAGUAGAAAGUCAAAUAUUCUAUCAGCCUUGGUGAUGUCAAAUGCAAAUUUUUCUGGCUCUUUAUGCCCAAAAGGGCAAGACAUCGGCUUCUUAUUUUUCACCUAUUCUGCCAAGCCGAUGACUGGUUCCUCAUCAGAGUCUGAGCUUGCUGCUUCAUCAACAAAUGACACCUUUUUAUUCCACUCAUCUCUGUUAGCAGCUUCCCCGCACUGGAUGAUGAACCUAUUGACAUGCUCCAUAGUUGAUGUAUCAUCCUGUCUAGAAAACUUAGUAAAAUCUGGUACCUUGUACCGAUUUGGAAGUGGUAUUAAAUCAUAUGCAGGAGGAUACGGUGUCUGAUAAGAGUAAGUGUUGACUUUGGGUUUUAUCCCAAAUUGGUCUCUCAUUACUUCAGCUAUCUUAUCGGCCCAAUAAGCAUUGGCAUCUUGCCGAUGAGGCGGUUGUGGAUCUGGCACCUGCUGAUAUGCUUCCACGUGUCUCUGAGGUGCAUGAUCUGCAUGGAGCAUCGGGUUAAUCAUCUGACCUCCAAUCUGCUGACCAAGAUUCAUCGGCUGAUUGACCAACCCUUGAUUCUGAAAUCCAGGUUGGAUUUGACCUUGUUGAAACCCUACAGCCUGAUGAUUCUGCUGAGGCAUCUGUGGAAAAACUAACUGCCCUGUCCGGCCACUAUUAGGGUUCAUCAGCAUAGGCCCUGCUGAUGACUGGUAGUUGGGCAUCAUCAUCGAAUUGACAUACCCUAGUUGCGUCAUAAACCUCUGCUGCGUCAGCAUUGAAUCUGCAGAUGUGUUAGGCAUCUGGAAUGUUGGAACUUGAGAAUUCCCAGUGGUCUUGCAGUAGUAGUUGUAGUAUACUGGGGACUCUGAUUCAUCAGCGGAUUUGAAGGUGCCGAUGCCAUAGGAGCCUUGCCUAUCAAGUCAGCCACUUGAGAUGUUCCAGGAGUCUUUGCCAUCAAAUCUGGGGGCAUACCAUAACCCCACCAGUUGGGAGGAACAGAACCUGACAUUGCCGAUGCCAAUAGAUCUAUAGCAAGCUUGAUUAACUCGUCUGAUGUUGAUGGAUUGGUCGUCAUUGGUGUAGAUUGCGCAUUAGUGAUCCCUAAUGUGCUUGGAGGAGAAGUAACUUCUGUACCCGCAAUGGCUGCAGUAGCCGAUGGAGCCGUGACCAAUGAUGACCCUGGCUGAUGAUAGGCAGGACCCACAUAAUUUGGUGGCAAUUGCCCUUCCUUGAAAGUUCUAGCCACCGCAUUGAAAACCGUGUUGGACAGCACACCAGCUUGAUUGAUCAAAGCAUGAUUAAUGGCACUGUCAACCAUGUCUUGAAGUUUACCAGAAUUGGCUUCAAAAGUAAUCUGCCAAGGUGCCGGCAACGCUUCCUUUUGGAUCACCUCGCCACUCCUGUUGAUACUGAAGGAUUUCAAGCAUUGCUGCUUGUACUCCUCCAUGGCUUUUGCCAUAGCUCGCUUCUGCUCAUCUCUGAGAUUGGCCUCCGUCACCGGGAUAAUGUUCUCCAAGUUGAAAUCGGUGUUCGACAUGUUGAUCUUGAUCUUGAAUAUGGUCCCACUGGCCGUGUCAAAAUAUGUGUUGGUGCAAAAUCUGGUCUGCAAACACAAAGGGCUAAUAUCCGAUUCAAACGUUAAGGCGUGCCAGCCGAUUUGACCUUACAAUCGACAAAGGUGGUAACUCGAACACUUUGGUCCCGACAACAGCGAUGCGCCCGGAUGUCACGGCCAAGAGGUGCUCACGUGGAACUUGAGAACACGCCGAGCUUAAGUCGACGAAUUCCUAAGAACUCGUAGUAAAAAGGAAAAUAUGACGAAAUUGUCGAAAAGUAGAUGCUGGAAUAUGAGUAAAAACUUGUGUUUGAUUGAUUGAUAGAUGUCUCAUUACAUUGCCCUAGGGUCUACAUUUAUACCAUGUCCAAAGAGCUACAACCAGACACGACUAGGACUCAAAUUCCAAAUUAAACGGAAACCGUAUACAAAACAAAUUCUAAUAACUAAGGAAAACAUUAAACUAGCCCCCGUAACUGAUCGGGACACUGCCACUAAUCAAUCGGCAACUUCCAUGCUUUCCUCCAGAGUCAUCGGCAGACUACCUGUUAUAGCCAUCGGCAAAUACUGGCACUGGUCAUUGGCAUGAAUAUACCAUCACUUCUAGACUUGGUCAUAUUCGGUUGUCUCCCCAUCGGCAACCACCUUCAUUGGCAACCUCCCUACAGACUGGUCACCACUACUCCAUCUGCCGAUCUACAUCUCAUUAACUCCACAUGCGUAUCAAAAGAUACGUGUCCAAAAACGGUGUCAACAGGAUCACAGCAGACGCCAUCUAACUUCGCCUAUUCCCAUUCACUUUGCUUGGGAUAGCGAAGCAAUGGUUCUAUGCUCAGCCCAAAGAUGUUAACACAUGGACAAGGUGUGCCAGUGCAUUCCUCACAAAGUUCUUUCCAAUGGGCAAGACCUCUGCCCUGAGGACCAGAAUUUCGAGCUUUCAGCAGAAGUCAGAUGGGACCAUUCUCGAAGCAUGGGAAUGUCUAUAGGAGUACAUCCUAGACUGCCCACAUCACAGAAUCAAGGAAUGGCACCUACUCUAAGAGUUUCUACCACGGGUUGUCCCCAGUAGCCCGAAGUCACCUUGAUGCUUCUGCAAGAGGAUCGUUCAUCUCCCUCAACGUCACGCAAGCCAGGAAUCUCAUUGAGAACAUCGUGACGAACCAAGAGUGGACAGGAGAACGACCUCAACCUAAGAAAGGAGGCACACAUUAUGUGGACGAAGUGAAUGCCAUCCCCCAAAAGAUGGAACUCUUGAUGAAGAAGUUGGAUGAACGAGCUAACUUCACGAUGGAUCGAGAGGCCAUCCAACAACAAAUCUCUGCAUGUAACCAAAACAUAAAGCAGAGCACAAAACACGAAGUUGCUUAUGCCAUCAACAACUUACGACCUCAGAAAGGAGGGACUACCUCGCGUUUCAAGAGCCAAGGUAACACAAAAUCAAGUUCGCCUUCGCUUAGAAAGCUUGUCAUGAGCCAGGCUAAAGUUAACGAAAAUAUCAAUAAUAAAUUGCUAGCUCAUGAAAAGAUCCUUAAAAUAAUUUCUACUAAAAUGAAGUCUUUUGCUACGUCUGUUAAGGAUGAGCUAUAUUUUAUCAAAAUGCUCGAAUCUCAGAUUAAAAUGGUUGCAUCCUUUAUUCCGUCUCCUAUCAAAUCUUGCAAUUCUCUGAAUGUUGUGGCCAUGAGAGGGGGUAAGACCACUCGUGAUCCACCAUAUCCUAACAUGACCAGGAAGCCAGCAAGAAAGGACAAGGAAGAAGAAGAAGAAGAAGAGAAAGAGGACAAAGAAGAACUCCCAUCCACGCAGGAAAAAGCCACGUUCUAUGGGAAGAUAGCGCCGCAUGAUUUCUAUGACACCUACUUGUCGCUACCCUUUCCAAGAACAAAGAAGUAAACGGCCGAUGAACAGUUCAAAAAAUUUGUUGAGGUAAUUCAUCAAUUAUUUGUCAACAUUCUGCUACUUGAUGCAAUGCAGGUCCCAACCUACGCCAAGUACCUCAAAUACAUCCUCAACAACAAGCGCCCGCUACCCACUACUGAGGUAAUUAAACUAACGGAAGAAUGUAGUGCUGCAUUGCUAAACUAUCCGCCGGAAAAGAAGAAGGACCCUGGAUGUCUGACCAUCGACUGCUCCAUCGGGACACAACACUUCGAUCAUGCACUGUGUGACUUGGGUGCAAGCGUCAGUGUCAUGCCAAAGGUCAUUUAUGAUCAACUAACUCAUGCUACCUUGUACCCCACAUCAAUCUAUUUGCAGCUGGUAGAUCAGUCAAUCCGCCACCUAGCGGGGAUUGCUGAAAACAUACAAGUUAAGGAAUUUUGUCGUCCCCGUGGAUUUCGUGGUACUCAACAUGGACGUAGACAAGAAAAUACCACUUAUCCUCGAAUGACCAUUCCUCAGUACCACCAAUGCAAAUAUUGAUGUCGGAGCCGGAGAGAUCGAAUUCACCAUCAACGGGACCCAGGAGAAAUUCAACUUCAAGCCCAAGCUUGAACAAUGCUCACUCAUCUUGGUCACUGAAGUGGCACCCACACUCAUCAUGACAAGAAUUAAGAAGAAACAAGGUCCAGUACCAUGAGUGAACCCAAAAAGGAUAUGGAAGAAGAAAGUAACUCAACCAUCAAAACCUCCAGGCAAAAAUUAUAAAAUAUUUCAACGAGGGAGUCCUGUCGAAAGGACUUGAGGGAAAAUUCUUCCAUCUAGGUAAGUACACUCAUACUUUUAAUUUAUUUAUUUAUUAGUAUUUAUUUCUGUCUUUUAUUUCUACCAAUUUAAUUCCUAAAUAAUAAAUAGUAUAAAAUAAUAAGUCUUCUGGGACGAGGCAGACACCUGGAGGGCCCCAGGUAGGGAUCGGCCGAUCCCUGUCUCGAGGGCCCCACCUGUCAGCCUGUACCCCCUGCACUAUUGAGCACUCACUGACAUAGCCCAUCAGACAGGAGCAUGCAUUGCUCCCUCUUUUCCCUACCUAUUCCACUUACCACAGAAACCAAGGGAAGAUUCCCUGUGCAACCUCGAAAGUUGAAAAAGCUGAUGCUCCACUAGAUAGGAUUCUUAAUCCUAUGCACAUCGUGCGAGGACACACUAGGAGAGGUGGCAGGGAGGGGAUCGGCCGAUCCCCCUCCUGGCCCCUUUUCUUGCUCUGUGUCUCCCACCCAGUAGACACAGGAGUGCCAUACAUGUUGCACCUAAAAAAGUCUAAAAGGCAAAGAAUCUUUGAUCCAUCACUUGAAACCCAAAGAUGCUUCUCACUUUUAUGACACUUUUUAGAAGUGCACAUCAGCCAAAACACAAAGAGGUACAUGCCACCAUGCUUAUGACACACUUUUAACAUGUCCACACCUUUUGUCAUUUCAACUUUCCGCUUUCACAAAAACACUAGGUAGGGAAUCUCUGACAAAGUGCUGCACUCUUUACCAAAAUCAGAUCCUUGCUUUAUGAGACACAUGAUGACACAAAGUGAAAGAGGAAAAUCCCUAUCCAAGGGCUCGGCCGAUCUCCUUAGUGGGGGACAUCUGAAAACCUUUUAGUCCUCCAUGCCAGAUUCCUCACACAAAGUUUAAUGCCACUCAAAAUUUCAAAUUUUUUCAAAGGGAGAGGCUCGGCCGAGACCCCUCCUUGAGCUUUUCCACUCGCCCUCUUCACUCUAUAAAUACCUCCCUUGGGAGAGCUCCUUCAUCAACACAAGCAUUUAGAAUCACUUUGAGCUUCACACACCCUUCUCCCUUCUCUAGUGCAAGUGCCUUCUCAAGUCUAGUAGAGUAGUAGUCAUCCAAGAGAAAACCCAAAAAUAUUUUCUAGUUCAUCCUAGUCCGAUCGAAGCCACCACGAGAAGGUAGCGGGGGAGUGGGUUAAGCUAACAUCUCUUUUGUGAAGUGGUGUUGUUGUUUUCCCCAUUCAGGAAUGAAGAAGCUAUUCAAGAGCGCGGCAAGCAAACUACGUGACAAGAUUAGUUUGAGCUCAUCCUCAUCAAGGUCCACAUGCCAAUCCGAGGGUGUCCCCUCUAUCUCCAUGGAGGAGGUGGGAGAGCAAGAACAUGGGGGUGGUGCACAUUAAGAGGAGGUGAAUGAGAAGUCGCAGCCCCUCAGGACGCAAGAUGUGGAGACUGCCUUUGGCUCAACCUUGACGAGAUGGGCACGCUCAACCAACUCCGCAACUGCACUUUCGUGCACACAAAGGUAAUCGAUCCCGAGCUCCUCCAUCACACAGGUAUGGAUGAGGAGUUCCCUGAAGUUUUUAAUGCACUUGGGUAGAAUAACUUUUGGGAUAUCUCGCAUUACCCUGGUAGUAGAGUCCUCACCCUUGAGUUUUUGAGCACCGUAGUAACCAAUGAUUUUUGCAUCUAUUUUCACUUACGGGGUCGGGAGUUCAAUUUCUCUUGGGAUGAGUUUGCUCAUUUCCUUGGCUUUGUUAAUUGCACUACCAAGGUUGUGCUAGCCACUAAAAAUUGUGACAAGAAAGAGUUGUGGUGUGAAAUGUGUGGGAGGAAUUACCCAGGGAAAGAACAACCUCGCACUAGCCAUAUUUGUCAUCCUACCCUGCGCUUUUUGCACAUUUGGAUUGGUAUUACUUUGUUCCCUAGGAAAGACAAUAUAUUUGUGAGGGAAAUAGACACUACCAUCCUUUAUGCCAUGAUUCACUGUAUCCGCAUAGCCUCGGUUAAUGCUUUAGUGCAUCAUUGGAAAUCAUUUGCUAAGAGGGGUUUGAUUGAAUUUACUUCCUUGAUCACAAAGUUGUGUGCAAGUUGCAAUUUGCUUGAUGAGAACAUUCCUUACAUACCUUCUGCUAGAACUGUGCUAGGCAAAAAGAUCUCCUUUAGUUAUAUGUCAUGCAUGUGCACCUUUUCCUGGAAAUGAUGAGUAGUUGCUUGUUUGUAGUUCUCUAGUACCUAGUUUUCAACUUAGUAUUUCCCUUAAGUAUGAAUCACUUGGCUACCAUGAAACCACCAUGAACUUGAACACUCUAGUGGGACGCAAAUGCUAAAACUAAGUCUAAGUUGUUCUAAGAUAUGAGAUGGUAAGAUAAGAGCUGCUAUAAUAUCAUUCUGAUCAUGUAUGACUACUAGAGUUUUUAUUUCUUAAAAUGAUCAAAACCUUAAUUGUUCCUCAAUGGUAUUGAAAUUUCCUACCACAGCCAAAUACACAUAUUUUUUUGGAAGCCUUCUACAUAAGCUACUGCUUCAUAGUGAGUCAAGUUAAGUCUUCUAGAACCUGUGUUAAGGGAUUUGUCAUGCACCUAUGAUCAAGAUUCCACUAGCCACAUAUAUAUUGCUACUUCUACCAUAGAAGUACGCCUAAUCAUAAACACCAUGCUACUCCCACCUUGGAAGUACACAUCUCCAUAUUCACCAUCAUCUUGCUACUUCUAUCCUAGAAGUACGCAGCUCCAUUUCCACCAGAAAGGUUGAAAGGUCCUUGUUUGGUUUUGGUAAUUGAGUGACAACUUAGGUGGACUAAUAGUGUUUAUGUGAGAUACACAGGAGAUUAGUCCAAAGGUGAUUAUGUGAUGAUGGAGGAGCUCAUUGCAUAUGAGACAUGACAUGGAGUCAUGUGACCAAGGUGGAGAAGAUCAAGAUGAGGCUUGGCUUGAUGGACCGGUUGCAAGAGUGAAGGGCAAGUCGGAGGCUUUGAAGCGAGGGACCGCGUGUGACGGUGAAGCUUGAGCAAGACUUGGCGCCGAUGGACCGAGGCAACGGUGAAGAGCAAGUGAGGUCAAGAUCGAUGAACCAAUACGGUCACGUGAUGAUAUGAAGUGGAUCAUAUCUUUUGGUGAUUGGUUGGUGCAUGUGUGGCAUCAACAUUGGAGGAGAUGGAAUGGAAAGCGCAAGGCAAAGGUAUAACCUAGGGCAUUUCCAUUUCACCGGUCAUAGGUGUGUAGAGAAGUUUAUGACCGGAUUUAGGAUAGAUGGCCGUACUAUCAAGAGGGGCAAACUUGUUUGCAUAUCGGUCAUCUAGUGCCACUUGAGCGAUCUAACUUUGCAUACGUGUUAGGAUCGAGUGGCGUGGCAAGUUGAGAGGCUAACUCCUUUGGGAAAAUGUUUGUGAAAAUGCUAACACACUUGCACAUGGUGUUGUACACUUGGUGGUGUUGGCACAUUUGCAAAGGAGGUGGUGUUCCUAGGGUUGAGAGAGGUGGUGUCCCAUGGAUUCGGCGCUUUUGAGAAAAACAAGUGUAUAUUUUCUAUUGCGCCGGUGGGAAAUUUAGAGAAGUCGCGGGAGUGUUUUCUCACUGAGAAACACUCACCGGACGCUGGCCUCAACGUCCGGUGAGCUUGACCCUGCUAGGGUUAAGCACCGAACGCACUCUGAGAGCGUCUGGUGGUUAGCGUCCGGUGUGAGGGGUUUUUGCAACCCUCUCUGCGCACGAGUCCGGUGAGCACCGGACCGUCCGGUGCCUAGCGUCCGGUGAGGUCGCGAGUUUGACAAACUCUCUGUGCACGAGUGCGGUGAGCACCGGACCGUCCGGUGCCCAUCGUCCGGUGGUGCUGUGCAGGCGCGCGUGCGAAGUAGCCGUUGGCAGCAACGGUCGAUUUCAAACGGCUAGUGACACGUGGCCGACGCCUGAGCACCGGACGCUGGGUGUUGAGCGUCUGGUGGCUCCUUGAGAGCGUCCGGUGCCCACAUGUUUUGCCCAGUGAAGGGGCAACGGCUAGUUUAGCCCUUGGGGCUAUAAAUAGAAGUGGUGGCCGGCCUUGGCUGGUGCUGAGCACCCUUGGGACUUAGUGUCCAUGCUUGGGGAGUGCUAGUAAAGCCUCUAACUCACAUAUGCUUGAUAGUAAUCAUCCGAUUGUGUGAGUGAGCGAUUCUAGUGCGUUGCAUUGAGAGAUUGCAUCGAGUGGCACUAGGUGUUCGUGUUGCAAGCCGGUGGUGCUUGUUACUCUUGGAGGUUGCCACCUCCUAGACGGCUUGGUGGCUUGUGACUCCGUCGAAGCACGCAAGGAGAUUGUGCGGUGCUCCGGAGAAGAGAUUGUGAGGGGUACGGUGCUCACCCCGCGGGGAUCGCGAAGAGCAACUCUAGUUGAGCGAGACGUGAAGAGCGACAAGUGGUCUGGCCGGGUCAAGUGCUAGAGCUUGUGGUAAGCACUCCACGUGGGAGAGUGUGACUUGCGGGUCACCACUAGCAAGAGGACCGGCGGCAACCUUGGAGCUUGUCUCAACGGGGACGUAGCUUGGUGGCAACCAAGUGAACCUCGGGAGAAAAUCAUCAUGUCAACUUUGUUCUUCCCAUUGGUUUGCAAGUCCCUAACACAAGCUUAUUUUUACAUUCAUAUACUUGUGCUUGUGAAGUUGCUCUUGUAAUUAGUUAGCUUGUGUAGCUUGCUAGUUACCUUCUUGCUUGUGUAGCUAGAAGUAGUUCCCUUGCGUGACUAAUUUGGUUUGUGUAACCUUGUUAGUCACAUUGCUUAGUUUGUGUAGCUAAGUAAUUUGCGCUCUCUAAUUUGGCAUUAGUUGCCUUGUUAUUGAGCUUGCUAGUGAGCUUAGGCUUUGUGCGCUUUGCCUCACUAGUUUGAAUAGGAGCUCCCCCAGUUUGCAAAGUACUAGUUGCAUAGGUUUGUGUGACCUUGCUCCUAGAAUUGGUUAGGUGACCUCUUGCUAAGGUAGCACCUUGUUUGCUUGUUUAGGAUCUUUUCAAGGUGCUAGAGAACUUAGAUAGAGAGGUGUAGUCUUGGCUAGACCGAUAGUUUUAAUUCCGCAUUUGUUUCGGUUAGCCGGCGCGAUAAGUUUUAGAAAGGACUAUUCACCCCCCCUCUAGUCCGCCAUCUCGACCCUUCAAAGGUGGCUCCCUACUCUUAAAAGUUAGAAUUUCUCUCCAAAGUUAUCAAUGUGUUAGAUGAGACACAAGUAAAGGCUAGCAAGUAUCAGUUUAUAGACACAUCCAAAGCCAUCUCUCUCUCUCUUCUAAAAAAACAGAGAAAGAAGUAUAUGCUAGCCUCGUCUCAAUAAAAGUUUAGAGAGAAAGAACUUGUCAAAUAGAGGAGCAAUCUAGUCCACCACCACAUCUUCCAUACCACACACACACACAUUCACAUCUUGAUCUCAGAGUAUGACAUGUCUCUUCUUAGGUCCAAUCCUUAACUAGACAAAAAUCUGCAGAGUGAGUAUGCUAUUCCUUGCCAUACCUAUUAUGAGCUCCAUAUAAAGCCUUUGUAGAACAUAGGAUGGUAGAAGAAAGGCAGUCAUACUUUAUGCCUUGGUAAGGAAACAUACACUUUUGAGUGACAUGAGAGUACCAUUUGAGGAACAUUAAGAUUUCUUUUGAAAAACAUUACAAAACCUCUAGUAUGAAACUUGCAAAAGAGUGAGAAAAAUAGUGCUCAAGUCCAACUGUUAUGUCUCUCAACAUCCCAAGAGAAAGGAAAGGCUAAAGGCCCCAUAGAGGACUAAGGUAAUAUGGGUGAGUUUUAAAUUGCCAAGUUCUUCAUUGCUCACUUGAAAUACUUUGUUGCAUGCCUGGUACUCUUGAAACAUGAAGAUAACAACAAUUUCUGAUUGACCGAGACCAAGUUCUAAUUAUUUUCUUGGGACAAGCAAAGGUUAAGCUUGGGGGACCUUGUUGAUGGAAAUUAUAGCAUAAAAAUGCACAUUCAAAACACCGUCAACAACCUCGGUUUCAAGGAAUAAUCACAUGACAUAGACAUAUUUUAUCAAUAAUUGGUUCUAGAUGUACCUUGAGCUUGUGAAUGCAGAACUUAGCAAAAUGGCACAAAACCGAGCUGAAGUGGGCCCACAUGGGGGAUUGGCCGAUCCCCCUGUGCCACCUCCUCAAGGUGCCACAUAGGCAUGAUCCAAGGCAACCUCCUAGAAGCAAUUCUCAGCCUUUGGAUCAGAGUGUGCUUUCUCUCAACGGCUGAAAUCAAGAGCACACAGAUUCAUGGGUCCACAUGUCAGAAGAACUGGCGUGACAACGUGCAACAAGUGGGUGAACCAGUGCCUAUGACUAGUGGGGACACCAGCCAACCGACUCUGGCUGGCCCCACUAGUCAUAGGGGCAUCGGUCGAUCCCCCCUAGCGCCAGCCAGGUCAGUUGGCCCUCCACCGACUUCCCCACAUUGAGCACAUGUUGAUUUGAUACAAGACAUUGGAUUAAAGGCAGUUUCAAGGCCGGUUUGAUCCAAUGGCCAUCGAGCAACAUCAUGCAGAUCGAUGACAUGGCGAUGGAGUAGCCCCUACUCCACCUCUCCCUAUAAAUACCUGCUGUAUUCACCCUCUCAAGGCAUGAUGUGAUUGUAUUCAAGACUACAAGUCUAAUUUCCUUAGUAAUUGUAGUCUAGUGUGGGAGUUAGAGUCGAGUCGAGCGAAGCUCGGGGUCUCUGGAGUCGUCUUCUGGAGAGUGUGGUAUUCCUCUUGUACUUUCCUUUUGCAAUACUUUAAUUUAUAUUUCUCUUCUACUUUCCUGAGUAUUUACUUAGUGCAAUAUUAUUCCUACAAUAGUGUUGUAGUGUUUUAGCCUAGUUUGCUAGUAGUGCAAGGUAGAUUGUGAUCCUGUUACCACUCCUUAGUUGUUACCAAUGUCUUUACAAGUUGCUCUGGCUAGGACAUAUUCUUAGUUAGAGUAGUGAGAGUUAGUGUAGGCGCGGUGCCUAGAUUAAGUCUCAUCGUUGGAGGCUGCUAGUCUUCAUGGAAGGUCUGUGGGUGCACUGGCUUGAAGUGACAGUUCGGGAUCGGCAUUAGAUCCCACCAUGUAGAGGCAUACAUAAGUUUGGUCUCGCUUGAGCAGGGGUUCUGUCUCCUUCUCUCUCGUUUCCUCCCAGCAACUAAGUUAUUGAGGUAGCAAUCCUAGCUUGUAUCUUUUAUCUAAUUAGACUAGAACACAGAAGUAGAGGUAGAAUCCAUAGGAGUCCUUAACUCACUUGUUGUCCUCCCACCUAGCUGCUCUACGUUAGUUAUCUUUCGUUGUCUUAGGAUCAGCAUCAUCAACCUUCCAUCCAAAUCAUCAUCACCUUUCCUUGCUCUAGUUGCCAUUAGAUUGUGAUAGGGAUAUCUUUUCUCUUGAACCAUUUCUAGCUACUGCUUUCCUUUGGGAUAAAUAUAAAUUACGACACUUUAGACUACUCCUAGGUGAAGUGCUACAGCGGUACAUUUUGUGCGCUUGCGGAAUCAUCCAAUAGACAUUUGAAUUACCACGUACCUGGCAUCUCUAGUGACGUCGCUAUUUUAGUGGUGCUACUAAGAAAUAUCAACACCUAGCAUUGUACCAGCCUCCCCUAUAGUGCCUCCUCCUCUGUUUUCUGUUUUGAUGCCUUGAUGCUCCAAAUUCAUGAUCAAAUGAUGCUAGACAUGUUUCUUAGGCCACUACUACUUGGUUUUUUGGGGUUAUAUUGGGUAUAGAACUAGUUCUACUACUAUACCAAUCUUGAGCCUUUUGAUUUCUUCUAUCUAUUAGAACAAAGCAUGAAAUGUCCAAGCUAGGAGAUAGUGUAGCCUGAGGCCCCAAAAAUUCUGAUCUGUCACCGCAUGAAGGGCAAGAGCUAGAGGACUAGCUUACUCAAGAAUAGUUCGACAACGAGUUAGAAAAUGAUCUAGAAGUGUUUCUUACUCAAUAGGAGCUUCACAAGGAGCAAGGGGGAGUGGAGGGAAGAGGAAGAGAGGCUGAUCAAGGCGACAAAGAGGACGAUGGUGAAAGCUCAUCCUCAAGAUAUGAAAGCCCCAAGGAUCCUUUCGCACAAGAAUCUGGACGAAGGCCAACUGAGGAAGAGUUGGACCAAGAUUUUGACUCAAACGGGGAGGUAGGGAUGGAACCUUUGUAGCCUAUACAAUUUGCUGAGGCUUUGGUUGUAUUACCUCUGCUAAUUCUUUUGACUUGUCAUAUAUGCAGGUCCUUGCUAUACCUCCGAAAAGACGACGUUGGCGUCUAUCAUGUUUUGUCAAACAAGAGAGAGUAGGGGAAAGGAAGGCAGAGGCAACAACCAUAGAGACCAACAUUGAGGCCUCUGCUCCAGACCCUCAAGGCACAACCAUGACCUCAACUACUGAACCAAAGAGGAAAUGAGAGAAAAGAAUGGUGAACCAAUAUCCAAAGAAGGGGGUAUGUUAUGUGAUAGCGUAAGUUAGGCCAGAAGGGUAGAUCCUUGAGCCACCAGAGUACAUCAGCUGAUCUUGUAAUGUGAUCUGGGCACUAUUAAGAGAUCAAUUGAACCCAACAUUCCCUGUUUGGAGUGGCAAACAUGCACGUAAGAUGAAAAAGAAAGAGCUAUGGGACAAGUGGCUGAUGGACACUUUCAGGUUGCCAGAGGGAAACAUGAACUGGUACAAAAACAGGCUUACAAGAUAAUGGGCAAUGCCUUCCAAUGUUGGAGGUCGGAUCUCAACAAGAGAUUUAUCCAAAAGGAGUUAACUCCCUUCCACGAGUUUGGUAAAAUUACUCAUAAUCAAUGGGCAUAGCUCAUGGCUGAGAAGACUUCACCUGAAGCAUUGGCCCUCAGUGCCUGUUGACACUUGCUAACACCACUUGAAUACUAGGUUGUUAUCCCCAGCAUGACACUAGAGUGUACUAUGGUAUUUAUACGCACACAGAUAAUCCGCAAGCGCACGGAUACCGUUGUAGCUUUUACCCGGUUAAAGGUUUUAUUGUAUCCACAGGGAAACGGGAGAACCAACUACGCUCUAACUUAGCCAAGAUAGAUAGAUAAGUGUAAAUAAGAAAGAUGAUAGAAUUGAAAAAGAACAAUAUUAAAGGUAAGAUAACAAUGGGUGAUAAUAUGGGAAUAGAGAGUAGAGCAAUCUAGUAUAUGCGCGAUGGUAGCCGAAUAGAGAGGAUAACUAUGAUUUCUCUACUUCAAAGGGGCAUGUCUAUGUCUGAGACGAACCACGUGAUAAGAAUACACCACAAAGGAUGCUUAUCCAUAGGCUGAUAAACCCUACCCGUCCUGCUAAGAGGAGGUGGACUACAGGGACCAACGUAACUUUCACCUACGCGGCCUACCACACAAUCCAGCUAGACAGGGGAUAUCCACAAGUAAUCUAGGUCUAAGCACCAUGCUUACACCUAUACUACAACUCUAACCUAUAGGGUCCUAUAGAUUAGAAGUACUCAAAAGAGUUGUGAACCAGAACAUACAUGAUUAGUAAUUGCAUAAUGAAUUAGAAGUAGAUUACCAAAGUCAUCCCAUGAGCAAGCAUGAUUAGAGCUUGAUCAUGGCGAUGUACAACCGGAGGAAGAACCGACAGGCCGGCCUCUCCUCCAAUCCUCCCUCGCUCUCCAUCUCACUACGAUCUAGAUCUACUCUAGUUUAGAGAUGAGAGGAGUGCUCUCAUCUCCAAACCCUAGCUUUUGCUCUGUCUAUGAAUAAUGAAUAGGGAUCAAGGGGUGCCUCCUCCAGGGGCCAGGGGGUCUGCCUAUAUAGUCCCCUCAAGUGAAUCUGGGCCGUCGGAUCAAAUCGACAUUGAUUGAACGGUUAUUCUUGAUCCUUUAGGUCGGUGGAGCAUAAUCUACGAAGCGAGUCCUGAUUGGACUCUGUAGCUGGGUGGGCGCCCAAGGGGGGAGGGCGGGCGCCCUGCCCCCGAGCCCGCUCGGCCUCCCGUUCGUUCCCGUGGCUUCUGGAGUCUUCUAGAUGAUAGAAAAUUGCACGACACGUUCAUAUCUCUAUGUAAACCCGACAUGUGGGCCUUUCCUCCAUAUUUCCUGAUAACCCCCUGCAGAAAUAGACAAACACCAAAACUCGUGGAAUUCUGUCAGAUAAAACCCUAAGUUUAGGUGUUGGUUGUAUUUGGAUACUUUUCUUUGUUUAUUUGCUGAUUAUAUUUGGUACUUAAGGACCGUCAACAGUGCCCAGAAUAGGGAGCAAGCGAAGAAGAACAAACACCACCCUCGGUUAGGCCCUGGUGGCUACCAUGGCAAGCAAGCCACGUUUACGAAGAUGGAUGAAGAGAUCGAAGCUUCUGGGGAUCCAAAGAAACAGAAAAUGAAGAAUUUGAAGAAAUAUUUAAAGCAAUAGAUAUAUGCGAGGAGUAGGAUUCCUCUGACCUCAAGUUUGCUGAGCCAGAGACUGAAGAGGUAGUAUCAAGGAUACUGAAAUAUGCUGAAGACACGGAGAAGGGAACAUUCACUCCUUCCAGAGAGAGGCACGAGUUGAGCCUUAGUUUGGGAAACCCUAAGCACAUAGGCACACUAGGGGGCUAGGGAAACUGACAACAUGGAAGCAAGGAUUUGUAGGGGAUAGCAACAUGUACAAGAAACAUGACAGAGGCCGAGAGACCAAUCUUGAGCUCACUGUGAAGGCUCUAGUUGUGAAAGCACUUUUGGAGCAAGCUGGGAAUAUGGAGCCACAACCGCUGAUGGGGCCACCGAGAGAAUUGGCUAUAGUUGGUAGCCCCCGGGAUGUUUCCUAGCAGCCAAGGUUCCACUGCAACCGUAGCCUUCGUUGAUCACAUACGAGAGCCAACUAGUUGCACCCUGUUGGUUCCCAUGGGCAGGCGGAACACAAUGCUUGAGGUAGCAACAGGUGUGGCACAUCCUCUAGGUGGCGUCUGGCACAGUAACCCAAUCCUACAGGACUACACUAGGGUCAAGGUGCAUACCAAGAAGCCUGAGUACAUGACAUGGAGGAUAGAACAUCCAACUCCCGAGGGUCAUGAUCAGCUUGGAUAAGUCAUGAAACAGUUCAUCCUCUAGCACAAAAAGGACAUUGUAUUGAAUGUUACUUCACCAACUUUGAGUGACGUACAUCUGGAUAGAGCUGCUCAAGAUGGGCACGUGUAUUCACCGGCCCAUGGUGACCACAUGCCUGAGGUGCUACAUUCUUCCUUGACUCCUUGGGACCACAUGCCUAAUGCGCCACAUACUUCUUUAGCUCGUCAAAGUGAGCAAGGGCAUGAUGAGAUGCCACAACAUUCUCCAGCUUGUCAUAUCAAGCAAGGGCAUGAUGAUGUGAUGUCACAACCUUAUCCAACCAAGCAAGGGCCUAAUGACCUACCAGAGCCUUCUGAAUAGGCACCGCCAAUACCUAAACAAGGUCUACCUUCUGAAAAAGAGAAUGAGCACACACCUGUAUUAGAGGCCCAAAAGAAGAUUCCCAUCCAUACAAGGCCAAUGUUUGAGCCGAUGAAAGAUGUCUCCUACAUCGACCAGUGGUUUGCUCGUGCCCAGUACAAGCCUAAGAAUAAAGUUAUAGAAGUCUACGCAUGUGCUUCUGAGCCAUCCAACACUAGCAAACUCCAUGAACUAGUAAAGAAGUAUCCAAAUGUUGAGGACAUCAAGUGGACAAAGGAUUGCCAGAACAAAUAUGUAAGAGGCAAGCCCUUCCAACCAAACCGAAUCAUGCAGUGCAUGCCAAUUGGAAUGAGAAAGUUUCAUGGUUGGUACUUGUGUGCUGAGUCGACAAGACUAAACAUACAUAAAAGUUAUCUUCCCUAAAGGCACAUCUAGAGGCGUAGGUGGGGUUAUAUUAUUUGACUUCAAAGACGUGUAGGCAUGCUUUCGCCUCGGCAUGAUAGAAAUGAAUCUAGUUCACAUAUGGUGCCUGUUAGUCCUUGCCCUCUUGAUAUGAUAUGAAUGAAAAAUGUGGAUUUUGUUGUAACUAACCCACAUCAUGAUUCGUAGAGCGCAAACACAUAUUGUGAAGAAGGCACCAAAUCUAAGAGCCGGGUAUAUAGACCCUUCAUUGAUAUUAGCAUCAAAUUUCCAGUACCCUAAGAACUGGAGAAUGGAUUGUGAAGAACUAGUUGCCGGAGAGACCAUUGAGGAGAAAGAGGCCAUCCGGGUAGAUAAGAUGUACAGAGAGGGCAUUAAGGUGUCAGCACGGAUUGCUCGAUUUCUUAAGAAUCUCCAGCAUAACGAAACUAUAUGGUUACCAUACCACUUUGGGUAUGUUCGAGUCUAUAAUUAAAUAAAGCAUUUAGUUCAAUGCAAAAAAUCUUAUUUUGUUUCUUCAAUGAUUAAAUUCAUGCAGGAAGGUUGGCAGGGAUCACUAUGAAGCCUUUCAAAAGUUCGUCUAACGAGUUAGGGCCGCUAGGUUUCAUUAGUCAGUCCGUGUGAUUCUACCACGCAGGGAUCCACGGUCUGCUAUCCCUCAUUUGCACCACAUGAGUAAACUCUAACAAGCUAGAAAAGGUCUUUAUACUGAGCUAAAGCCAGAGCCAUUAUAGCCCUUAUGGUUGCACUAUCAAUCCCGGUGAUCACUUACAGACAAAUCCUCAAGUUGCUAAAAAGUCAUUUUUAUCGUUUGUUGCUUAAAUAUUAAUCAAGUCAUGAGAUCAUGGCCACAAUUCUAUACUUGCCUUGAUCAAAACUAUUCCACUACUCCUGCUGAUCCCUUUGGUUGUCAAGGUACUGAUCUUGAUCACCAAAUUACCGCUCACCGUCCAAACUCGAUCACCAAUCAUCAGCACACAAGCAAUCGGGGCCAAACAUACACAAAGCAAACAAGGUUAUAAUUAGAACAAUACACCAAUAGUAGAAAAACAGUAUGAAAAGGAUUAUAAAAUGAUUAUACGCAUCACUACGAUCACACAGACGUAAAGAUCACGAAAAUUGGAGCUAAAACGGCGAAGAUAUGAAUUUCCUAAGAUUUUCUUUAGAAAAUCAAUUAAUUAAAUAAGGUCAUGAAAUUAAAAAGUUUCAAACUGGUGAACUAAAGUUACUAUUAUGUAGAUCUCAUGAAUACGAAUAUAACACAAUUCGAAUAGGUCAAAUCAGAGUUAAAACAAAUAUUUUAUGGCUAAAACAAACUCAGUGGCAUUUUUGUAAAUCUUGAAAAUGUAUUUUGAAUCUGAGUAACCAAUUUUAUGCUUUCAACAACAGAAAAUGUAUUCCAUAAACACACUUUGGACUGUAGGUUAAUUCUCAAAAAGAGAAGGGGCUCUUUAGCAAGAUGACCUAGCCGAAGGGGUAUCAGCUUCUCCUGUCUGUUGGAUUAAAAGAGGAUGGCUUAGAUUUGGUUGGAGAGGAGAAGAUGAUGACUGCCGGCCAGAACAGUGUCACUGCAGCGGCGCCAUGGCUGGAAGCUCACUAGGGCUCGUCGUUUUAGUGUUUUAGCGCACGAUUUGUGGAACCAAAAGCACAUGAAGCAAGAGGGGAGCAAGGGGAACUCACCUAGGGGAUUUACGACGGAAGAGGAUGAACGACGAUGGUGUACAGCACGAGGGGGCGGAUGAGAGCCCCCUGUGAUGUUUGGUGAUGUCGCACAGACUACUGGGGUCGAGGGAGAGUAAGGGAAGGAGCUUGGUGGCUUUGUCUUCUAGUUGCGAAGCUUGGCACCGACUCAGAAGCGUCGGCACGAUAGUGAUUAGUAAGAACCACAGUGGCAGGUGUACUCCAGCUCGGGAGAUCCCAAUUCUACGUCCAAGAGCUCAGGCAGCGCUUACAUAAAGUAGAUGAAAAAGGGUGUUGUAGGCGAAUAUCCAUGGCUUAAAAGACGUCGGUUGAACGCAUUAGGAAAGUAAUUCCCCGAAGAUAUUGGAAUUGGGAUGCCGAUUUCACCUGGUCUGGAGUCUGGCUCUCCCACGCCCAAGGAAGGAGAAGACGAUGUCGCUAACAGGUGGUGUCCGAUGUUAGUGAGGGAGAAGGGAGGGAGAAGGCGCGUGCACUGGGCCAGCUGCUAGGCCUGAGAGGGGAAAGGUACGCUGGGCCAAGCGGGCGUAGAAAGGGGGAGGGGUGUCCACACGGCUGGCUAGGUCAAAUGAUCUGGGCCGCCACUGGGCUGAGACCGCGUAGUUGGGAUGAAGACAGGGCAGGCCAAGAGGGAGAGAUGGAGUGGGGCUUCGAGCCAAAAUUGCGAGGGAGAGCUUUUGUUUUUUAUUUUGUUUUUCUUUUAUUCAAAAGCCAUUUCAAAUCCAUUUUAAAAUCUGUUUGAAAUAUUUUUGAAUUUUGGUUAAAACCACUCAUCUAAAAAUUACAAAUGCACCAGCAUGAAUACACACAAUUGUUGCUAAGCCUUAUAAUAAAUUUUAAUUUAAAGAAAAAUAUUAUUUUUCCUAUAUUUCAUUAGCACAAAAAAACUUAAAUAAAUCAUUUUACCUCUAUUUACAAGGAAACAAAUUUUAGGGUGUUACAAUCACAUAUAUAUAACUAGAGCACUCAAUACGAGCGAAGAUCACAUGGCAAAGUAUAACAACUAUACUAACCAUAUGAAAGGCAUAGAAGUAAAUAGAGAAGAUAAUAUUUUAAAGCAAAGUCUUACAAAGAUAAGAUACAAAGAUAUAUCUGUCUCUGAAGAUUUCUCUAGAACCUAAGCAUUGGCUCAACUCUCCCUAACUCUCAACUAGAUCUAUUCUACUACAUUGGAGAGAUAUGAAUUUGAGUUUCAAGGAUGCCUCCAGAGAGGGGGGUAGGGGUCUCCUUAUAUAGUCUAGUGGGAUGAAUGUGAGCCCUUGGAUCAAACUGACUUUAAGGUAUGGUGGAAUGCAUCCUAGGAGGUAGUGGAGGAAGCUUCCACAAGCCAGAGGCGAGCGGCUUGUGUGGGAGGCCAGCCAGUCUGGGCUUGAGGUUGGCUGGCCCAUUUCUAGGUCCUUUGAGGCCCAUCUUUGGUGGUUUGUCUUCUAGUGCCUUUUAAAGCCUUCCCACGUAUGUGUUGCACUUUAAUUUUGAAUUUUCCUUUCACAAAUAAGUCCCCCUUGGUGGUUUUGUAGGUAAAUCCUGUAGAGAUCAUAGAUUCAUCAAAACUCAUGAAAUUUGUUAGUUUAACUCUAAACCUUUGUUGGUGAUCUCAAUGUGCUCCUAUGCAUGUUUAUUUAACAAUAAAAUGUUGGUGGUAACCACUGUCAACAACUACUGAGCAUCUUUAGUCGACACCAUGCAACAUGGUUUCAAAGUUUGCAUAGAUUAAGCUUGAUUGCUUUAGAUUUUUAUAGCCAAAUUCAACCACCCCUCUUAUGCCAUUCAGUCCUUACAACCAACACAAAUUAAUUAAGGCUAUGUUUGGUUAAGCUUCUAAAAAGUGCUUCUGGGACCAAAACGCAUGAAGCCAACCAAAUAGGUGAAACCUAAAGUUGCUUUUGUAGAUGUAACAACUUCCGUGUAGUAUAACUUUUCUCAUAAGAGAAGCUAUGGGAGUUUUCCUCAUAACUUCUGCUGAAAGCCCAAGUUUGGUUUUGGUAAUUAAUGACACCAAGUUGCUAAUGUCUUGUGUUUAAGUGAUUUAAGUUAGGCAUAGCAACACAUGUGAUGAAGGAGAAAUAUGACAUGUAGUGGGAGACACAUGAACACAAAGAGAUGAAGCAUGAAGUGGAGAGAUCAUGGUGAUAGACAAGGAGUAAAAUGAUCAAGGCAAAGGUAUAAAUAUAGGAUUUUGCUUUUGUCGUUCUAAGUUGAGUAGAGAAGUGAUUGACCGGAUUUAGGAUAGAUAGCCGACUAUCAAGAGGGGAAAUCAUGGUCAUCUCUCGAAUCAAGUGCUACUAGGUUCAUAUAUUGAGCAUAUGCAUUAGGAUCUAGUAAAGUGCUAACCUAACUUCUUUGAUGAAAAUGUUUGUGAAAUGCUAACACACAUGCACAAUGGUGCUGGUCACUUGGUGGUGUUAGCACAUUUGUAAAGGAGGUGGAGUUUCUAGGGUAUAGAGGGGUUUGGGUUCCACUCUCCCUCCUGCUUGUGAGGCGAGAUUCGGUGCUUUCAGAAAAAUGGAAUGCAUAUUUUCUAUUGCGCCGAAGCAAUUUUUUAAAAAAGUCACGUGAGUGUUUUCCACUAAGAAACACUCAUCAGACGCUGGGUCAGACAACAUCGAACGCUGAGGCCGCGUCUAACGAGUGCAACGCAGUAAGGCACGAAUAGUCAUGUGCGUCGGAGCGUCCGAUGGGUUUGCGUUAGACGCGGCUCCGACACUGUUCCCGCAUCUGGUGAGCUAGUGAUGUCAGCAAGCAUGCGAGCCAGUUUUUGUGGCUGUGAGCGUCAGACGCCAGGGAGCAUCUGCUGAUGACGUGUCGGACGCGUCCGACGACCCUAUGAAGUUGUAGACCUCCCUAAGUUGCAUCCGGCGUGAUGUACCGUGUCCGAUGCGCUAGAGAUUAACGGUCCAUGUUGAAAGAGCGACACAUGGCAGCGAUCUAACCAACAUUGGGAGUGAGUGUCGGACGCUUUGCCUCGUUCGACAGGUAGGCAUCAGAGCGUCCGAUGCCCCCACAGAAAGCCCUAAUGGCUAGUUGUCAGGCUGACCUCUUUAAAUAUAAUGUGGCCGACCUUGGGGGAUCUCCUCUUACACUCUUGAACACUUAAGGCAUACUUUGAGCUAGUGAACACUCCCUGCACUCAUCUCCUUUCUUGAUUGCUAAUCCUAGUGAGAUUGAGUGAGAUUCAAGUGCAUUGCUUAGUGAGUUGCAUCUAGUGGCACUUGAUCCUUGAGUUUGCUGUGGAUUUCUUAUUACUCUUGGAUGUUUCCUGACACCCUAGACGGCGUGGAGUAGUGGAGGUGUUGAGCUCAUGAUUGGAGAUUUUUUUGAGCCUCACGAAGUGAUUUGUGAGGGGUUCUUGAGCCUUCUCUGUGGGAUAUUGCAAUUGGCUACUCAAGUGGAUUGCUCGUGGCUUGGAGGAUCCCCAUCUUCUGUGCAGCACCCACUGAGGGUUUGCCUUUGGAUUGCCAAUUAAGCCUGUGAUCCAUGAAGUGGGUGUAUCACCACAACAAGGACUAGCUUGCAGGGAAGCAAGUGAACCAUGGUAAAAAAAUAUUGUGUCAUCUCUUGCCAAGGAUUCUCUCUUGUGAAUGUGAUUGUGAGUGAUUGAUUGGAUAUAUCUCUACUCUACAACGUCAGUAUAAUAAUCACUCCCCACUCCUUUACUUACUUGCAUACCUUGCUAAUUGUUUAGCUUGUGUAGCCUAGUCUUCUUGUUUAGGAGUGUAGCUAGCCCUUAUUUGUGAUUUAUUAUUGUGACUUAGUGUUUAGCUUCUUGCUAGAAUUGUGUAGGUGGCUUACAUAGCUUAGUUGUGCUAGUGCUAGAAUAGCUUUGCCAUUUGUUUGUAGAAAAUUUAAAUAGGCUAUUCACCCCCGUCUAGCCAUUUGGACCUUUCACCUACCCAUAAUUGGCAGGAGGAGAAGAUACAGAAGAAACUCUCUCAUAACUUUUCUCGUUACUUUCCUCGUUAGGGCUAGAAACUCUUAAAACUCCUGUAAUUUCUCUCAUUACUUUCCUCAUUAGGAGGAGAAACUCCUUCCUCCUUACUUUCCACAUUAGGGGCAAAAACUCCUAAAACUCCCAUAUCCUCUCUCAUUAGGGACACAAACUCCUAAAACUCUUGUAAAGGGGAAUAAUUUUGUAACUCCUACCCAUAAUUGGCGGGAGGAGAUGCUACGAGAGUUUUCCUCAUUACUUUCCUCGUUAUGGGUAGAAACUACUAAAACUCAUCAUCGCCUUCCCUCAUCAGGGAUAGAAACUUCUGAACUUCUGUAACUUUCUCAUUACUGAUUCUUCUUUGCCUCAUUAGGGGCUUGUUACUUUAUUCCUCCUCAUUAUGGGCAAAAACUCCUAAAACUCCCUCAUUGAACUCCAUCUCCCUUAUUGACUUCCCUUAUUAGGGGCAAAAACUCCUAAAACUUUCAUAACUUCCCUCAUUACUGGUUCUUCCUCAUUAAGGUUAGAAACUCCUUCCCUCAUUAAGGACUCAUCACUUUUUUCCUCAUUAGGGGCAGAAAACCAUUUCCUCAUUACUUUCUUCCUCAUUAGGGGUAGAGAUCCCUUCCCUCAUUACCUUAUUACUAUCUUCCUCAUCUCAUUACUUUCUUCCUCAUUAGGGGCAGAAACUCUCUUCCCUCAUUAUCUCAUUACUUUCUUCCUCAUUAGGGGCAACAACUCUUUCCAUCAUUACUUUCUUCAUCAUUAGGGACAAGAACUCCUUCCCUAAUUACUUUUUUCCUCAUUAUAGGCAGAAACUCCCUUCUCUCAAUAUCUCAUUACUUUCUUCCUCAUUAGGCCUUUUCUUGUCAUGUGCAGAAACUCUUUCCCUCAUUACUUUCUUCCUCAUUAAUUAGGAGGUAGAAACUGCCUUCUCUCAUUACAUCAUUACUUCCUUCCUGAUUAGGGGCAUAACUCCUUCCCUCUUUACUUUCUUCCUCAUUAGGGGAAGAAACUCCUGAAACUCCCUCAUUAACUUUCCACUUAGAGGUAGAAACUCUUGUAACUUCCCUUAUUACUUUCUUCCCCGUUAAGGGUAAAAACUCCGUCCCUCAUUACUUUCUUCCUCAUUAGGGGCGUAAAGUUCUUCCCUCAUUACUUUCUUCCUCAUCAAGGGCAGGGACCCCUUCCCUCAUUACUUUAUUCAACAUUAGGGGUAGAAACUCCCUUCCCUCAUUACUUUCUUCCUCAUUAGUUUUCUUCCUUAUUAGGGUAGAAACUUUUCUCAAUCAUUGUCCCAUCCCAUGUAACAUAAUUCUAACCUUGUCUACAUUCUUGGCAGUGGCAGAGUGGUAGGUUUAGAUAGCGAAGAGAGCCUACACUACUGUGAUGGCGGCUAGCGGGAAGGCAGCACCGAUGCUAGGGCUUCUGCUGCUGUUGUGCUUGCUCUGCCAUGGGGCAGCACAGCGGUACAAUGCCAUCUGGAACUUUGGUGACUCCAUCUCCGACACCGGGAACCUCUGUGUGGGUGGGUGCCCGGCCUGGCUCACAAUGGGGCAGCCGCCCUAUGGGGAGACCUUCUUCCACCGCCCCACCGGACGCUGCUCUGAUGGCCGCGUCAUUGUUGAUUUCUUGGGUAUGUGACUGCAUGGUGUAAAUUGUAGCUACACUAGCCUGCCUAUGUGUAUACUAGCAGGGAUGAAACAAACUGGUUGUGACCCGCGUCAUCUGCCAACGCCCUGUGGGCUCUCAGACUAGACUAACUGGUACUGUGGUACGUACAUGCAGCUGAGCACUUUGGUCUGCCGCUACCGCAGGCGUCGAAGGCCAGCGGCAACUUCAAGAAGGGUGCCAACAUGGCCAUCAUCGGCGCCACCACCAUGAACUUUGACUUCUUCAACUCCAUCGGACUUAGAGACAAGAUUUGGAACAACGGGCCGCUCGACACCCAAAUCCAGUGGUUCCGCCAGCUCCUCCCCUCCGUCUGCGGGAAUGGUACGUAAAUCAUAAAUCGCGGUGAAAGCAGAAAAUCGCAUUCGCAUGAUUACGCCGUACUUUGUUAUUUAUGAUUUAUGAAUUGCAUGAAACAGACUGCAAGAACUACCUGUCCAAGUCGUUGUUCGUGGUGGGCGAGUUCGGGGGCAACGACUAUAAUGCGGCGCUCUUCUCUAGGCGGUCCAUGGCGGAGGUGCGAGGCUACGUUCCUAGGGUCAUCACCAAGCUCAUCCACGGCCUGGAGACGAUCAUCAGGAGGGGAGCCGUGGACGUGGUGGUUCCCGGGGUGUUGCCUAUCGGCUGCUUCCCCACCUAUCUCACCCUCUACGGCACCUCGAACGCCGCCGACUACGACCGCGAUGGCUGCCUCCGGAGCUACAAUGACCUCUCCAGCUACCACAACGCGCUGCUGAAGCGGAGCCUCUCCAGCCUGCGGAGGACAUACCCGCACGCUCGGAUCAUGUACGCUGACUUCUACACACAGGUCAUCGACAUGAUCCGGACCCCUCACAACUUUGGUCAGUAUACAUACACUACUACCUUUAAUUUAGUUUUAUUUAAGAUGUCCACUUUUCUUCCUAUUGCUUCGGUCUAUCCAUGCAUUUCGCUACUAGACAUCAGGUUGGAGUAUAUAUGUUGGAAUAACAUUCCAGUCAAUUUUUAAAAGAAAGACAGAAAAACCAUUGUACUAUUAGCUGACAACCCUGUCCAGAGCAGGAAGGUAGGCAAAACAUCACAAAAAUCAUUCUUCUGCUGAUAUUUUAGUUAGCACACACUCUUGUUUGAACUUUGGCUUUGUGUCCUUGCUAGAAUCCAGUUGGCGUACGGGAGUUGAAGUCUUAGUUAUCACGGAAUGUGUAGUGUAGCACAUAGGCAGCACAGCACUGGAAAGGGAUAGAUCCAAAGCGUGGAUGUUGGCAGAUACAGAUGUAAAGAGAGCUACGUGCAUGUUUAAAUUUUUACUUUUGGAUUCUUAGCCCACCAGUGACUCAUCCUCUGGUCAAUUAAUUAUGACCUUUGUCCAAACAAUUUGGGAAUCAAUACCCACCUAAUUGAUCCAGUUUGCAUGCGUAUUAUUUAUCCAUCAUACUAAUAAUUACGAUGGAACAUGUAUGUGGUAUAAGAAUAGGAUGAAAGCCUGUCAUUGACACCAUGGUGUCAUAGAUAUCAUCUUAUAAAGCACUGUGUAAUAUACUGGUCACAAAAGCCACCUGCUGUAAUUGGCAAAGAUACUCCCACAUGUAACAUAACAAUUCCUAGCAACUUAACAGAUCCCUUCUUUCUAUGCACUGUUUUAUCUUAAAAUGUUUCUCAAAGGUUAUUACUGUUCAGUCACUGACGGGGAGCACGCUAGCGCUCAUUCUGAGGCGGUAUUCUUUAUUAACUGUAAUGUAAUCAGCCUAGCUAAUAUAAUGAUACCUAGUACGUGUGAUCGACACUUGCAGGGCUCAAGUACGGGCUGAAGGUCUGCUGCGGCGCCGGUGGGCAGGGCAAGUACAACUACAACAACAAUGCGCGGUGUGGCAUGUCCGGGGCCAGGGCCUGUGCUGACCCGGGCAACUACCUCAUCUGGGAUGGCAUCCACCUCACGGAGGCGGCGUACCGCUCCAUCGCCGAUGGCUGGCUCAAGGGCACCUACUGCAACCCUCCCAUUCGGCACUGAUGAGCUAGCUAGCUGGGGGAGUUAAUAGCUAGCUACAUUCAUGCGUGUGUUGUUUGGGCUAAUUGCCAUGUGCAUCAUCAUCUCCUUGUCCUAGGUUCAUACACAGUGAUGAGUAGUGGUGGGUUUGUUAUUUGGUUGUCCAUUAUUCACGGGAAGUAGGUGGUUUCGAUGUGCUGGGGACAAUGAAUAAAUGUGUAAUGGACAGUUUGCAAAAAAAUUUUGACGCAAAAAUACUGUGGGGGAGAUCCCCACAGUGGUUUAUAUUGAUUAGAUUAAAAAAUUACACAAAAAAAACAAGCCUGUAUUUACUAAAAGCAUCAAGCCAGAAACAAAAUGAGGACCUAAGGUCCGUCUUGAAACGAAAGGACUUAUCAAUACAUUGAUUCCCAAAAUUUGCUAGCCAAACUCCUUCCAAAGUUCCUAAGCUGCUAUAAGCACGACAGUAAAGAAAGGCAGCCCUUGUGCAUCCUUUUCUUUUACAAACCUUACUUGAAGCCGGAUUGACGCAUCCUAGUUGAAGUUGAUGGUACACCAGCAUUGUUGCACAAAGGGGUAGGAGAAGAAUAGAUGUUCAAUAUCCUCGUCCAUCCCGGCGUUGCACAUAACACACAGCAUGUCAUCUUGGAUGUUCAGAUGUCUUCUCCUUAGUAUGUCCUUAUUCAGGCGAUCUACUAGGACUGGCAAAGCAAAAAAAUGAUCCGCGGGGCACAGCAAGAUAUACAUAUCAUGUUAUAUAUUGGAUGUGCUUCGAUCCACUACACUGAAGACAAGGGCAUAGGACUUUCUUGACGUAUACUGAGGCUCCUAGGUUGGCUCCCAUGAAUCUACUGAAUCAUCAUCGUAUGGAAUUGCUUGGAGGUGGUCUUGCAAGAGCUGCAGUUCAUCAUAGGCCUAUACCACCGGCGGUAGGAAAAAAUAUCGUCCAGAUUUUUCUAUUUCCAUGACUUCUUGGACUGACAUUCCUUCAUUCGUAGCAAAGGAAUACAACUUGGGAAAUUCUGUGGACAACAUUGUGUUCGACCGACAAUCUUCCUAGAAACAAACCGUUGAGCUGUUAGUCUGUUACUGAUCAUGCAUUUGGCAAUGCCAUGGUAAAUGUGUCGCAAUAUGUCACGCCACUAGAAUGACCCAACCUCUUGAGACGUAUGCGGUGUUACCGAUAAAUAUUCGGGUGAUCUCAUCUCGUCAUAUUCUUCCCACAGGGAUCUAUUAUAAUGGCUCGAAGGUGGAGAGGAGUUCUCCCGUGAAGACCGCUUUGCCUCCGAGACUUCCCCCAUGACUCCGUACGUGCCCGUAAAGACCAGUUCUUCCUCCAGGACUUUCCCCACGACUCAUCGUGGGAUCGUGAUUACUUGGGAAGAGUUUCCCCUUCCCCCUCAACCUAUAUAAAUGCCGAUCAAUGCAAUAAAGAAAGAUACCUGAGUUCAUUACUUCCUCCCUGUUGUUCUCGUACUUUACAUUCUACUCGCAACACGUUAUCAGCACUUCGCUCCUCCCUUCCCCAGUGAGGAAUAGCUCGGUUGGUGUGAACAUCAUCGAGGGAUCGACCUUCAUCUCGAGGUAAAAUGCCAUUACCUCGCUGUAAUUUUGCCUCUACGGCUUCCCUCGUCCUACAAAUCGUCUGGAUGGUGAUCAACCAUGCCCGUACCUUGGGCAUCCACUUUGGCAACAACCGCAUUCAGACAGAAUUCCUGCAGGUCAUCCGGAAAAUCCGCGGAGAGCCUUGCGGCUAUCGCCUUCGGGGCAAACGUCGUGACCUCGGCAGGAAUCCCGAGCAUUUCCCUAUAGGAUGUCAUUUCGGAGGUCACCGACGUGCGAACAUCACUCCUCUAUCGCAGUGUUUGGUGGUGUCAUCUGCGGCUCCGCCUACGGCACCAUCGCCAAGGGCAUCGACACCGUCCUCGUUUCUAGCGCUGACUCCACCGGCGCCUCCAGUGUCGGUCCUCGCAUUGCCGGCUCCACUCCCGCCAAGGUGCCCGCUUCAUGGCGACAUCCUGUACCCACCACCAUCACCAUCUAUGGUGACCAGCCAGCAAUAGCUGUCACUGGGCAUAGAGCCAUUGUCGCCUAUCCGGUACUCGACGCCAACGCCGUCACCCGAGCGGGCUGCACACAGUCCGCCUCCAUGCUGUCCAUCUCCACCGACAAUCGCGGCGCGGAUGUCGCACCGACUCAGCUGCCAGCGUACUUCGUCAACCAGUGGCGAAUCCAGCUCGAGAAAUGACCUAGGGCGGACUUAUACUAUAAAAUUUUGGCAAAACUAAUGGCAAUAUAAGCUAACAAAUUCCAUAAGUUGCUUUGGCAACAUAAUUAUUUGAAGUAUAUAUUUUCUACAUUAAAAUUAGAGAAAUUUGUUCCUUAAAUUAAGAGAAGCCAUACAUACUAAUACUAAUAGUUCUAAACUGACUUCACCAAAUGAUUGGAUGAUUCAUCCUUAAUCAAAUUUUAAACAAUUAACUAUGUGAAAAAGGCAAAUAAAAAAUAAAGAUACCUGCAGCCCAGCGCAGGUUCUUAGGUUCCGCAAGUUUGUGAAUUAACGAAAGAGAGGACCAGAAAGUCAGAAGUCGAGAAUAGCGAGAAACCUGAGAAAGGCCGAUCGUAUUUUUAUUGCGAUUUGUGGGCUGCGGUUUUCUAUAUGGGCUGAACCAUUACGUUUAAGAUGUCUUCAACCACUGUCAGAUAUUCUAGGAGUCUCUUUUUAUUUUGUACUAAUGUCUAAAAUUUUUAUAGAGUUUCAGAUUAACCCUAAGAGGACCUAGGGCGGCCGCCCUGGCUCGCCCUAGUGGUGGAUCCGCCUAUGUCGUCAACCAGGCGCUUACUGCUCCACAACCACCACGGCCACCUCCUCCCUCGUGACUCCGCCGCACAUGGAUCAACGUCCUCCAUGGGCCUUCGGCUCGGGGAUGCGCUCCUCCUUACUGAGCUCGUCCAUGGGGAAGGGGGAGGAGGUGGUGGUGAUGUCAUUGCGCGCCAUGGCCACCUCCAUGUGGCCACGGCACUCGGUUUGCGCGCGGCCUCGGUGCCAUACCACAGCGAGGUGGCACCAGACUAUCUCAUAGCCCCACUCGGCCCGUCUACGCGGUACGGCGGCCCCUGAACCUCGACGGCCAGCUCCCAGGCAAGCACGUGUGCCUCCUCCGGAUAGCACCACGGUGGCCUCCUUUCCACUAGCGCCCACCUAGUUCGGCUCUACGGCCAAGGUGGCCUGGCAUAGUGGCGCCCACGACGGCUGGCCGACCCCCACGCCACAGCCUUGUGCGGGGGCGUGCCCAGGCACACGGCCAUCUCCGCAUGACACUCCUAGUGGCCCGGCCGAGCACACCUCGACACCACAACCUCGGCUCCCCGCGCGGCCGCGCAUCGCAAGCACGUGAGCUCGCGGCUCCUGACUUGCACGACGCUCGUGUGCGGCCUCCCCUGCGUGGCUCACGGCCCCACAUGGUGUGCACGAAGGUGGGGCCUACAGGCCUGCACAAGAAGGGAGGAGUCAUACCUCCUGCUGGCGACGGUGGUUGGAGCCAGGGCCCUGGCUGGCGUUGACGGCUGGUGGCUGGGGGCUUGGGUUUGGAAACCCUAGCCCCUGGCUAUAUAUGUGCCCCCUUCCCAAUUGGGCCAAAUUGGUGGCCCAAGUUCAGGAUGGGGCCUGUGAGCUUUCAGCCUGGGCUAGUUAUCAUUGGCUUUUUUAUUUUUAAAUUAGCUAAUUUAGUUUAUUUAUUUAUUUACAUAGAAUUUAUUUUUCAUUCCCCAAAUUACAUCAACUAGUUAGUCUAAUUUUAGACACUAAUAUACAUUGCAUUGUAAAUAUUUUACAUUUCACAAUCAUAUUAUGAAAGACAAAUUUUGGUGCAUGUCGAACGCGUUGUUUUUACAAUUCCCUAUCACAUACACAUAUAAAUAUAUUUAUGGUCAUAUUUUUCUCUCUAUUUGGAACAUUUUUUUACUAGACGUUACCUUGCUUUAAUGCUAAUUUUGUGACCAUAAGGUAGUACUCAUACUACUGCAGGAUUUAUUCCUCAAAGUGCUCUCCCAAAAUUAAUAAUAAACAUAUAAGGACUACAUCACAAUGUGAAAAAUACAAAAUGGUCUACGCCCUUAUGGUGACUACCUAUGUUCCAUAAAAUGAGAAAUUAAAAUACCAUAAAAACACAUGCAAGUUACCUUGCUUCACAUAAACAAGUUUACCUUGUUAUUUAUAUACAUAAUUUUACAUUGCUUUACAUACGCAAUUUUACAUUAGUUUAUAUACGCAAUUUUACAUUGUUAUAUAAAUAUGCAAUUACAUGCUUGUUAAUUCUACAACCCCAAAAUAAAUUAAAUUUAUGCAAAUAAAAAAGGAGGCAAUGGCCACCAAAGAGUUUGAUGCCCAAGUUUCUUCUAAGAAGGAAUUUGCCGAGCUAGCUCUUAAUGGACACAACUUUCAUACAUGGGCGAUGGAUCUCAAAGUGAGUCUAUCGUUACACGGAAUAUACAAGGCAACUAACACUCCUAAAUAGGGAGAUGCUCCAUUGUUUGAGCCAACCAAGUACCAUGCCUUAUACAUAAUAAGGAACCAUGUCUAUACAGAUCUUAAAGUUGAAUAUCUAAUGAAAGAGGACCCACAGGCUAUCUGGCUUGCUUUGCAACAAUGGUAUGAGCAAGAAAAGGUUGUUAUCCUCCCGGACGCCACUCAUGAGUGGAACCACUUCCGCAUUCAAGAUUUGAAAUUUGUGAAUGAGUAUAAUCAUGUCAUGCACAACCUCAGUUCUGAACUGAAGUUUUGUGAAAAGGAGCCAUCUAACUUGGAGAAAAUUGAAAAGACUUUGUCUACCAUGCUUCCCACACAAAUGAUCCUCCAAUAGAAAUACCAUGAAAGGGGAUUCACAGACUACUAUGAUCUCAUUAAAACAUUACUUCAGACUAAGAGGCACAAUGAGGUCCUCAUUUGGAACCCCAAUCAAGGCCCUAUCGGUGUCAAGCCCUUACUAGAAGUACAUGCUAAUGCUCAGAAACAGACACCAAAGGAUGCCAACAAGAAUGGCAAUCCUAGAUCCUCCAAAGGCAAAAACAAGCUCAAGGGACCCCGUAAGCCUCGAGGUGCUAAGGGCAAGGACAACAUCUUGAAGUUGAAAGACAAGUCCUUGACUUGUACAAAGUGUGGUUGUUACAACCACCCGACUAAGAAAUGUCACACCCAAAUGCACCUGGUGGAACUGUACUUACAUCCAUGGGACGAGGACACUCCAAUCAAGGACGCUCCAACCAAGGUGGACAACCAUCCGAAGCAUACUUCAACGAUCUGGCAGCCCUAGGAUGUUCCAACCCUACCCCAGCGGGACCGAGCAACACAAUGGCUCCUCCUCCACCUGAUGGCAUGACAAAUGACUCCAGCAACAACAUGAUCAUCGAAUAUACUUUUGAUGAUCCGUUUGGUGACUUCAACUAGAUUGAUAGUCAGUUGAGAUUUUAAUUUUAUCAUUCGUCUCUGGUAUUGUAAUAAUUAACAAUUUGUUUUUGCUGCACACUUUUUGAUAUUUAUUGACUUAUGUACAAUUUAAUAUCAAUAUAUGUUUAUAUUUCAUAUAUAUUCAUGUUGAGAAUUUCAUUCUCUACUAUAUUCUCCACUUUUUAGAUUGUACGGGAGUCAAUCUGAUGGAUGGGGAAAUAUGCCUAGUGGAUAGUGACACCACUAACUCUAUACUCACGGAAAUAAAAUAUUUCCAAACUCUCACAAAGAGCAAAGGAAAUGUUUUAAUAAUCGUUGGACGCAAUGUCGUAAUAGUAGGCUUUGGACGAGCCACUAUUAACCUCCCUAUGGAUACAACGAUCACAAUCGAGGAUGCACUCUUGUAUCCCGAUUCAACUCGUACCUUAUUGAGUUAUAGAGAUAUCCACAAAAAUAGGUAUCAUAUUGAAGCCCAUCACCAAAAUAAUGAGUAGUUCCUCCUCAUUAGUAGAGAUACUCUCCAAAGAAUUCCCUCAACUUCGUCUGGAUUGUACUACUCAUACAUAAAACCCAUACAACAUGUUGCGUAUAAAGUAAUUUUUUAGAAUAUCAAUGCAUUCCAAACUUGGCAUGAUCGCCUUGGUCACCCUAGCAUAGGGAUGAUGAGAAAAUUACUAGCAGUUCUGUUGGUCACUCGGUAACCAAUGCAAAAUUUCUCCAAUCCUCAUAUUAUAAUUGCACCGCAUGUGCAACUGGGAAAUUAAUUUUGAGGCCCUCUUUCCUCAAAAUAAAGGUUGAACCACUCAACUUCCUUGAACGCAUUCAACGGGACAUAUGUGGUCCGAUAAAUCCUUUAUCCAGACCGUUCAGGUACUACAAGAUUCUAAUAGAUCCAUCUACACGAUGGUCUCAUGUGUCUCUUCUAUCGACAUAGAACUCAAAGUGCAACAUCCUAAACAUCAAAUCAAAUUCAUUAGGAAGGACAAUGUUGCUGAAUUUUCCUCUUGUGCCUUCAAUGACUAUUGUUUGGCCUUAGGAAUCCAAGUACAGCAUUCCGUCCCAUAUGUCCAUACACAAAAUGGGUUAGUCGAGUCUCUCAUCAAGAGAAUAAAGCUCAUUGCUAGACCACUAUUGCAGAAUUGCAAUCUACCAACCUCAUGUUGGGUCAUGCAGUCUUACACGUUGCUAACUUGAUUCAAUUGUGACCAACUGCAUACCAUGCAAUGUCCCCAUUGCAACUAGUACAUGGAAAUCCCCCAUGCAUUUCCCAUCUGUGAAAGUUUGGUUGCGCUACAUACAUAUACGUACCGAUCUCACUACCGAAGCGUACAACAAUGGGCCCCUAUAAAAAACUAGGGAUCUAUGUGGGAUACAAAUCACCAUCGAUCAUAAAGUAUCUAGAACCCACCACAGGAGACCUCUUUAUGGCCUAGUACGCUGAUUGUAUCUUCAAUAAAGAUCAUUUCCCAGCAUUAGGGGAGACUUAUCACAUCACAAACAAUGGUAGGAAAUCAAUUGGGAUGUCCCAGACAUCUCCAACUCAGAUCCACAUACUUCAAGUUCAAAAAAUCAUCAAUUUGCACCACAUUGCAAACAACAUGUCAGACACAUCUACUAAUUAUAAGGGUGUUACAAAAUCCUAUAAUCCAGUGAGAAAUGUAUCGGAAAGAGUAGAGGUACCAAACAAAACUACUCAACUCCCAAGUAAGAGGGGGAGAAGUAUGGCUAUCUCCAUGGAUGUAGCUUCUAGCAAGCAAAGGGAACGGAAAACCAAAUCCUCUGACCCAAUAAAUGCAACUUAACCUCAUUUUGAGGAACACCUAGUGGAGGUUCAACCUUCACAUCUGCAGAUGUGCAAAGGUGGGGUCCAUAGGCAUAAUAUCAUAUAAGAAUUCAUAAGUUACCUUGGCCAUUAGGCUGACGCCCAAUCCAGUGUCAUAGACAGUGUUGUAGAAGUAACAUCUGUUGAUGGAGUAUAGAAUGGUCACGACACCAAGAUCAUCCUUCUUGAUCAGAUGCGGAGACUUGAGCAGGUGGUCAUACUCCCUAUGGACUGCAGUGACCAUCCUUGUUGUCUUCAUCUUCUAGGCCUUCUUCUUGCCCUUGUUCUUGAUCUUAGCCCUAUUCUGGGUGUUGCUCUUGUUCCUACCGCCGACAGUUUCCUUAUGAGUAGGGAAUGAUAAUGUCCUAUUCUUGAAAGAAAAGGCUUCCUUGUUGCCCUUAAUGUUGAAAGUAAUCUUGGCAGUACUGGCGUUGAUAAUGGCUCCAGCAAUGUUCAAGAAUGGACAUCACAAAAUGAUAGGUGACCUCUCAUUAGUGCCUGUGUUCACUACUGUGAAGUCUACAAGUACGUAUGAGUUGACUACUCGCACGCAGAUCUCUUCUAGUAUUCCCAUGGGGUAGCAGAGUGACUAGUCUGCAAGCUGCAAACACAUGGUUGUGUAUGAUAAAGGAAUAUUCAAAAGUUUUUUGUAUAUCACCUUAGACAUUAUGUUGACGCUUGCACCAAAGUCACAAAUUGCCUCUUUGAAGUUUGUACUUCUAAUGGAGAUUGAAAUAACCGGCCUCCCUAGAUCACCUUUCUUAAUUGGCAGAGUGUUGGUAUUUCUUAUGCACAAUUAAAAUAUGAAGGAUUCCGCAAGCGCACAAAAGACCAUUGUAGCAUUUUACCGGGAGUAUUCUAGGUAUCAUUAUUUAUAUUUUACCACUAGGAAACAAUGGAUAAAGAUAUUGAUAGUUCACCAUCAUGUAUCUACUAACUAAUACACCAACUAGACUAGAGUAGGGGUAAAUAUUAGAUGAUAGGAAUUAUGCAUAUAUGACACACCAGAGAAUUCUAUGAUAAAAGAGUAGAUAGCUAAAGUGAGAGUUUAAGGUUCCCAAAUACUUCUUUAUUACUAGGGUUCUAUAAUAACUAAUUCAUGGUAGGUAAAGCAAUCACACAAUAACACUUCGGGACAUCAGAGCACCUAGCCACAGACAGAUGAGAAGGGGGGUAGGACGGUCUAAUUACGGUCCUACAACACCAAUCCAAACGUGGUGGAAUACAUUGGCCGUCAGGGCUGUCACCACCUGGGGCUACCACAACUAUCCGUAGAACUGGGUGCAAUAUCAGGUAACCUAUAGUUUAGACACCAUGUCUCUACUACAAAUUACUACUCUAAUCACAAUUAAUAACUAGAGUACCCGAUACGGGCGGAGAUCCUAUGCUAAAAUAUAACGACUAUACUAACCAAUCAAAUGUAAUGCAUAAAAGUAAAUAGAAAAGAUAAAAUAUAUUAAAGCAUAAGUCUGAUACAAAGAUAUAUCAGAACUCUGAUGACUCCUCUGAAAGACUCCUCCAGAACCCGGGCAUAGCACCGCUCUCUCUAACUCUCAACUAGAACUAAUCUACUACAUUGGAAAGUUUAGCCUUAAUUCUCUAGAGGUGAGAGGUUAUCCAUUCGAGGGACGCCUCUACAUCUCCAUAAUGUGGUGCCCCUAGGGAGGGGGAUCUGCCUCUUUAUUUAUAGCCUAUAAAAGCCUCCCACCUCUUCUAGACAGGCGAUGUGGGACUAAUUCUUUCACCGUUUGCUCUGUUGGGCUAUUAUACAUCAACUUGGGUCUUUCAAUCAUCUCUCAUAUGAGCCCACUCAAGGGAGCAGCUUGGGGCGCCUAUCUUGGGCAUCUAUCACGCCAUAUGAGCCUCUUGUCACGUAAUGGGCCUUGCUUGGGCGUGAGGCCCAUUAGUGGUAAUUCUCCUUUAUUUGUAAAAUUAAUAACUUUUCACUCCGGACUCCAAAUAUAGCAAAUGAUAUGUCCGUUUCGAUCGUCUCGACAAGCCCGUCGCAAUAGUGUAGUCCAAAUCAUCAUUUGAUAUACUUUUAUUUAAUGGAAAAUUGCAUAUUUCUACAAAACAAGUCAGAACACCAAAACUCAUAGAACUCGUUAGAAUCAAACCCUACAACUAUGCUUUAUGGUUGAUAUGAUGUUAUAUUGAGCAAUAUUUGAUGGUAUAAAAUAGGCACUAAGGACCAUUAACAUAGAGUCAAGUCAAUCUAUGUUUCUCUCAGAGAGUCCUUCCAGUAAUUUCCUGCAUUAAAGAUGUCUACAAGAUUUGCAGUUUCUAAUUCUCCCGGUUAUCUAGGAACCUUACCUUGAACAUUGGUGGUAGCAAAAUGAGUAAGUUAUUGUAACUGAGAUUCUAGCAUCUUAUUAAAGCUAAGAUGAUUCUUAAUAGUAUUGGAAAAACUUUCCAUUCUAAUGUUAAUUGAUUCUAAAGUUUUAUCAUUAGAUGCUAGCUUCUUAGACAGGCUAUCCAUUAACUUGCCCUAAUUAAGCACUAACUCUCUUAAAGGUGUUUGAUUGGCAUUAUUGUAAGAAUUAUUACCUUGGUAAUUACCUGAGUAGUUAGGCCGCGGUUGCUGGUUCCAACCUUGAGGAUGGUAGUAGUUGUUGUUGUUGUUGUUGAUGAUGUAGUUCACAUCCUCCGUCAGCUCUAGACAGUUGGUACCCGUAUGCCCAAAUUCUCCACACUCUUCACAAGUCAUGCUGGAAUCAUAAAUGUGCGUGACUUCCUUCUUCUCAACAGUUCUUUUAUCAAGCCUUUUCAUUAGCAGGUCCAUCUUGGCUGACAGCAUAUCUACCUCCUUGAGCUGGUGCAUUCCUCCACCUCUCUUGCGGGUUUGAGUUCUCUCUUCACUCUAACCUUGAUUGGAGGCCAUCUUUUCCAUAAGAGCAGUGGCUUGAGAAAUGGUAAGUGAUAAGAAUGCACCUCUAGUAGUAGCAUCCAUGGUUUCACGAGUGUUGUUGUUGAGCCCAUGAUAGAAUGUCUGUAUGAGCAACCAAUUCUCCAUCCAAUGAUAAGGACACUCGUGUAUAUAGUCUUCAAAAUGCUCCCAAGCUUCUAGGACUAUCUCAUCAUGUUGUUGCUAAAAACUUGAUAUCUUCCCACGAAGAGCAUUGGUCUUUCCUGUGGGAAAGAAUUUUGCCACGACAUUGGUGGAACAUAGUGCCCACGUAGUAUAUAUUCUUCUCCUUAUUGGUGCAGAACCACUGCUUCGCUUUUCCUAAGAGUGAGAAUGGCAAAAGGCGAAGUAGUAUAGCAUCUCUAGGAAUGUCUUUGAUAGUGAAAGUGUUGCAGAUCUCCAGAACAUGUUGGAGAUGAGCACUAGCAUCUUUAUGGGCCUUUCCAUAGAACUAGCUUGCUUGCAUCAUGUUGAUUAGUGCCGACUUGAGCUCAAAUGACCCAUUAAUGUCCACAGCUGGUCCAGUACGGAUGUUGGCCAUAGUGGGAGCUGAGAACUCACGAAGUGACUUAUCAGACAUGACUUUAAGCUCUAGUGUCAAACUUUGAAUAGCAGGUUGAUCUUCUAAUUCAGGAGGAUUGGUAAGCUAGGAUGAUGAUGAUUUGAUUGGUUCCUUCUUAACUUAGCCUUUGUCUACCUGAUUAAUGUCUUUGGAUUGUCAAUGAAAUUAUCUAGGAGAUCAAACUUGCUCAUACAUUACCCUGCAUAUUAUAUACAAAAUAGAAAAAAAGACAAUGGUAAGUCUGCAUGAGUGAGAAGGGUGGAUGGUGCUCAAUCCAUGAGUGGAUGCAGUGAUGCUCAUUAUCCGUUGAUGCUCUCACCUUCCCCAGCAACAGUGCCAAAAUGCUUGUUGACACUUCUUAACACAAUUACUAUAAAUAGACUUUUAAACCUAUCCCUAGCAACGGCGUCAAAAUUACUUUACAUCACUUAAGCUAGGUUGUCAUCCCUAGCAUGAUGUAGAAGUGCUGGUAUUAAAUCUAUAUGCUUUUCUAGGGAAUAAAUAAUUAAAGGAUCCGCAAGCGCACAAAUAAUACCAAUGUAGCAUUUUAACCAGGAGUAUUCCAUGUAUUGUUAUUUAUAUUUUUACCACUUGAAAGGGACUUGCAAUGGAUAAUGAGCAAUGAGCAUUGCAUGUAGUCAUGAAGAUCUUAACCAUGUCUUUAUCUAUCUCUCAUGCAGGGUAAGUGUCACAUAAGAUAAAUAAUAUGAAUAUGAAUAAUAGGUGACAAAAGAUAAAGGAUAACAUAUAGCCACAUAUAAAUAUGAUAAUCAUCUCAAUAAAUUACUCUAAGUCUAUAACACUAGCAUGGACUAGGACGAUCUACAAGAAUAAAUCCUAAGCAUUCUAACUAUACUAUCAAAGCAUAUAAUAAUUAGUGCAAUUACACCUAGCAUCAUCGUAAGAAAAGGUUAUACUCAUGCAUAGUGAUAUUAGCAAGAAAGAUCAUGAACAUAGCAAUCACUUCCUUGUAAUAAUGGUGCUCUACUAUCCUUAUAAUUGGGAGGAGGACUACAAAGGACUCAACAGGACUAUUACUCCUGUGAUCUACCUCAGGCUCCGGACUAUAAGGGGUAAUCGCAGAUAAAUAUGGUCUAGGCACCUCGCCUACACAAUAUCUACCACUUACCCAUCGGCCUAAUGAGUAAGCGCUAUACGAUCCUAUGCAUAAACAUAAUUGUAAUCUAACUACGCUAAGCAUAUAAUCAAAGUAGACUAAUAACAAUAUAAUAGAGAACAUAAGCAAAUAGAAUAAAGUCAAUUCUGAUAUAAUCAAAUAGAUCAAAGUCAUAUUAAUAGUAGCAAGAACUAAUAUGAAUAUCACAAAGAAGAAUAAGAGUUUACCAAGAACGAAGAUAGAUCCGGACUCCAAGCUAGACUUGAUUCCUUCUAGAUCUAUUCCUAUAUAGCUAUGCUAUAAAACUAUAGAGAUCUAAUUGAGAUGGUGGCUAAUAACCCUAAAGAGACAGAUCCAUUCGAGGGACCCCUCUUUUGUCAAAUUCUGAAUUCCUCAGAGAAUAAUAAAUUCUUCUUCUGAAAUUAGGGUUUCUAGGGGGGUUAGGGUUGUAUUUAUAGGCCCUAGGAAGCACCACAGCCCUUGGAUCAAAGUGACUUAAACAUGCGCUCAAGAUUACUCCUCAAAGGCGGUGGAGGCAGGAUCUGUGAGGUGGCUUCUCAUUGGCUGAGAGGGCCGGGUGGCCACCCCUGGCUGUUGGCAUGCCUGCCCUUGGCUGGCAACCAGGGGCCCCCAAUUUGUAGGGUCGCCUUUUCGUGUCUUCUAGAGUAUUCUAGAGUUGAUGUUCACGUAUUCUCUCUAUAUAAAUCUGACAUGUGGAUCUCCUUUUGUUCUUAUUCUGAUAACCCCUGCAGAAAUAAACAAUCACCAAAACUUGUGAAAUUCUAUUAGUGAUAGCCCCUAUAGCUAGAUGAUAUUCUGAUUUUAGUCCUUUCUCAUGCUAAGUUGAUGGUAAAAAAAAGAGUACUUAUUGUUGAUAAUUGGGAACGCAAUAAGGAAUUGAUCCGCAAGCGCACGGAUAUCGGUGAGCACUUCACCCGAGAAAUUAUCUAGAGUAUCGUAUUUAUUUUUUUACCACUAGGAGAAAGAGUGCAUCUGACUAACCGGUCUAUUACUACUAACCCUUUAGGCAACAAAGAAUGUUUCUCGAUGUGAGUGAUAAAUAGAGAAGACUGCAACCGUAGUCUCCUUCUAACCUUGGUAAGGAUGAUCUACUGUUCUAUCGGGGAGGCUAACGGAAUCUAGACACCACAAAGGAUGUUCAACCCACACCUAUAAACCCUAUCCUUCCUACUAACGAGAUAUGGUCUGCAAAGGUAACUCGGAAUUGUCACGUUCCUCGCUACUACCACGGUCUAGCUAGUCAGGGAAUAUCUAUGAGUACCCCAGCAUAAACACCAAGUUUAUGCCAGCAAUGAUUACUCUAAACUCUACGCGAAGGGAUUAAAGUAAACUCAUAAACCAAAAGAACAAUAAAACAAGAACUUACUAGAAUUUAGAAGUCGAAAUACUGAAGAAUCCUAGGAGCAAGCUUCGGUUUAGGAGAACUUGAUCCCGCAGGUACAAGCUUGGAUUAGACACCGACAGGCCGGGCUUCCUCUAAUCUACACCUCCACUCUAUCUCUCUCAAUCUAGUAGAAACUAGAAGAUCUAUUUCUACUUUACAUUGGUUGCUAAGCCAAAAAAGAAAUAUUGUUUAGAGAAGAGGUUUUCCUUCGAGGGCACCCCUCAAUCUCUAUGAUAACUUCUUCUCUCCUCCAGGGGUCAGGAGGGUCUCCUUAUAUAGUCCUCCUCCUCUAUGCAUUUUUGGGACGGUAGGCGAUGUGGUACUAUGUUAUUCUUGAUCCAUUAGGUCGGUGGAACAUCGUGUGCGAAGAGAGUCCCGAACGGAGUACAGGAGGGGGCGGGCGCCCAGGUCCUCAGGGCGGGCGCCCUAGGCCUCGCCCCUUUCGGCCUCUGCUUUCUUCCCGUGGCUUCUGGAGUCUUCUAGAUGGUAGAAAAUCGCGCGGUGCGUUGAUAUCUCUAUGUAAUCCCGACAUGUGGGCCUUUCUUCCUUAUUUCCUGAUAACCCCCUGCAGAAACAGAUAAACAACAAAACUCGUGGAAUUCUGUCAGAUCAAACCCUAAUUCUAGGUGUUGGUUGCAUAUGGGUCCUUUCUCUUGUUUAUUUGAUAAUUAAAAUUGACACUUAAGAACCGUCAACAAAUACCCCCAUACUUAGGCUUUUACUCGUCCUCGAGAAAAGGAUGGUUAAGAACAAUAUCUGGGGUAAAAAUUUUUAAAACAUUCUUUUCAUAAUUGCAGGGUGUUAAAACUCCACUGUGUACUAUAGUCUGGGAAGUAUAUGGUUAAGAGUAGAGAUCCUUUCUUCUCAAUCCUGUCACUUGGAGUUUUUGUAUAUUUUUGAAAGAAAGUUAGCAUACCUUUUUAUCCUCAUAGGUUCUCUCAGAUCACUCAUUAUCUUUUAUAUAUCUCACUGAGGUUGUUUUAAUUUGCAAAAAUUCUCAAGCAUAUUUACUUUACAUUUAUUGCCUGAUCACAACGGGAUCCGAGGAGGGGAAUGUCAUACUCUUAGAUCAAAGACUUUGGAAAUUAAAAUCUUUGUCAACUCUUGCUGGCAUAUUGCUUAUUAGAGGGACCAUGGGCUAUCAUUUUUUUCUUUUCUCUCUUUCUUCUUUUCUUUAAGUGGAUACCGAGGUACCCCUAAUUCUACUGCCGGACACUUGUCCAUUUUUUCUACGAGGUUAUCGAGCACUUGCUCCUUUUUAUUUCCUCGAAAUAUCUUUAUUUUUGCAUAGCCCAUGCCUCUAAUGCAAUAAUACUUCGGAAGAGUGAAUCUUUCUGAAUAAAUGUCUUGAUCUUAGGAGCAUGAUAAGUCUCUCAACAAGGGUCUAACUCAUUUUGAACAAACUCAAUACAUAGUAGAUAGCUUUUAUAAUCAUAAUUAAUAUUUUUAGUUUUUAUCAAGCAUAUAAAACACUGAGGAUGGUAGCUAGAAUUUUGUAGAUUUUGAAAUAAAUUCUCCAAGCAACAAUGAUAUCAAGAAUAAGAAACUCAUACUCUACCAUCUCACAUUCCAUACUGUCUUAAGUAACAUAGGGUUUUAAAAUAAUUUUAAUAGUUGCAAGUUUCAGGAAAUAUCACAGAGUGAGAUUAAUCAUGAUUAGAAAUAUUUUUAUUUUUUUUUAAUUUAUCAUGUCGGAAACAGUAUUCUGCAUAAUCAAGAUAUGUGUAUGUGUAAAGUAAAGUGUGCAGAGUGUGUACCUGAAUCGUGGAGUGGUGUAGUCGGUGUGUGUUUGGCAUGUUGAGGGAUCUCCCCCAUACUUGUUUUCUGCUUUCUUGCACAAAAAAUAAAGUAGAGACACACAAGACAUAAUAAUAAUAAUAAUACUCUUUAUUAAUCUUGAGGCAUUUAUUACAAAUGACUAGUAGUAAACUGAUAGCAAUAGUAACAAACUGAUGAUAAUAGUAAACCUAAACCGAAUUUAAAAAUAGAUAACUAAGAUGCAUUGCCUCAAGGUCUAAUCUAGAUAACUCAGCGGCGCUCUAACUCCUUAAUCUUCUUGUUGGCACUGGCAAGAUCCUGCCUGAGGCCUAGUAUAAUGGUGUUGUGGUUAGAGAGCUGCCUAGUGAGGGAAUUAAUCGAGGACUGGAGGUCUAUGAUAACUCUGUCUAGUCUGCGAACGUCCUCAUCAAUAUCCAUUAUAGUCUUGCGACGCUUGGGAGGUGUCUCAAAAGCAUUGAGAGCGUGCUUCAGGGCUGCCUUUGGAGGGAUGAAACGGACUUUGGCUGCUCUAAUCCCUUCGAAGUAAGGCCUUUCUUCCUCCGUAGUGUAGCGAAUACUGCUGAUCUCGCCGCUCUGGUUGGUCUUGACUCCAACGACCCUCUCAUUGGGUCUAGGUGGAAGGAUCCUCGUGCCGGUUGGCACCUUGAUGGUGGUCUUCGUCUUGGAUGAUGAUCCCUUGAGGAGUAGGGGUUGUGGCGGUGCAGUGAGAACUGGUUGAGCAUGGUAGGAUUGGGAAGAGCUGCGUUGGCAUAAUGGUAUGGCUUCUAGCUGUCGUCUGUGUUGGCCGGGACGAGAGCACGGGCAUCGGGGUCUUCCACAGGCUCCAUGUUGAGGUUGAAGGGGACGACUUCCCAAUCAUCGUGGAACUUCUCGGCCAUUGGAGCAGCGAGGAACUAAUCAAGCUCUAAUUGAAGAAGAAGAAGAGAAGGCUUGGUGGUUUGGUGUUUGAAAACUGAUGUCAAGGGUCUGUUUAUAUAGUGGUCAAACAGUGCCUCUAGGGGUUGCUCCCAUCGAUGUGCGUGCGAAACUUUCGAUCUGAGGGAUUAUUCGGAUUGUCAUAAGUGCAUUUUCCAUAACAGAGAAAAUCGGCACCGAGGGGGAACAGGAGCUGGGCACCCGCCCACCUGAUCUGGGCGCCCGCCCUCUCUCUGGCCCCUCUGUGGGCCCACUUCCUCGAGCGCGUUUCUAGAUGCAAAAUUAUUUAGAAAAAUAUAUAUAUGACCCAAAAACAUCAGAUUAAAAGUGUCGGGCUCUAAUUCUCUAUGGGAAGGUGAAAAUGGACUACGUCUAUUUGUUCUAAUUCUUUAUUGGGUUCUAAAAAUAAUUUAAGACGUUGACCAUUUACCUUGAAUAACGUACCUUCGUCAUUUUGAAGUUUGAUAGCUCCGUGGGAUGAUGAAUUAAUUACCUUGAAUGGUCCUUCCCAUUUGCUCCGGAGUUUUCCAUGCCCGAAAAGCUUCACCCUGGAAUUAAAAGGUAAUACCUUAUCUCCGGGUGUGAACUCCUUCUUGAUUCUCUUGUCAUGCCACCUUUUGACUCUUUCUUUGUAGAUCUUUGAAUUGUGAUAUGCUUUCUCUCGCCAUUCUUUUAAUUCUGAUAUCUCUUUAUGGCCCAGUGUGCUUUGAACUCUAGUUCAACAGGUAGGUGGCAAGUCUUCCCGUACACCAAUUGGUAUGGAGACAUUCCAAUUGGGGUCUUGUAUGCUGUCCGGUAUGCCCAGAGUGCAUCGGGUAACUUGUCUUUCCACGCCGUUCCCUUUUCAUUUACUGUCUUCUGAAGAAUAUUCUUGAUUUGCUUGUUGGAAGUCUCUGCUUGGCCACUUGUCUGAGGAUGAUAGGGAGUGGCAACGUUGUGACAGAUUCCAUGUUUUGAUAGAUAUUGCUUGAAGCGUUUGUCGAUGAAGUGUGCUCCUCCAUCACUUAUCACUACUCUGGGGACUCCAAAUCUUAGAAAUAUAAUUUCUUCAAACAUCCUCUUUGAACUGAUAUUGUCGGCAUGGUUGCAAGGUAGUGCUUCUACCCACUUGGAGACAUAGUCAACUGCCACCAAGAUGUACUCACACUUCUUUGAUGGAGGAAAUGGACCCAUAUAAUCUAUUCCCCAGACAUCAAAGAGCUCAAUCUGAAGGUUGUUGGUGAGUGGCAUUGCAUCCCUUGUAUUUAUGUUUCUGUGCCUUUGACAUGGCCCACAUCUUUUGAUAUAUUGCUUCGUGUCUUCAUACAUUGUAGGCCAGUAGAAUCCACACUGCCAGAUCUUUCAAUGUGUACGGAAUGCUCCAUAGUGACCUCCAUAUGGUGAUGAAUGACAUCUAUCGAUGAUCUUCCAUCCUUCCUCAGUGGUCACACAUCUCCUGAGUAAGCCAUCAGAGCAUACUCGGAAGAGGUAUGGCUCAUCCCAUAUAUGUGAACGACUUUCUUGAAUAAACUUCUUCUUGUUUGCUCCUGGUGGUACAUACCCUGAAACCAUAAAAUUAGCAAUAUCUGCAUACCACGGGUCAGACCUGUUAAUCCCGUAGAGCAUGUCGUCCCGGAGUGAAUCAUUGAUGGGGGUUUCCUGUGGACUCUUAAAAUACAUUCUAGACAAGUGAUCAGCAACAGAAUUUUCUACUCCCUUUUUAUCUUUUAUUUCUAAGUCAAAUUCUUGUAGUAAUAAGAUCCAUCUAACCAGGCGAGGUUUAGCAUCUUUUUUAGUGAGCAAAUAUUUUAGUGCAGCAUGAUCAGUGUAAACAAUUAUUUUAGCUCCAACUAAAUAAGAUCUAAAUUUAUCAAUGGCAAAGACAAUAGCCAGAAGCUCUUUUUCAGUGGUUGCAUAGUUAAGUUGAGUUCCUGUCAAUGUUUUACUGGCAUAAGCAAUUGCAUGAUGCUUCUUAUUUUUAGUUUGUCCUAAUACUGUCCCCACAGCAUAAUCACUAGCAUCACACAUAAUUUCAAAAGGCAACGACCAAUCAGGGGGUUGAAUGAUUGGUGCAGAGAUGAGUGCUUUCUUUAAUAAAUUAAAAGAUGUUAGACAUGCAUCAUCAAAUUCGAAAGGAGCAUCCUUGGCUAGCAAAAGAGUAAGUGGUCUAGCAAUGAAUGAGAAAUCUUUUAUAAAUCUGCGAUAAAAACCAGCAUGGCCAAGAAAGCUUCGAAUUCCUUUUAUAUUCACAGGUGGAGGUAGUUGUUCAAUUACUUCAAUUUUAGCUUUGUCUACCUCAAUACCUCUUUCAGACACUAGGUGUCCCAGCACUAUUCCUUCCCUAACCAUGAAAUGACAUUUUUCCCAAUUAAGGACUAAGUGCUUUUCUUCACAUCUUUGCAAAACCUUGUCUAAGUUUUCAAGACAACUAUCAAAAGUUUUUCUAUAAACAGAGAAAUCAUCCAUGAAAACUUCCACAAUCUGUUCAAUCAUAUCAGAAAAUAUAGACAUCAUGCAUCUUUGAAAAGAAGCUGGUGCAUUACAUAGCCCAAAAGACAUUCUACGGUAAGCAUAAGUUCCAUAUGGGCACGUAAAAGUGGUUUUGCUUUGAUCAUCAGGAUGGAUCGGGAUCUGAUGAUACCCCAAAUAUCCAUCUAAGAAACAGAAGAACGAAUGGUUUGCUAACCGCUCUAGCAUCUCAUCUAUGAAAGGUAAAGGAAAGUGAUCCUUUCUUGUGGCUUUAUUUAGUUUUCUAUAGUCUAUGCACAUCCGCCAUCCUGUGACGGUGCGUUGCAGAAUUAGCUUGUUCUUUUCAUUCAUAAUAACAGUCAUGCCCCCCUUUUUAGGCACAACUUGAACUGGGGUUACCCACUCACUGUGCGGCACAGGAUAUAUAAUUCCUGCAUGCAGCAACUUUAUAACUUCCUUUUUAACUACCUCUCUCAUAGUGUUGUUAACUCUACGUUGGGGCUCUCAAGAAGGUGAAACAGAAGGAUCUGUUGGAAUACGAUGGGUACAAAAUAUAGGACUGAUUCAUGUAAGAUCUUGGAGUGAGUAGCCAAAAACUGAGUGAUGUUUCUCUAGAAUGGUCAUCAAUCGCAGAGUUUGCUCCUGAGUGAGUUUAUCACUAAUGAUCACAGGAAACUCUGGAUUAUUGUUUAGGAAAGCAUAGAUAAGACCGGGUGGUAAACUCUAUGGGGGGUCUAGGUGUUUCUGCAAACUCAUCUAAGUGUUCAGGUUCAGAAGGUUCGGCUUCUUCUUCUAUGAAGAAAGGAGUUUCGUCUUCUAAGUCUGAUUCUUCUAAAGUUCAAGAGAUGCAGCCUUUACUUCCUCCAUAGGAUCAGGCAAAAGAUAUGACUCGGGCUUAUUAUUUAAGGAGUGUGAAAUUGUUAUUGGGAAUUUAAAAGUUUUUCUGAAAGAAAUGUGUAGCUUUCUACUAUGACCUUCAUAAAGGUGUCUUCUAAAAGGUUGUCCUAUCAACAGGUCAAAGUCCCAUGUUUCAAGGAUAUAGAAGUUCAAAUGAACCAUGGAGCCUUCUACCGUAAGAGGUAGGACAUUAAUAAUUCCAAGACUGGGGACUAAUCGUCCCGAAGAUUCCUUUAUGACCUUUGUUGUGGGGGUUAAGACAAGAUUUUUAAAUAAUUUAAGUGCAAAAGAUUCAGACAUGAUGUUGAUCCCCACAACAGGAUUAUAAAGAGCAUUAAAUCGAUCAGAAUUAUAAGCACAGCGUAUGGUUAUAGAGGGUGUGUCCAAACGGAUCACAUCAGAGGAAAGCUCUGAUUCCUCCAACCACUCGCUACUCAUAAUUGAGAUAAGCUCUCUUAAUUGAUAUUCACUUGGUAAAUAAAUGCUAAACUAGCCGUUUUGGGGUUUGUCAAUAGAAUGGCAGUUUGAAAUGUUUCCAAAAUCGGCAAAAAGAUCGGAUUCUAUAUCCAGCAUGAAGUCUGGUGGUGGAAUUUCUUCCUCUUUUGGCUCAGAACAUGGGAUAGCUAAAGUAGAUGAAGAAUUUGGCAGAGUGUCUACUUCAGCUUCGUAGGUUUCAUCAUGAAGGGUAUUAUCCAUCUCAGCUUCUAGGAUUCUAUAUAGGAUCACUCUAGCUUCAUCAGUAGGGAUGCGAAAGAAAGAACCUCUAGACAUUGUGUGUAGCAUUUGUUUGUGAUUUUUAUGAAGACCUCGAAAAAAGUGAAACAAAAGAACAGGGUCUUCAAGAUUAAGGUUUGGACCAGAUUCUAAAAGAUCAGAAAAAUGUUUCUAGGAUUUUCCCAAAGUUUCAUUAUCUUUUUGUUUAAAAGAUAGGACUUCGAGUCUAAGGUCAACUAUACGGUCGAGGGAAUAUAAAUCUAGACAAAAGAUGGCUCGUAAAACUCCCCAUUCACCUCGUUGUUGACUUACCUUCUGACUGUACCAUUGUCUAGCUUCUCCCCUUAAGGAAAAAGGAAAAAGCUUCCAACGUAAAGUUUUAUCAGAAAUGCCUUCAAUGCGAAGACAAUCACAUGUUUGCUCAAAAUCUCUAAUGUGAAGGUAAGGGUUUUCAUCUUCCUUUCCCGAAAAAGAUAGGUUUUGAAUCAUGGCAAUCAACCUAGAACUUAACUUAUACUGGGAUGUUUGGAUAGGCUGUGACGAUUCCCAUGGUAAAAGGUCAGUUACUGAAGGGAUUGCAGAUUCAUGGAUCGAUUUAGAAUUUUGGUUUUCCAUAAGGUAAGAGUAAAGAAAAUAAAUACAAAAUAUAAAAGAUAAGAAAAGAUAAAAGUAUAGAUACAAGCUAGUAGUAAAACUCAAGGUUAUCUCAGCAAACCGUCUUUCUCCCCGGCAACGGCGCCAGAAAUGCUUGUUGAUAAUUGGGAACGCAAUAAGAAAUUGAUCCGCAAGCGCACGGAUAUCGGUGAGCACUUCACCCGGGAAAUUAUCCAGAGUAUCGUAUUUAUUUUUUUACCACUAGGAGAAAGAGUGCAUCUGACUAACCGGUCUAUUACUACUAACUCUUUAGGCAACAAAGAAUGUUUCUCGAUGUGAGUGAUAAAUAGAGAAGACUGCAACCGUAGUUUCCUUCUAACCUUGGUAAGGAUGAUCUACUGUUCUAUUGGGGAGGCUAACGGAAUCUAGACACCACAAAGGAUGUUCAACCCGCACCUAUAAACCCUAUCCUUCCUGCUAACGAGAUAUGGUCUGCAAAGGUAACUCGGAAUUGUCACGUUCCUCGCUACUACCACGGUCUAGCUAGUCACGGAAUAUCUAUGAGUACCCCAGCCUAAACACCACGUUUACGCCAGCAAUAAUUACUCUAAACUCUACGCGAAGAGAUUAAAGUAAACUCAUAAACCAAAAGAACAAUAAAACAAGAACUUACUAGAAUUUAGAAGUCGAAAUACUGAAGAAUCCUAGGAGCAAGCUUCGGGUUAAGAGAACUUGAUCCCGCAGGUACAAGCUUGGAGUAGACACCGACAGGCCGGGCUUCCUCCAAUCUACACCUCCACUCUAUCUCUCUCAAUCUAGUAGAAACUAGAAGAUCUAUUUCUACUUUACAUUGGUUGCUAAGCCUAAAAAGAAAUAUUGUUUAGAGAAGAGGUUUUCCUUCGAGGGCACCCCUCAAUCUCUAUGAUAACUUCUUCUCUCCUCCAGGGGCCAGGGGGGUCUCCUUAUAUAGUCCUCCUCCUCUAUGCAUUUUUGGGUCGGUAGGUGAUGUGGUACUACGUUAUUCUUGAUCCAUUAGGUCGGUGGAACAUCGUGUGCGAAGAGAGUCCCGAACGGAGUACAGGAGGGGGCGGGCGCCCUGGGCCUGGCCCCUUUCGGCCUCUGCUUUCUUCCCGUGGCUUCUGGAGUCUUCUAGAUGGUAGAAAAUCGCGCGGUGCGUUGAUAUCUCUAUGUAAUCCCGACAUGUGGGCCUUUCUUCCUUAUUUCCUAAUAACCCACUACAGAAACAGAUAAACAACAAAACUCAUGGAAUUCUGUCAGAUCAAACCCUAAUUCUAGGUGUUGGUUGCAUAUUGGUCCUUUCUCUUGUUUAUUUGAUAAUUAAAAUUGAUACUUAAGAACCGUCAACACUUAUCUACCGUCAACAGACUUAUCGUGGGAUCAUGAUUACUUGGGGGAGAGUUUCCCCUUCCCCAUCGACCUGAAUAAAUAAUGAUCAAUGCAAUAAAGAAAGAUACCCGAGUUCAUUACUUCCUCUCUGUUGUUCUCGUACUUUACAUUCUACUCGCAACAUGGGGCACCUAGUCUAUAUAAUAUUUGACCUAGAUUAGGUCAACCCAAGGCACAUCCCCUCUAUUAUAGAAUUUGUGUAGAUGCUUCAUAACUAGUGUAGCAUUUUGGAGCCAUAGGUUUAUGACACCCAGGCCUCCUUUGUCUUCAGUUUCAUCAUAAUUGACCAAGCAACCAAAUUUCCCCCUUUUGCUAUUAGAUCACUACCCUUCCAUAGACAUUGUUUCCUAGCCCAAUCAAUGUUGUCUAUGGCUCCUUUAGGGAUCUUGAUGGUACCUAGGGUGUACGUGGUUAUAGGUGUGUUAGUUGAGUUGAUCAUUUCUAGCCUUUUGGAGAUGGACAACCAGGUAGAGCAAGUCGAGAGCCUCCUCUCAAUUCUAUCCAUCAUUGAUGAUAGAUCAUCAAUUUGAGGCUUUGUGGUGCCCAUUAGAAGCCUAGAUAGGUGAAUGGCAUAGAGCCAAUUUGGAAACUAAAGUGCUUGUUAAGAUCUAAACUUUUCAUGAUCGACAUUGAUCGAUAUCAUUUGGAACAUCUAAUAGUUGAUCUUGAGUCCUAAGGACCAUUCAAUGUUGUUUAGGAGAGCCUUCAUAAAGAAAAGUUGGGGUAGCAUCAGCAUGCAUGAUGAGUAGCAUGUCAUGUGGUAGGGAUCAAUAGUGUAUCACCACUGAAUCGUAUUGCAAUGUGAUGGUGACCAUUGCCAAUGACUAGGUAGUUUAUACGCUGAAGUGAUAGUGAUGUCCACCUUGAUACAGACGUGUCGAGCACCAAAGCGACAGUGAACGCACACUGCAUACAAUUGGAUCAUUGGUCAAAACAACAAUGCUAGUGUACAACCACAUAGGCGGGUCGAGGAACAAUGCAAUAGAAACAAGUACCUGAUCAUGGAUGUAUCAUAAGACAAUGUGAUGGUGUUUGCCUACACCAACAUAGGUUGAUUGUGCUCCAAUGUGACGGAAACAAAGACCUGAUCAUGGAUGGAUCAUAAGCCAACAUGUCAGUGUAGUGUAUUCAAACAUUGUCGUUUCAUGCUCCAAUGUGACAAAAGUAAUUACCUUAUCAUGAACGGAUCAUAAGCUAAAACAACAAGGUGUAUAGCUGAAAGCCCGAGUUUGGUUUUGGAUAAUUGAUGAAACCCUAGUACUAACCUCCAUACUAAGUGUGUGUAGACUUAAUGAGGUUGGUAAAUGCCAAGUGAUGGAGCAAUUGAUUAUCAUGGUGAUGAUGGUGAUGACCACAAGAUGAUCAAGUGCUCAACUUUGAAAAGAAGAAAGAGAAAAACAAAACCCUAUGGAGAUCAAGGCAAAGGUAUUGCUUAGGGUUUUGGUUUUGGUGAUCAAGACACCAUAGAGAGUGUGAUCACAUUUAGGAUAGAUAGUCGUACUAUAAAGAGGAGAAUUCUUUGGCUAAGCGGUUAUCAAGUGCCACUAGGUGUCAUUGUUCUUGUGCAUGCAUUUAGAACCUAGUGAGCUAACUUAACUUCUUUGAAGAAAAUGAUUGUGAAAAUGCUAACACAUGUGCACUUGUUGGUACACACGUUGUGGUGUUAGCACACUUUAAGAAGGAGGUGGAGUUUGAAGGAUAGAGAGAGGAUGGGUUCGGUGCUUUUUGAGAAAAAUGAAGUGCAUAUUUUCUAUUGCGCCAGUGGGAAGUUUAGAGAAGUCGCGGGAGUGGACGCUGGCUGCGGAAGCACCGAACGCUGAGCCUACGCGUCCAGUGUGUUGUGGUGCUUCGCUCAACUAGGGUUAAGCACCGGACGCUGAGCACCGGAUGUAGGGUAACUCCUGUUCAUGCGUCCGGUGCUAUCUGACUCCUACGAGUGAACCUGACUGAGAGCACCGGACGCUUUGUGUGCGUCCGGUGGUGUGAGUCCGGUGCCCUGAGCGUUUUGCAGAACUCUCUAGGUAAGGGACCGGACGCUCUGAGUGCGUCCGGUGGUGAGAGUCCGGUGCUCUUUUCGUUUGUGGAGCUCUCUGCGUAUAAGUCCAUUGAGGACCAAACGAGUCCGGUGUGGACUCUCUGUGAGUCUAGUGCUACGGCCACAGUGAGACUCACGUUGGUGGCAACGGUUGGAUUUCUAACUGUCAAAAUGUUCUAGGCACCGGACGCGUCCGGUGUAACAUGAAGAGAGCGUCCGGUGGCCCCGUUUUCUGCCCAGUGAAAGAGCCAACAGCUCUAUUUGCUUGAGGGGCUUAUAAAUAGUUGUUGGUCGGCUUAGGCCUCACUCUAUUGGCAUUCUAGCAUACUUGACAUCCUUGUGAGCCUAGCAAACACCUCCCACUCAUCUCUUUCAUAGAUUAUUCAUCUUUGUGAGAUUGGGAGUGAUUCCAAGUGCAUUUGCUUGAGUGGUUGCAUCUCGUGGCACUUGGGGAUCAUUCUAGCUGUGGUUUUCUUGUUACUCUUGAUGGUUGCCGCCAUCUAGACUGCUUGGAGCAGCGGAGGAGCAUUGGCACAAGUUGGUGAUUGUUUGUGGCCAUCUCCUGGCGAUUGUGAGGGGUUUGUGCCUACCUCGGCGGAGAGCCAAAGGCAACAUUAGUGGAUUGCUAGUGUCAUUGAGCUACCUCACUUGUGGGUAGGUUCUUGCGGUGUCCUAGUGAGGAUGAGGUUCAUGCUACACCUCUUAGCCGCCGAACCACCAAGUGUUGGUCGACACAACGGGGACGUAGCGUGCCGGCAAGCACGUGAACCUCGGGAGAAAAUUGUGUGUCUCCAUUGUGAUUGUUCAUUUGAUUUCUCUCGGUGAUUGGACUUCAUAUUAUUGACUGGUUCAUCCCCUCUACGCGGCGGUAUAAUGAUCAAACAAUCUCUCUUACUUUCUUGCAAACUAGAGUAGCUUACAUACUUGUAUAGAAACUUUAGGUAGCUCUCUAGUGUAAGUAGAGACAUAGCUCUAGUGUGCCUAGUGAUCAUAUCAACUAGAAUUGUUGGAUAGGUUUCUUGCAAACACUCCAUUAGAGCUAGAGCAAAAAGCUUCACUUUGUUAUUCACUAACCUCUUGCUCUAGUGAGUUUGUAGAAUUUUUUAAAUAGGCUAUUCACCCCCCCUCUAGCCAUAUUAGGACCUUUCAAUAGCCCAGUUAGUCUAUGGUUGUGUCACUAAUUGCUACAACUUUCACUACCACUAAACCAUAGUUGAGGACAAAAAGUGGCUCCUAUGUGGGUUGUGAAAUGACUGUAAAGGGUGCGAAUGUAGUAGUGAAUAUUUUCUUCCUCAUUAGGGGUAGAAACCCCCAUAGCUUCCCUCAUUACUUUCUUUGUCAUUAGGGGCAGAAACUCUCUUCCUUCAUUACCUCAUUACUUUCUUCCUCAUUAGGGCCAUGAACUAUCUUCAUCAUUACUUUCUUCCUCAGUAGGGGCAAAAACUCUUUCUCUCACUACUUUCUUCAUCAUUAGGGACAAAACUCCUCUAAUUACUUUCUUCCUCACUAGGGGUAGAAACACCCUUCCCUCAUUACCUCAUUAGGUUUUUCCUUAUUAUGGGAAGAAACUCCUUCCCUCAUUACUUUCUUCCUCAUUAAUUAGGUGCAGAAACUCUCUUCUCUCAUUACCUCAUUACUUUCUUCCUCAUUAGGGGCAUAUCUUCUUCCCUCUUUACUUUCUUCCUCAUUAGGGGAAGAAACAUGUGAGCUCCCUUAUUAACUUCCCUCAUUAGAGGUAGAAACUCCCAUAAUUUCCCUUAUUGCUUUCUUCCCCAUUACGAGCAAAAACUCCUUCCCUCAUUACUUUCUUCCUCGUUUGGGGCAAAAAAUUCUUCCCUCAUUACUUUCUUCCUCAUCAAGGGCAGUAACUCCUUCCCUCAUUACUUUCUUCCUCAUUAGGGGUAGAAACUCUCUUCCCUCAUUACUUUCUUCCUCAUUAGGGGAAGAAGCUCUAGUGGAUGGUGUUUUAAUCCUCUCAUUCAUUGUCCCAUCCCACGUAACAUAAUUCUAACCCUGUUUGCGUGCCUAGUAGUGGUAGAGAGGUAGGUCUAGCUAGCCAAGUGAGGCCACACUACUAUGAUGGCGGCCAACGGCAAGGCAACACUGAUCCUAGAUCUUCUACUAUUGUGCAUGCUACGCCAUGGAGUGGCGCAACAGUACAAUGCCAUCUGGAGCUUCGGCGACUCCAUCUCUGACACCGGGAACCUCUGCGUGGGUGGGUGCCCGGCCUGGCUCACCAUGGGUCAGCCACCCUAUGGGGAGACCUUCUUCCACCGCCCCACUGGACGUUGCUCUGAUGGCCGAGUCAUCGUCGACUUCUUGGGUAUGUGACUCAGUGGUAGCUACACUAGCCUACAUGUGUGUAUACCAACAGGGAUGGAAUGAACUGGUUCUGACCCGCGUCACCCACCAAUGCCCUGUGGGCUCUCGAACUAGACUAAUUGGUACCGUGGUACGUACGUGCAGCCGAGCACUUUGGUCUACCGUUACCACCGGCGUCCAAGGCCGGCGGUGACUUCAAGAAGGGUGCCAACAUGGCCAUCAUCAGUGCCACCACCAUGAACUCGACUUCUUCAACUCCAUUGGCCUCAGAGAUAAGAUUUGGAACAAUGGGCCGCUCGAUACCCAAAUCCAGUGGUUCCGCCAGCUCCUCCCCUCCGUCUGUGGGAAUGGUACAUAAAUCAUAAAUUGCGCGUGAAAGAAGAAAAUCGCAUUCGCACGUUGCAUCGUACUUUUUUAUUUAUGAUUUCCAGAUUGCAUGAAGCAGAUUGCAAGAACUACCUGUCCAAGUCAUUAUUCGUGGUUGGCGAGUUCGGGGGCAAUGACUACAACGUUGGGCUCUUAUUCUCCCGGCGCUCCAUGGCAGAGGUGCGAGGCUAUGUGCCCAAGGUCGUCACCAAGCUCAUCGGCGGCCUAGAGACAAUCAUCAAGAGUGGAGCGGUGGACGUGGUGGGCCCGGGUUGCUGCCCAUCGGCUGCCUCCCCACCUACCUCACCCUCUUUGGCACCUCCAACGCCGCUGACUACGACCACGACGGGUGCCUCAGGAAUUACAACGACCUCUCCAGCUACCACAACGCUCUGUUGAAGCGGAGCCUCUCUAACCUGCGGAGGACGUACCCGCACACCCGGAUCAUGUACGCCG
rnacentral:lncRNA from 1 species